rnacentral:lncRNA from 1 species
UUCAUGGGUGUUCCUGAAUCAAUAGUGUCAGAUCGGGACCCUCGAUUUGCUUCUAAAUUCUGGGGAGCUCUUCAGGCAGCUUUAGGUACCCAAUUACUCUUCAGCACUGCUUUUCAUCCUCAGACUGAUGGGCAGUCCGAGAGGGACUAUUCAGACUUUGGAGGAUAUGUUGAGGGCUUGUGCCAUGCAGUUCAGAGGUAGUUGGGAUAAAAACCUAUCUUUGAUGGAAUUUGCCUAUAAUAAUAGCUAUCAUUCUAGCAUUGGUAUGGCGCCCUUUGAGGCUCUUUAUGGGAGGCAGUGUCGCACGCCUUUGUGUUGGAAUGAAGUAGGGGAAAAAGAGCUUUGUGGCCCAGAGUUAAUCCAUGUUACGAAUGAGAAGAUUAAAGUGGUUAGAGAUAGACUCAAGACUGCUCAGAGUAGGCAGAAAAGUUAUGCGGAUGUCCGUAGGAGAGAUCUUGAAUUUCAAGUGGGUGGUUGGGUGUUCCUGAAAUUAUCUCCUUGGAAAGGGAUUGUGCGUUUCGGUAAGCGUGGGAAGCUUAGCCCGAGGUAUAUUGGCCCUUAUGAGAUUAUAGAGCGAGUUGGCUCACUUGCUUAUCGAUUAGCCUUGCCUCCAGAGUUAGCUAGGAUACAUAAGGUGUUUCAUGUAUCCAUGCUUCGCAAGUAUAUUGCCGAUCCUUCUCAUGUGCUGCAAGAGCAACCGAUCAGUUUGACGAGAGAUUUGACCUAUGAAGAGGAACCGGUUCAGAUUCUCGACCGAAAGGAGCAGGUGCUUAGGAACAAGACAAUUCCGCUUGUCAAGAUGCUGUGGAGAAGUCAUCAAGUAGAAGAAGCUACUUGGGAAUCAGAGGAACAAAUGAUGCAGCAGUAUCCGUAUCUCUUCGGAGGACAUGUAUAUUAAUUUCGAGGACGAAAUUUUUAUAAGGAGGGGAGAAUUGUCACAUCCCGACCCUUAUAUUUUUACCUUAUUUACUAGCGUGAUUAUAAUAAGAAUUUUACCGUCUCGAUCAUUGAGUAAAUAGUUUAAUUGGUCCCUAUAGUGGUUUCGGGGACGAUUAUGUGCGGAGGAUUAUUCGUAUGAGGAAAAUACGACGACGGUAAAAAUAGUAAAUUUUAGCUAGAAAAAGGUAAUUUUUAUUCGGGUAUUAUUUUUCGGGGUGUUUUUAUUUUGGAAGUUUGGGUUAUAAAUGGUGUGUACCGGUUUGGGGUGUGAGGCCCAAACCCUUUUUCUUUUCUCUCUCCCUCCCUCCCGAUUUUUCUUCUCCUCCCACCCGAUUUUCUUCUCUCUACACCCACCGGUAUUCCGGCCGUCCUCCCGCCGCCGUCCGACCUCCGUUCGCCGCCGGACCGGUCCCGUUCGGUCGGUCUCCCUCCCAGCAACAUUUCUAGACCGGUGAGAGGAGCCCUAGCGCCGCCGUGAGAGAGCGGUGCCGCCCGAAAGCAAGGGCUGCCGUAGCUCUCCUUCGCCGGAACUUCCUCCUCCGGCCACCAAUCCGGGCAAGCUUGGUAUGGUUUUGUAGCCCUCCAACCCAGCAACCUUGCCCUAAAAGGACUCACUCCCUCUUGAGCUAGGUAAGGAGAAAUUUGAAGUGGAAGUUUUAUGGUGUUUUUGAUGUUUUUAGUCGAUAGCCCUAGUUAGGCUUGGAAUUGGUGUUUGUGCUAGUUAUGAAAGUUGUAGAGCUUGAUGAGAGGAAGAUGCUGUUAAAAUUUCAUAGGUUUUUGGAGGUCGCCGGAAUUGACCUCCGGCCGCCGCUGCCGGCGGAGCCGCCGCCGGUUGGGAGAUUUUAAUGUUGUUAAAUUUUGGAAUAUUAANNNNNNNNNNNNNNNNNNNNNNNNNNNNNNNNNNNNNNNNNNNNNNNNNNNNNNNNNNNNNNNNNNNNNNNNNNNNNNNNNNNNNNNNNNNNNNNNNNNNNNNNNNNNNNNNNNNNNNNNNNNNNNNNNNNNNNNNNNNNNNNNNNNNNNNNNNNNNNNNNNNNNNNNNNNNNNNNNNNNNNNNNNNNNNNNNNNNNNNNNNNNNNNNNNNNNNNNNNNNNNNNNNNNNNNNNNNNNNNNNNNNNNNNNNNNNNNNNNNNNNNNNNNNNNNNNNNNNNNNNNNNNNNNNNNNNNNAGUCUGCAGAGUUCGGGUUUGGAUCUAGUAGGAGACGAGGCAUAGUCACCCGCAUUUCUGCCAGUUUUCGCCAGUAGGUUACCUGUUCAACCUACUCGUGUUUUCUUGCUUCCGCUUGUGUUUAGUAGCUCUGAAUACUUUAGAAUUUUUGUAUAUUAUGGGAUGUUCAGAAGUGUUAAAUUAAGAGUGUAAUAUGAAAUUUUCGAGUUAGGGUUGUCCAUCUACAAGGGAGAUUUUCUUAAUCUUUUCAGUAAAUUUUCCUUGGAGGUGGUCCCCGCACGACUUACUCAGGGUUUCAGGGUGAAAUUCGGGGUGGGUCGUGUCAGGUUUCAAGCACGUGUUUAGCAUUAAGUGGGUAAAAGGUUAAAAUGUUGUUGGUACCCAAAAAAAAUCAUGCGAUCAAUUAGUAUGUUGUUUCACAACAAUUUUUCAUGCAAUUCGUACAAAAUCCAACGAUUUUGGGUUGAAUCUUUGAUUAUAGCAUCAAGCAAAUAUGCCCAUUGCACAUCCAUGCAUCUUUGGGUCUUGCAAAAGUGGGUAUGGUGUGGAAAAUUACGAAGACGCUCAUCACAUGGAAUCGACUCGAUCAUCAUACUAUAGAUAAUAAGUUCAUAACCCUAACCCAUUCCCAUUUUCAGCUGAACAAAUAUACUAAUUCUUUAAUUUCAGUUGGUAAGAGGGAUCAUUUAGCUAUUACAAUUUUUUUCUUGGCAUGUUUACUUAUUUUGAAUAGAAUUGAGAAGUGAGGGAAUGAUUCUAGCAAAAGGGAAUUCAUUUUACUUACACAUAAUGAAAUUGGAAUUGAUGUGGGUCCCACCUCUUAAUAAGGAAUCGAUUCUUUAACAACACGGAAUUGUAAUACUAAGAGGGAGGUGAGUUUAGGAAUGACAUCAUCAGGAAUCAACUUUUAUGCCAAAAAUACCCUCUUUAAUUUUAAUAUGCUAAUAAUAUUGAGGAAUUUGUUUAAGAUGCUAGUAAUUUCAAAAAAAAUAUAUAUAUAUAUUCUUAAAGCUGUUCUAGCAUAUUCCAUAUGUGUGUCUUAGUCUUAUGUCAUCAGGAUAUGUAGUUGGAAUAGGACUAUGUAUUCCUUAUCAUUACCAUAUUGGUACUUUAUAAUUCCUUAUAUAAAGGGCUCUUAUCAAUGAAUAAGAUGAUGAUUAUCUUGUUAUCUUUGUCUUUACACUUUAUCCUUCAUCACGUUAUCAUGCACUUUGUUAUAACCCUAGAACUAAUAGCCCACCACUUGUUUUUCGAAACCCUAAAAAAACGUGUUUUUCGGCUCCUAUGUCCGACCGUCGCCGGCACCCUUUUCUCGGCCGCCGUCCGACAUCACUAGCUGCCAAUCCCUUGGCCGCGGCCCGCCGACGAUUCUUGGUUUCCUCCGACUACAAUUUUCGACUUCUUCAAGCGUUUGAAGUUUCAAAAGGUAUGUUUUGAAACCCUAAACUUUUUCAAGUUCAAUAACUCGGGGAGGGUAAAAUUUUUCCUCCCUUCUCCAUCUCCAUUCUAUGCUUGGGAUUUUGUGUGUGCAGGUAAAAAUCCCGGAAUUUUAUUAGCGGGUCAAGCGUGUGUUUGAUCACUCUUGUUUCCUUGUCAGGGUUGUGUAUGAUCAACCCCGACCUUUCUCCAGAUUGUGUUUUGAUGAAUCCGAAGCUUUUUUCCGAAUUGUGUUUGAUCAAUUCGCAGUUUUUCCGGAUUGUGUGUGAUCAAUCAAAGGACAAACCAUUAAAAGCAUUGUUUGUGACCUCUAUUGAGUCUCAUAACAGCUUGGUUUUGUAUGCAAGAGCAAUGUCGUAUUAUGCUCAUUUGAGUUUUGACGUACUCGAUACCUAAGGCGAAUCUUCGCUUGGUAUCUGUGGAACCUUCCAUUGGAAAUGAUUAAACCACAUAUUUUGACCCUAAGGCUAACAAGCCUAAAUGCCGAGAUUUCACAUCUCUCGCGCUCAAAGUUUUAAGGCGCCACAUCGACAACAGCCUUCAACGGCAAUCUGUGCAAAAAGUAAUGACCACAAAGUACUGUGGAAUGCACUCAUGGAGCGUUUCUUGAAACGUUCAUAUAACUCUACUUGUUGAGUUACUAGUCACAUGGUUUGUUUACCACAUUUUUAUGACUACACAUUAUAGGUGAAAUUUUGUGGCAUCAUGCUCCAUAAUCUUUAGUGGAUUUGAUCAUCAUCAAGUUCUCUAAGUCCCCUAAGUUGGUUUAUGUUUCAGUUUACUCUUUUGGAAUUAUCGACGAUGCUUGAUUUUGAUCAUGCAAUUACAAACGGGAAUUGCAUAUACACUAAUGCGAUAAACGUAUUGGUCUACACACAUGGAUUAUCCCCUAGUGUGGGAAAAAUAAUAUAGGUCACGACAAUGGUAGAUAAAACAGCGCCGAUGUCUAGAAAAGAGGAAGAGGUGUCGCCGGCCCUAAUGGCGACACUCCCGGUCUAGACACCAAUCUGUCAAAACUACUCAUGUCAGCUCCGAACAAUGCCACCGUAUAGAUCUCCAGAUCACUGGUUGAGGAGUUGUCGAGCUCAUCCUCAAAUUAUGAAUGCAUACAAAAAGGUACGGAAAAUCAAUACGAGGACAAGAACGUCAUUCUCAUGAUCGCGGAUUUCAAAGAUUCGGAUCCAACUCCAGCUACCCCUAACUUUAACGUCAUCGGCUAGAUCGACUUUGAUUUUCUUUCCAAGCUAUAUGUAAUAAGGCAUCGUAUCGACGUCCUUCGUCUAUGUACUCACAUUAGCAAUAAUGAAUGCCUUGAGAAUUUUUUCGAAGUUAUGAAACUAUUCUCUUCUUAUAGUUCGUAUUGAUUUACAAACAAGAUGUACAUUUUUACAUCGUCCUUAGAAACAUGGCAUAUUGUGCCGAUUUUGGUCCCUUCCUUUGAAGGUGACUCAUGGCACCGCAUCCUCAAGGAGGAUCGUCCACGUGUUUUCCGGUUAAGUCUUCUACCCUAUAGCGGAUUUUUCAUCAUCAACUGUUCAACUAGGCUCAUCCAAGCUCAGUGUGAUGUCUUAAAAUUGUCUGAAAUUAAGAAGAUACUGGUUUACAUGUGCCUCGCACUACUGACCCUCCAUGGACAUGUCUGGUCAUGCUAACUUGGAGUUACCGAAAGCUUUUGAUCUUGGUUUCCCCCUACGCUAUUAACCAAUAGUCGUCUUGCAAAAGACGUUGAAGACUUAUCAAAACCGGACAAUCAUCAUCAUGAUCGAAUCAUCUAGGUCCUCUGAGUUAGUUUAUGUUCAUGUUAGGGAGCUUUUGCUAACUAGUCAUGGGGUUUAUGACCUUGGAACGACCGAAAUGACUUGAUUUUGAUCAUAUACACGUCAUUUUGGCUUCGGCUUAUGCCCGCAUGCCAUCUGUAAGCUUCAUAGCUUCGCACAUGCCAAUUCUGCGAAAAACAGCAAUAUGUCCCUUCUGGAUAGUCAACUUCGUUUGAGCUUUGUGAACAGCUCCGGACGAACCAGAUAGUGAGCUUUAUAUCAUUGCAAAGCCCUACGAAUCUAGUUUUCAGAACUUUUUGCAGUUUGUCCAUAUCUAUUUUAACGAAGAAGUUAUGGCUAUUUUAGUGCGCAAAGGUCAUUUUGCGUGGAAAUUUUUAUACACUCUCGGGAUUGUAGUUUUUCGUAGCUUCUUUCAAUCUCUCUAAAUGGUUCAAGUGGAAAUAUUAAUUCUCCUAUCUACUCCAUUUUGUAGAUCUGUCUCAUAAAGAUAUUGAGUGUCUCGCAAAUAGUGGAACUAUCCACAACAUUCUAAGGAACCAGCAACUAUCUUUGGAUUUUGUGUCUUUUGUAAAUCUUCUGUGACUACAAUAAUUGAAUCAUAUCGGUCAUUCAGGGACGCGGUCUAGCUUGAAUCUUGAUGCCUCAUGGCACCAUGAUCAACGUCACAGAUGCCCUCUAUUCAUUGAGAAGCAACCGAAUCAUGUUAAGCUUUAAAGACAUUCCUGCUAACAGUUUUCAUUUGAAAACACAUUGUGAGAAUGAACAAGAAUUCUUUUGUGUAUAAUUUCUUAUGAAUGCGGACUGAACCGCAUCGUGGAGAAGUUCAUGAGUCAAUCUAGUGGACUAUAUGUCACUAUGAUUCGAAUAUUGAAUCACAUGUUGUCGCCAAACAUGAUAUUUGGGACACCGACUCAUAUAGGCUUUGGUUUGACUAAAUCGGUCAUCUUGGAAGAGACAUAAUGAUCCAAAUUUUAAGAAAUUCUCAUGGACCUCCAUUCUUCCGCUCAAAACGAAGACAUUCGGGAUCUAGCUUCAUCAUGAAUCAUGAAGCAUGAUGGUGACGCCAUGGUUGUAAAUGGCGGUACCUUGGGGGCAUUGACGUCCCCCGAACAUGGCUCCAACUUUUCGGAGGCCGUCCGGUUAAUUCCUCAAGCAAUUGAGAUGCACCGACCCUCCCUCGAUGUCUCAUUGGCCCCUACAAUGCUCAUUACUCGUUUUAAAAGCCUAUUUUUUUAGCUAAAUUAGGAGUGAGACCCUUCUAUGCUAAAUGACACAAAAGUGAACAUUUCAUUCUUACAUCAAAUUAUGUAGAUCGAUACAACCAACUUGCGAACACUUUUUUAUGUUUUAUGGUGUUGGUUGAAGUGUUAACAUACUGGUCACGUGUUACACUAUUAUCUACUGUUUAUGUUGCUUAUACUUCUACGGGUUCACUACCCAUUCUUUAAAGAAGUUUAUUGGGAUAUAAGUUGAAGUGUCUUGUAUCCCAUGUUCACACGCAAUACGGUCUCACCGAGGCUAGGACCAAUCAACUUUUGCUUGUCGCUUGUACAUUAUUGAUGCGCGCCAAUCUUUCUAUUGCGUCUUGGGGCUAUGCAAUAUUUGCAUGCAGUUUUACUAUUCAUCUACGACCCACCAUCAUUGAAUAUUUUUGUACUACAACUCAUAACUGUGUCGAGGAUUGACACGAAAUUGUAAUCCUUGAGCUCGGUAGGAUUGAAAAGGAUCUCCAAUCUUUGAGCUCGGCUAUAUGUUAUUUCUAGAUGUCAAAUCGCAUUGUCACUGCGUAUAAUGAUGGGUCAUUUGAGAUGAAUAAGUACUUCGGUUGGUUAGAUAUGAACCUCCAACUAUUUAAUCCGCCUAUAUAGAAACCUUGUCAGACGAUCUCUUUCACCGCUAUAUUGCGGAUUGUCACUUUGAUGAGACAGUAUUCCCGCCGUUAGGGGGAGAUAAGAACACAAGUGUUCAAGUGGAAUGACGUGACUUAUCGUGGUUUGUCCCCACUAAGUCUCAUCUUGAUCUCAAAUGCUUUAAAUGUUAAAGUGACGAAAUCACAUGCUGCAAAUAUGUCUGCAAGGAUUGAUGUCCUAUCAAGAGGACAAGACGCGACCAAAAGGUAUUGGUCUUGACGCCAUCACCAUGGAUGGUGAUAUAGUGAUGUCAUAUAGUGGCCAAAUUGGUGUCACAAGGCUGUGUGGCUCCCCAAAAUGAGGGAGGCCUUUAGGUUCGAUACUUUCUCGCACUGGGAAGAAAUUGGCAAAACCUGAUAUAUUGAUCAGUAAUCCGUCUCAUGAAGUCUAAAUUGUGAUUAUCAUUGGGGGACGCCUCAAUGUCAAAUCUAAUCUAUAUAGAGAUCUCUACAGGUAUUACACUAGUGUACAUGAGGACGUGGAAUAAUGAGUCUACUAUCGAACCACCCUUUGUUGAUGGAUAUCAACUUAGUUGAUUGGCCUAAUGGAAAUAUGCGAUCCAACAUUAACAAAGAGAUAGGUCUUUGGGCAGGUGAUGCUGACACCGGAAGCUAAACCUUAUCAACUAUGCAUUUGUUAGAUAGCGUGGUGAGAACAAUGUCUCUCACUAACAUGCACAGGGGUCAAGUAUGAUGAGAUAUGCUCUUGUAAUGGAUGUCAUUGCACUCCUCUACUUUGUCAAUUUGGUAUGUUUACUGAUUUGGAAUAGAAUUAAGAAGUGAGGGAAUGAUUCCGACAAAAGAGAAUUCAUGCGUUUACUUACACAUAAUGGAAUUGGAAUUGAUAUGGGUCCCACCUCCUAAUAAGAAAUCGAUUCCUUAACAACACGGAAUUGUAAUACUAAGGGGGAGGUGAGUUUAGGAAUGACACCAUUAGGAAUCAACUUUUAUGCCGAAAAUACCCUCUUUAAUUUUAAUAUGCUAAUAAUAUUGAGGAAUUUGUUGUUAUUUCAAAAAAAAAAAAAAAUUCUUCAAGCUUCUUUUUAUAUGUUAAUAAUAUACUAUUUGUUGAAGUUGUUUAAUUUUUUAUUUAUAAAAUUGUUUGUUUGAUUUAAAUAUAGUAUUACUUAAAAGUAUAAAAGUAUGGCGCCUUAAUUUUGUUGUUCAACCCUUUGCAUCUUGCGGUUUGAGAUACACUCAAAAUGCUAGUACUAGGUCCAAAUGAUGUUGAUAAAUCAUGAUAGAAGAGCGUUUAUGCAAGGACGAGAUUCCAAUAUACAUAAGCACACACAUAGCCUCUGUAUUAUAUUAUUAAUAUGUAACCACAUGAUUACAAUCAAUACAAUGAAUUGAAAUAUAUAGUCCAUCUUCUUCUCCAAAAACAAAAAGUUCAUCUUGGUUUGUUGAUUAUACAUAACUUAUCAACUGAGACAAUCAAAACGACAAAGAACUCAUAAUUAGUUACAUUCAUAUUUUAAUUCCAUAGGGUAGGUAAACAGCUCAAUGGAAUUGAAAUCUCCACAUACGAUUUCAUUCUAUCUUUCAUUCCUUCCGUCUUUCAUUCAUGAUAAAUUUCAUUCCAAGUAAGUAAACGUGUCAUCUAAGUAACGAGUCACAUGUAUAUAUAGGACCAAUUGGGGGAUUGGUCAUUGAGUCAAAAAAAAGUAUCAUAAAACAAGAUUUCAUUUCCGGUUAAACUCCCGAGUUAUUGCAAACUAAAGAAAAACGAAACAAUGAGAUUACGAUUUAGCAUCGUUAAUAAUUUCGGUCUUACCGACUUAAAUAGAUGACGAAAUUAUGAAAGUAAGAGUAUCAUACCACCUAUUCUCUAAACCCAAAAGGAUUAGCCCAACAUCUUUCUUUUGCAUAAAAAGCUCAAACCUCUUUCUUUCUUCUUCGUCCUAGUUCUCCAACCUUUUGUCUCCCGCAACAAUUCACAUCUUAUUAAAAGGAAACUAUAUUUUCCGACCUAUGAAAGAAGAAGGUGUGUGGUUGGUUUCAAAGUGAUUCCUUCAUCCUCAAAUAACGAGUUUAGAAAAUUCCAAGUCACCUCGUCUACCUCGUUCCUGAUUUUCGGUCCCUACAAACGUCACUAUUGUAAGUUUGUAGUUUGCAUGGAGUCGACCCUUUCAGAAGAUUUUCAAGUAAGUUUUUCUUUUCCAGAUUUUAAGGCAGAAAUCAUGUAUUUAUGGAAGGAAGCCUUUUACACAACCGACUAAACGUCAUGAGUCACUCCAAAAUCUUCCAAUUGAACUCUAUAAAAAGAGGGACUUGGAGAUGAAAGGGACAUCAUGCAACAUACGUAAAAUCCUCUUUACACACUCAAUCUCUCAGGCCUUCAAGCAAAAACCAUAUUUUCCAUAAACCCAUUCUUAAAAACUCAUCUGAUUCUCACCGUAAUGCGUCUUUAGCUCCUACACCAGGCUCAUUUUGUCAAGUUUUAUUCAUGUUUGAAUCACGCAUAAAAUAACCUCAAUUAUCAAGAUUUUGAGUUAUGGCCUAGUUACCUCUCAAAUAAAAAAGAACCCUCCCAAUUGCAAAUUGACAACCAAGUGAGAGAAGUUUUUGGUUCGGUAUACUAGGAUUGUACUAGUCUUCUCCUAUGGAUAGUUCAUUUUAUGUUGCUCUCCAUCCAUUAGGUUGUAUCUCUCGUCUCAAAUGAUUCAAUAAUAUAUGUAGGAUUUUGAUUUCUCAAAUUAAAAUUUUUAGGUCGAACGAUCAUACAAUUUGAUUCAAUUAAAUGUUUAAUAAUAAAAUAUGAAAAUAAAAAUAAAUGAAGCAUAUUCACACCAAAAAUGAGUGAACCACUGCCCAGUACCAUUUGGUUUAGUGACAUUAUCUCAUUUUAGUAAGCGAGAGGUUGUGAGUUCGAAUUAUGAAGUUAUUAUAUGAUAAAAAAAAUUAAAAAAAGUAAUUGAUGUUACAGAUCAUAUGCACUAUGCACAUCUAUAUAGUAUUAUUCAGCCACAUUGUGAGUGGGAGGUUGAAUAUGUUCAUGAAGAAUCUUGCAUGUAUACUUUGGAAAUCCAUCAUAUAUUUGAGAGAUCUCUCUUUCUCUCUUUGUGGAGAUUAUAGAAUUUGGUCCCCACACACAGACUCAUCAAGACUUCCUUUUAAUCUCCCCCACCUUGCUGAGUUUGCUCUAUACAGUCACCGUUCCAGUCCUUUUUACAAGGACAACUCCGACAAUGGUGUCAAAUCACGAUCGAACCCUAAUCCGCUAAUCUUAUCUUUCAUGUAUUGGGGUUCUUGUAAUGAAACCACAGUACAUCUGCUUGUUUAUUAGUGGCCAACAAGUUUUUCUCUUUGUUUGGAUAAUCCCAGUUUCCCCCAUAUUCCAGUAUUCCAUGAUUGUCUCCCUAACUUUAUACAUGCCACACCAAGAGAGAUGAACCUAGUGUUUAAAACUUCGAAUAUGGAAACUAGUUUCAUGAUCUGGUUGGAAAUCAAAAGGACACUAGUGGUUUGUCCAUCAAGAUCUUAUGUGACAUGUCCCUUGAACAAUUCUUGCUAAACUCUGUAAAGCUAUCUAAAGCCAAAUGAUGAAAAUGGGAGAUUAGUAAGUGAAUAAGGUAGAAGAUCAAAUCAGAAUUUGAUGCAAUACAACAUAGCUUAUAACUCUCUUGCAUAGUAGUUGAACGUAACCAAAAACAAACCCCUCGAUUCGUUCUUACAUUGCUUAUUAGAAAGUGAUAAUAGAGAAAGGAAUAUGACCAACUUUUAUGAGAAAAGAUUGCAAAAAUUCUUUAUAGCAAGAGAACAAAGAGAGUGAGAGCAACAAAAGGUUUCAGGAAGGACGAGACAAGACAUAGUGUGCUGUGGUCAUAACCAAGAACGAUAAUCCCUGUUCAGAUAAUUCAAUCAGGAGAUAGAGCAGGGAAGCCUUGGAUAAGCUGAAUUUAGUAAAUGUAAGCGUAAAACACAACCAAAUGGUGUAGAAAUGGGCAGUACAAGCAAGUUGUUCUUAAUCAGGGUCAACAUUUUCACAAGUCAAAGGAAACACUAAGUAGUAAGUGGUAAGCUGCUUCGCCUGCAUCCGUUAGGUCGCGGGUUCGAGUCUCCUGGGGGUAAGUGGGGAACCACUAUUGAUCCUCUUUAAAAAUAUAAAAAUAAAAAAAAAAUAAAAAAAAAAAGCUGCAGCUGCAUUCAAAUCCUCAAUCACUUCACAAAUUUGAACAUUACAGGUUGAUGUUUUUUGCAGUCCUCACCAUAGCUGCCUGAAAUUAUAAUGGACGAAAAGUUAAAUACAGCAGUUUAAGUCAUGGAAGGUCCAUACCCAUCUGAUAGACCAACUGAAAGGACAAUAAAAUGCAUCACACUACAUUUUAGUGAAGUUCUUGAACUGAUUACUUAUACUGAAAAACUCGUGAAGAACACAACCAAACAAAAUGUAUUAAUGUAACCUGAAAGCUACAACUAAAAAUUGAUGUUCUAGACAAAACUUGAGGGUACUCUACUGACUCAAAGGCACCUCUCCAAUUUAGGCUAGUCUUUUUGGGCAAGUGGAGUUCACACAGGAGUUUAACCUCAGUACAUAUUUAGAUUUUAACUGACACAGUUUAGAACACAGAGUGAAAGGUAGAAAAGUCACGCAAAUUGUUUGACGAGAGGUGGUUUUUGUAUGUUCAGCUGUUGAAAACUUCAUCAAGGAGGAUCAAGUGGCUGCAAGGAACUUAGUUUUGCUAAUAGACAAGUAGAUUAUUGGGGAGAGGUGAAACUCAACAUGAUAGGAAAAAUCUCAAUGCCACAAGUCCACAACCAAAAACAAAAUAUAAGGGAAAAAGGCGGGAGUCAAUGAUUGUAACAAGCUUCCGUUCUAAAUGGCUGUGAAACUACAUAUUAUGAUAUAUUUUCAGUUAUACCAUCAAAUGAUUCAAAUCCAAUUACAUCACUAGUGCAGAAUUAGGAAUGUAUAUGUUCUGAUAUAAUUUAAGAAUUACAAUACCACCUUGCAACAUUGAGAAAAUAAUUUGAAUGCUACCUCUUGCAAAACUCUGUUAAAUACCGCGAGCCGUUGUAAAAGAUGAACCACAUCAAUACCAGGACCAAAGUAUCUGUCAAGAUUAAGGAAUUCACAAGUGCAAAUACUAUAACUGCUCACAGUAUAUGAGAGAAUCCUUUUCUAAAUUUGAUCAAGAAUGGUGGGAAACAUAGUAAUUAAAGUUCCGACCUAUCUGCUUUCACAACUACAAAACACAUAAGAAAAAGGUGUAAAUAGGAUACUGAAGAGAUAACGCUCCCACCAAUCCAACAUAUAGAGCCCAAAAGUGACAUUGUAAAGAUAGAUCUUACGUUGAACCCAAUUCAUGGAUCCACGACCUUACACACACAAAUCAUAAAACUAUCAGUUUCAUAUUCUACUUGGUUCCCAAGAGCUGAAAUUUGAGAAACCAGUUAGAUUGUUGAUCCAAACUCCAAACUAACCAGAUAAGCAGAAGAGAUUUGAAGUGAAAUAUCGACAUGCAAAAUUGAACAUGAUGGAAACAUUUAGAUCAAUUCAAAGGUAGAUUAACUUUAAAUGGGUUAAAAAUGAUUGGAUCAAAUUUCAAUAAUUGAAACAGAAAGUGAAAUAUUGAAAUGAAUGAUUUAGAAGCUAAAGAAUAAAACCCAGAACUAUGAGAGAGAGAACCCAGAAUUGAUCAUUAUCAAAGAUGAGAGAUUCAAGUGAAGUAGUUACCCGAGAAAGAUGCCGGAGAACCGGAUCUCCGGCGAGGUUGAGAUAGAAGAAUUGGAGAGAGAGGAGACAAGGUGGAACUUACGAAGAUGGUCGCAGCUCGCAGCGAUGCUCAAACCUGGUUUGAUUUUUCAAAAAUAAAUUAUGGGUACCUCGCGUAUUACCCAUACCCGACCCGUUGUUAUAUACGGGUAUCUCAUACUAGUCAUCACUUGGAUCUUGGGCCCUAAACUCACCCUAAUUCCGACUUGUAUCUACCUUGACGCAGUAACGUUAAUUAGAGCUCGACUCUGUUACCUACUUACCUUAGAAAAAAUUAAGGUGUGAAUUCUGAUAUGUUUUUAUAACUUUAUAACUUCAAACAAAUUUUUGUUUGGAGCAAUACUAAGCGAACUACGUUGUGUGAAACCAGUUGAAUCAGUUUAUUUGACAUAUAAGCAAUUCAAUUUUGAUGAACUUAAAAACAAGAUGUUAUCCCCACCAGUGUUUUAAAAAACGCUCCUCGGGCGCGCUUAAGACUUAAAAGGCGCGAGGCGCAAGGAAAAUUCCUUGUGUUUUGCUGGUUAGGCGCAGAGGCGCAAAAGGGGCGAGGCAAGGCGCAAAAGGCACACAAAGCGCACCCUAAGGCGCAUAAGGCGUGUGCCUAGUCUGAUAAGAAAACGGGGUCGUUUUAGUUUGACUGAAAUAAUAAGGCACACAUCUUCGUGCGCCACCCUCAGUCCCUCCUUCAGUCCUUCCCUCUCCCGAUCUCCCUCUCCCUCUCCUUCUCCACCAGUUCGCGACCAUCACCAAUUCCCGACCUCCCUUUCCCUCUCCCUCUCCCUCUCCCGAUCUCCCUCUCCCUCUCCUUCUCCACCAGUUCGCGACCAGUCGACCACCACCAAAUCCCGACCUCCCUCUCCCGUUCCCGACCACCACCAAUUCCUGACCUCCCUCUCCCGUUCCUGACCACCACCACUUCCCGACCUCCCUCUCCUGUUCCCGACCACCACCAGUUCUUGACCUCCCUCUCCCUCUCCUGACCACCACCAGUUCGAUGUCUUCUGCAAGCCGAGGCCUGGCAAUCGCCUCAAACCACCACCUCGCCUCACCCUCCAAGCCGAGGCCGCACCCUCAAACCACCACCUCCCUCGGUCACUAACUCAUCAUUGAUUCGAGGUACGCACAUCAUUCCGAAUUUCCGAUUCAAUUGUGUUUUCUUAAUGAGAAAGAUAAAUGUUUGAGCUAUGUGUGUGGUUCAUUGUGAAUUUGUGAUAGAGUGAUCAAUCAUCUGGUGUGUAGUUCAUUGUGAAUUUGUGAAUUUAUUUCUGUGAUAAUGUGUGGUUCAUUGUGAUUUGUGAAUAUGUUAUAUAUAGCAGGAAAUUUAUUUUUUUUCAAAAGGCUUACGCCUUCUUACGCCUUACGCCUCAAGGCUUACGUUUUGGUGAGACUCUCGCUCCAUAGCCUCGGCUACGCCUUAGCCUUUUAAAACAUUGAUCCCCACAAAAGACUAUAUAGAAUGAUAACUUAACUCUACAUUAUAUCCAUGUAAUUCUCUAAAUUGGUUAUAAUGCGACUAUUUCAUUCACACACACAAAAAAAGAGAAAAUCAGCUUUAAGAUAGGGCAAUAGGUGAUUCCCUAAAUUGUGAUUUACUUAGAUUUACUUACCGAAUUAGCGUUAUUCAUUUUGUUUGCAAUGUUUUAAGAUCAGUUUUUGUGUUUCUUAGUUUCACAUUAUAUUAUUUGAAAUUUUAUUUUUCCCAUCUUCAUAUUUUUCUUUUCCUUUCCUCAAAAGUUAGAACUAAUCAUCUGAGAUUGUGUGAUUUGUGUGAUUACUUGAGCAUAAAGCUUCAGCACCUGGCAGCACUUUGGUGUUGAUAGUUACCCACCUGGCUGGAUUGUGGUGGGUUGCAGCCUUCUUGAGUACAUGUCCAUUAUUCAACAACAGUAAGAAACACACUUAGAAUGAUGCCAUGAUCCUUGUGAUUCAUAUCAAUAAUUAUGAGUGCAAACCUCUGACUUUUAGCCUAAAGGAAUAGUCAACAUCAUCACUUUUGCAACCCCAACCUAUUUCUUUACAUCUCUUGUUUGAAAAGAAAGCUCACCAGAAGACCAGACCAAUCCAGUUCCUUUUCUUUUGUGUUGGGUAAUUCAAGUUUUCUUUGCAUCAUUAAAAAAUCCAUGGAGUAGUAGAUUUGGGAAGUUUUGGCAACAUAGUGUGGUUGGUUGGUUUGGCUGGAUUAAAAGAGAAGAAGUAGAGAGUAGUUUUAGUAGAAAGAAGCAAAUGGAACCGGAAGCGGAACAAAUGCAGAUAUUCCAAAUUAGGCAAAAGCCACUUUGUUUCAACAGAAAGUGAGAUUGAUGACCAAUUCUGUGCAAAAAAAAUAAUCUUAUGCUCUCAAAUGAGAAAUCUCAACUCUCAGUAUCUCAGUCCCAUUGAGACACGUUUUCUCUAUUAUUAUCACCAGUCACCACCAACUGAGAAAAGCCACUAAAAAUGCAUCCAAAAUCCCCACUUGCGCGUGCCUUUAGGCGAGAAAGGCGAGCGAAAGUUGCUUGUGUGCGAUCUUCAACCGUUGAUGCAUUUAAAUUUUAUUACGUAUGUUUUAUGCGUAAUUUUUUAUCGAAUAUUAUUAAAUGCUUUUGAUCGACCAUAUCAUUUAUGCGUAUUUUUUGUUGAAUAUUUUGAAACGGUCUUUGUUGAUAGUAUCGUUUGCGUAUUUUUUUCUUUGAAUAUUAUGAAAUGCUUUUUGUCUACUGUUUUAAGCUCAUUUUACUUGAUAUAUCUCUCAACAUGCGGACAAAGUCCUGAAGUUGUCCAAAAAUUUAUCAAAAAGCAAGUGAAAAUCAUAUUUUCAUAAGUCGGUAGAGUAUAGGUUAAGAAUUUGUCAGCAUGAAGUUGUGAUAAAAGAAUCUUACUAUAAUUAAACUACGCACAACAUUAGAGCAUUUAUCAACAUAACAACUUUGCGUGAGCCGUUAUAGUUAAGCUAUGUGAUAUGUUUUAACAAAUCAUAAGCUGACACAUGGGCAAAAAUGGGAAAACAGAUAUAGGUUUUGUUUUAGCGAUUCAUGACUCAGUUGACAAAUUUAGCAGUUUUGUUUAGCAAUCGUUUAGGUAUACUGUUUGAGUUCUUAUUUAUCUCAAAAAUUGACAAAUUUCAUAAAUAAAUAAAAAAAUAACAAUACAACUGAAUAUGCUCUAAAUUAUCUUUUCUUAGCUUCUGAACUAUCUCUUUGAAGCAUACUAUGAUUUUCGCCACCUUCAAAAACAAACAACAAUGGUGUCAAGAAAUCUUAUUCUAUGUCUUCAUCAAUGAAAGUUGAUCUUUAAUCUAGUCUACUACACUAAAGAUAAGAGAAAUGCUAACAAUAUUUUUUUUCGUAUCUUCUUGUUCAAUCAUUUUUUGUCCAGUACCAUUUGAUUUAGUGGGAUAAGUCUUCUCUUGUAAGUAAAAGUUUAUGAGUUUGACUCACAAUAGACUCGUUGAUGUAUACAGACUAAAUUUUAUCGUCACUCAACAUGCCUCAUGAUCAUAGCGUUGUUUUUUCAACGGUCAUCAAAUAAUAUUGGACAAUUAAAUGAGAAAGUUGCUAGAAUCCUUAUUAGCCUAAAAGAAAUAUCUGUGCAAAUCUUUACGAAUCCUUUCGGGAGGGUGAAUAGUUGGAACCACUGCUCAGAGCUUGCAAGUUGAAUCAUGCAAAUCCAAAGAAGCUGUCACGAGCAGAGGGCUUUUUGUGUGGUGGGGCGAAUCGAACGACUCUCUAGUGAGUGAAAGGGUAAUGGUAAUGCCAAAUAUACGAAAGUGAUUGUGAUGUGUGGGAGAGGAGCCCUUGGAUCCAUUAACAUCAACUCCAACAUUAUAGGAGAGAGAAAGGAAUGAAAGAAAAGGGUGGGUGAUACACAUUCAUUCGUUCAUGUAUGAAUAAAGAUGUUGAUAGUGAUUAUUGUUCACAUGAAGGGUUUGUGUCCUUGAUUAAUUCUAGUUUGCUUCUAGGGUAGGUUUAUGUCCCGAAAUAUGACUUGGCUGAAAACUUUAGGAUCAAAACAGCUAGUAGGGCCGUUGAUAGAUGUUGCGCUGUAAAAUUGAAUUGUUGAAUGAUAGAACUUGCGAUGUUAAAUUGAAUUAUUGAAUGAUAUGAUUUCGCGGGUAUGAUUGUUAAUUUUAGAGGACCGCUAAUGACACUCCAAUUUUAAGAUAGUGACAGUUUUGCUCCAAUCCUGAUCUAUGGUGCAUUUUUAUCAAAGAGUGUAAAUGGCUAGAUGCUUUAUAAAAGAUCGAUUUAGAAAUCAGGUAGUUAAAUUGUAACAUUAGUAUCACUUUUGAGUUCAGCCACUUAAUUUUUCUAGCAAUUUUGUCUAUAAUUAUAACAUUGGCUUAAUAGUUUUUUUCUUAUCAAUUACACAACCUAAAUACUAUAAAAAGUCUUUUAUGAGUUAAAUUCAUGACCUCUCUCACUUAUAAAAAAGUGAUUAUGUCACUAGACCGAAUAAUAAUAUGCACAUUGGUUCAAUAACCGAAUAAUUAUUAUUCACUAGACCGAAUAAUAAUAUGCACAUUGGUUCAAUAACUUGUCGAACGUAUUAUACAGUCCAAAUGUUGUGAUCGUUUAUGAACAUGACGUCCUAAAAUGUCUUUUAAAUCCGUAAAUAAUUCAAGAACAGUUUUUGGACUUUCCUAAUUUCUAUCUUGAAGUCGAUGAUGACGUGUAUUAUUGAAGUAACAGUUAAGCGAAAAUUCUUCUUGUAGAUUUGGAAAUCUAAACCAGAAAUGGACCUCUCGAAAAUGGUAUAUGACAUUAACAAUAAGAAUAUAAACGAAGUAAAACACAAUCAGAAGACUAAGUUAGAAUACAAGGGAAAAUUAGGGUUUCUGUUGAAAUGAAAAGACAACCCACAGCAAAACAAAAACGCACGUCAAAUCAGAUACCUUUUCUUCCCCAAAAUCUCAGAUCACACAUAUCUCUCCCUCCAGCUCGACCUCUCACCGGCCACCAAUAUUUGGUUUUGGCUGUGUUUUCUUUGGAACCAUAUCAUUAUUCGUAGCCAGUAUUGUUUCAGCCUUUCAGAGCUUCAGGUUUUAAACCGAUCCCACAUAUAUAGUAGGUUUCUGAGCUUCACGUUUCUGAACCAUCUCGGAACUGGAAAGCUGCAAAGAGAAGCACCAAAGAAACCCUAGCUAUUCCCGUGAUACGGUGAUAGAGGAUCAGAGUGUGGCCAGGUUUUUUGCCAACUGGGUCGAGUUGGGUUUUGUCUGAGAAGGACUAUAUGAUCUCGGGUCACCUCCCACAGAUCUCGUAUAUAAUUAUAUGUCUGAGUUGGGUUCUUUUCUUGAUGCGAUUACGUUUGUGUGCUCAUGUUUAUCUUAAUAUCCUGUUACUAUAAUGCAAGCUGAAGUUGUCUUCCCCCUUUAGAACCUUUAUCUAGUUAUCUACACUUUGCGAUUGAUAUAUGACUAUAUAAGAGAUAAGCAUGAUAAACAAGUGACAUAAUUUAGUUAGACGUCAACUUAUAAUAACCUGUGGCUUGAGAGAUAAUCAAGUGCAAUUGUGCAAACAACAUAUAUAAAUCAAAUUCUCAUGUAGCAGAAGAAAAAAAGUUACAGAUUAAGAAGGUUAGUUUUCGAGCUGGUUCCUUAUUAUGCCUCCUAUGUUGGACCGUCGAGUUUGCUUCCAAUGAAGGGAAUGUAACAAUGUUGCUAAUUCAUUUCGAAGGAAUGUGAUAGCUUCUAAUCCAUCCCUUCUAUCGGGGUCUAUAAAUAUCUCAUGAAUUUUGGUGGCUAUAUUUCCAAGAGUUCUAUAGGAAAGUGAGAGUUUUAAACUUCGAAUUCAAAAAGCUUAUGAAACCAACAUGCAAGAAAUGAGUAGGAAAUUAGGAACGCAGCUAUAACGUUAGUCCGCCUCAUUGCUCACUGAAAUUUCUACGAUCGUUAGUCCGCCUCAUUGCUCUAGAUUGGCCGUUUUGACAUAAGACCAAACCAAAACGAGAUUAGCCAAAAUUAAUCACCUAAUCAACUACUCUAACCAUCUGCUCACCAUGUUUAUAAAACAGAAAGCUCAAUCUCACUUUUGAAGGCCUCUCUCUUUUCUCCAAAGUUACGACAGCGACGGCUGCCUGGUUGCUCCAUUUGUAUAGGUGGACACGGCAUCUGUAUCUAUCCCCCCACAAAAAUUUAAAGUGCCCAACAUUCAAGUAUUCAACCCUAAAAGAAACCCAAAGUAAACAAUAACAGAAACAAAAGAACUCGAAGAAGAAGAAGAAGAAGCAGAAGAGAGAAUCUAUGCUAUGCUCUCUUUCACCAUGUGUUGCUCUUGUUGUUGUUGUUGGUAUUAUAUCCCCGUCCCCACCACCCCAAAUUAGACCUCCUCCUCCUCCUCUUACUUCCUCUCCCUGCAACUAACUCCUGCUUCUUACUCCCCCAGCAUUCAUCUCUCUCUCUCUCUGCUUUACUCUUUAUCUUCUUCAUUUAGUUUUUUUGUUUUCCGAUUACUCCAUCUUCAUUAGUUUAUUCCCAAAAAGGUUUCAGAUUUUAUAAAACCAAGUCCGGCAUAUAUUUUAUUUGUGGGUUUUGCUCACAAGUCAGACGCACCCUUUCAAAAUCUCCACACAAGAAUCGUUUCUUUAUUCAUUCUCGGAGAAAAGUCUCGUGCUUUAUUAUUUUAUCCAUACACUACACAACUCGCUAGCCGGCGAUGCCGACGCCGGUAGGCGCAGCGAGGCAAUGUUUGACGGAGGAGGCGGCGCGUGCGUUGGACGACGCGGUGGCCGUGGCGCGUAGGCGGAGCCACGCCCAGACGACCUCGCUUCAUGCUGUUUCGGCUCUGCUUUCACUUCCUUCGUCUGCUCUCCGCGACGCGUGUACACGCGCCAAUAGCAGCGCGUACACGCAACGCCUCAAGUUCCGGGCGCUGGAGCUCUGCGUCGGGGUGUCGCUGGACCGGUUGCCGUCGGCGAAGGCGCAAGAGGAGCCGCCGGUGUCGAACUCACUGAUGGCGGCGAUCAAGAGGUCUCAGGCGAACCAGAGGCGACACCCGGAGAGCUUCCACCUGCACCAGAUUCACAGCCAGCAGCAAACGGCGUCGCUUUUGAAGGUGGAGCUCAAACACUUCAUUUUGUCGAUUCUGGACGACCCGAUUGUGAGCCGGGUCUUGGGCGACGCCGGGUUUCGGAGCUGUGACAUAAAGCUCGCGAUUGUUCACCCGCCCGUGACGCAAUCAAAUCGAUUCUCUCGGGCUCUGGUCCCGCCCAUUUUCCUCUGCAAUCUAACGGAUCCCGACCCGGCCCGUAUGAGAUUCCCUUUCCCGCUCGCGGGAAUCGAGGAGAGGGGAGACGAGAAUUGCAAGAGAAUCGGGGAGGUGUUAGUUAGAAAGAGCGGGAAGAAUCCCUUACUCAUCGGCGUAAACGCCGCCGAAGCUCUCGGAAGCUUCAUGACAGCUGUACAGAAAGGCAAGUUACCACUCUUGCCUCCUGAAGUUAGUCGGUUUGGUGUAGUCACUCUCGAAAAGGAAAUUGCGGAGUUUGUGGUGGACGGUGGGAGUGAAGAGAAGAUGAGCUCGAAGCUGAAGGAGGUGAGUCAUUUGGCCGAGCAAUGUUCCGGGGAUGGAGCCGGUGUGAUAGUCAAUUUUGGCGAAGUGAAGGCUUUGGUUGAUGAGGGUGUAGUGAGUGAUGCUUUGAGCUUUGUGGUGGUUCAAUUGAAGGAGUUGGUUGAGAUGCAUAGUGGGAAACUGUGGUUGAUCGGCGCAGCGGGGAGUAAUGACAUGUAUAUGAAGCUUUUGGCUCGGUUUCCGGCCAUUGAGAAGGAUUGGGACCUUCAUCUCCUUCCCAUUAGCUCUUCCAAGGCUUCUGUGGAUGGAGUUUACUCUAAAUCAAGGUGAUGCUUCAACUCUAGUUUUGGUUUUUUCUCCUUUUUCGAGUUUAGAUUGUUAUUGUUUCUUUGGAUAAUGUGUGAAAAUUUGGAUAGUGUUUAGAGAAGAAAGUAUUGCUUGAUUUCAUCACUCUGGUUUUCUGGUUGUAUAAUUUUUUUUUGCCAUCUGAUCACUCCAGGAAAAUAAAUAGAAACUUUUUUUUUGAAUAGAUUAGUAACACUAGUAGUCUUUUUCCUUUUGUCAUCUAGUCUUUGCUGCAUUAUAUUACCCUCCAUGAUUCUGUACUAUGAUGUCACUGCUGUUUUCAGUUAUUUUAUAAAAUAAAAUACUUUACAUCAUUAAAUCAGACACAAACAUUCGCUUCUGAAUGACACAAGUAUUGCCUCUAGUUUGAGCUGAAAAGCUUGUUUCAUGUGAUUUAAGAUGGGUAAUUGUUCCAGAUUUUUCUAUGAGAUUUUUUUGCUGCGGGAGUCGAGGUUUUUUCAUUUUCUAACCAUGUUCCAGAUCAGUAAUUGUUAUCACUCAAGUUUGAGAUAAAUAGUCCAUCUCAUGUUAUCAGUAAUUGUUAUGAGAAAUGUGUGUUCCGGUAGUCAUCAAGAAUUUUUCAUUUUUUAACCAUAUUCAGGGUCACUAUUGUUAUAGCCUCAAGUUUGAAAUGACGAGCUCAUUUCAUGUUAUAUAACAUUAAUAUUUAUUCAAGCUUUUACUAUGUGAAAUGUGUUUUCCAGUGAUCAUCAAUAACUUUCCAUUUCCUGACCAUGAUGAGGGUCACUGAUAUUAUUGCUUCGAGUUUGAGAUGAAGGGGCUUGUUCAUGUGAAAUAUUAGGUUGAACAUUAUGCUCGAGUUCUCUAUAAAAAUUAUUUUCCAGUGGUAGUCAAGAAAUUUGUAUUCUGUUAAUCUUGGAUCAAUGAUAAUUUUUUUAAUGAAAUGUCAGUCUUAUAUUCUAGAGAACAGAGCAGUAUUUGAACAAGUAAACUACGUAUGCAAGUCAAGUUUAGUGGGAAGUUUUUUUGUCCGAACUUUAUCCUGCUUGAAGUUUCAUGAUGAAAAAAUAAGGUUGAUAGCUCUUUCUUAACCAAAUUCACGGGGCUGGUUUCAUUGAGCUCAAAAUGUGUGUUUCAUUCAUGCCUUUCGGUCUUUUUGUUGGUAGUUUUAACUUUUUUAGACUUAUAUACGGUAACUUUCACUUGAUUGUAAGAUGUUUAUGAAUUUUUCUGCAGCAAGCUAUAGUUUCUAUCUGUUGUUACUUGGUCUAUCUACAUAUAGUAGUGUAGGUUUGAAGCUGACGACCCAUCACUAUGGGGUUAAUGAUUCUGCAAUCACUAGUUCCAGAGUGUUACUUGGUCUAUCUAUAUGUCAUAUGUACCCUAUGUUGUAUGUGCUGUAUGCCUGUAUGUUAUGAUGUUUAACUUGCUAGUUCUAUUGCAAGCUGUGUAUGUGUGCAUGUUUACAUGUUUAAGACUUCAAGGCAUAUGCUUUAGCUUCUGACUAUUUUGUGCUCGUUGGGUCUCACAGUUCCAUACUCAUGAUAUACUUACAGCUUGUUGGGGUCCUUUGUUCCACUUGCGGGAUUCUUCUCUGGACCUUCCGACUUUAUAAAUCCACUGAGCAUCACAAAUCAAUCUUUUAUACGCUGUCAUCUGUGCACAGAGAAGUAUGAGCAAGAAGUUGCUUCUAUUUGGAAAGAUGGAUCAGCCAUUACAGUAGGUGAUCAGUGCUCAACUAGCUCACCUUCUUGGUUGCAAAUGACUGAACUUGACACUGGCAAGGGAGUGGAUCUCGUAAAGGUGUGUACGCCCUUCAAAGUUUAAUUAUAUGGCUCAAGUUGGCAUUAAGUUUGUGCACACAAGCAUGCACGCACACACAUAUACGUGAAGCUAAACACACGCUUCUCAUGAUUGGUUUGAUUAAUAUGUUAUUCAUCAAAUUAAUUUCGAAAAUAAAUGAGUAACAGUGCUCUCCAUUAUUCACUGCAGACCAAAGCUGAUAGUACGACAUUGAGUGAUACAGUAUCAGGACUGCAAAGGAAAUGGAAUGAUAUCUGCCGAAAAAUUCAUCAUGCUCAAUCAUUCCCUAACAUGGACAAUUGUCAUGCUGGGUCUCAUGGUGCAUCUCCUGAGGGCUCUCACAUUGCUGCAGAUAGAAGAGAAAGCAGUGGUGAAGAUUCAUCUAUGCAGGAAAACCAAAGUGCAAAAUAUCUCUGCCUUCAGAUGGACAGGCAGAAGAGUUUUCUUUCAAAACAAAAGUUACUAAUGCAAGUAGCUUCUGAUGCUGAAAAUGCUGGUACACAAACCAAGCAAUUAGUUAUAGAUUCAAAUGGUCAGCAACUUGAACUGGGAAGCCCCUGCCGUUCACCUUUUCCUAUCGUCACUAUGAAUCUUGCCACUGAUCGCACGUCAUCCUCAACUGUAACUUCAGUGACUACAGAUUUAGGAUUGGGAACCUUAUAUGCAUCAACUAGUCAGGGACCAAGCAAUCCCAAGUUACAAGAUCAUAGAGAGUGUCGCCAACGCCUCUCUGGUUCCGUUUCUGCUGAAUUCGAUGCAGUAAGUGACAAUAGUUUACAUCAAAUAACCCAGUCCUCUUCCUGCUCUGGAUCUAAUUUUGGUGGGCAGUUUGAUCCAAGAGAUAUCAAGUCACUUAGGAGAGUUCUCACAGAAAAGGUUGGCUGGCAAGAUGAAGCAAUAUGCACCAUUAGUCAAGCUAUAUCCCGUUGCACGUCUGGUGGUGGAAGGCAUCGUGGUUCAAAAGUCAGAGAAGAUAUAUGGCUGACUUUGGUUGGACCCGACAGAGUUGGAAAGAAGAAAAUCGCUGUAGCACUUGCCGAGCUUAUGUUUGGCACUAGGGAAAGCUUAAUCUCUGUUGACAUGGGAGAGAGGGGAUGUGAUUCUGACUCUAUUUUUCAAUGGGAAUCCCAAGAUGAUUAUGAUGUGAAGUUUAGGGGUAAGACGGCUGUAGAUUAUGUUGCCGGGGAAUUAAGCAGGAGACCCCAUUCAGUUGUCUUCCUUGAAAAUGUAGAUAAGGCUGAUUUUCUGGCCCAAAGUAACUUGUCCCAGGCCAUUAGGUCUGGCAAGUUUCCAGACUCUCAUGGCAGAGAAAUCAGCAUUAACAACAUGAUCUUUGUGAUGACUUCAGCUACUAAAAAGGGCAGCAAAAUCCAGUACUUGGAGAAUGAACCCCUGAAAUUCUCAGAGGAGAUGGUACUUGGUGCCAAGAGGUAUCAAAUGCACAUAGUGAAUAUUGGGGAUGCCAACCAAAUGAAGGGUGUGAAUGUGAGGAUUGCAUCAAGGGAAGGAACCUUAAACUCAUCUUCUGUAAAUAAGAGAAAGCUGAUUGACAGCAGUGCCGCCAUAGAGGAAACCUCAGAGUUACAGAAACGGGGCAACAAGGCAUCAAGGUCCUUUCUGGAUCUGAAUCUGCCUGUUGAAGAGAUAGAUGAGGGAAUGAAUUGUGGAGACUAUGACAGUGACUCCAUCUCCGAAAACUCAGAAGCUUGGAUGGAAGACUUCCUUGAUCAAGUAGAUGAAACAGUGGUUUUAAAGCCAUUCAACUUCGAUGCUCUUGCUGAGAAAAUAGUGAAGGAAAUCAACCAAGAAUUUAAGAAAGUCUACGGACCUGAGGAUCAGCUGGAGAUCGACUCCAGAGUCAUGAUUCAGUUACUUGCAGCUUGUUGGUUAUCAGACAAGAAGAGAGCAUUGGAGGAUUGGAUUGAACAGGUUCUCUCCAUAAGCCUUGCUGAAGCACGUCAGAGGUAUCGUCUCACUGCUCAUUCUGUAAUAAAAUUGGUUGCCGGUGGAGCACUUUCGGUGCAAGAGCAAACUGCCGGUGUUUGCCUUCCUGCUAGAAUUAGUCUGAACUAAUUUUGUGCUCACUGUGCUAUCUGUAAUUACAUGUAUAAUGUAGCUCUUAGCAUAUAGUAUCUGGCAUUAGAAAAGCUUUUGUUUUUCUGAUCAAUCUUUAUGAUUUUUUGGGUAAAUCAUUCUGUGUUUGUAAGAAUGUGCAAAUUCCUCUAGAUCUUGGAGAGUUAGUCACUUAGUUGUCUAGGUUGUAACUUGUACCCUAUGUUGUAACAUGUAUCCUACAUUGUUUGCUUCAUGAUCCAUCUAGUCUAGUUUGCAACCUCAACCUACUUCUCCAUGUUCUUCACUUCUUUUCAAUUCUCAUAUUUAUUUUGUUCGGGCUACUGUUUACCAUUUCCAAAGCCCAAAUUUGAAGAGUGCUGAAGGUUUGCAGCCCACUAUUUUUAUAAACAAAAAGGUAGGAGCAAGAAAAGAAGAAAGGUACACACACCUCCCCACUUACCCACUAUUACCAUGAGGAUUUUGAUCCAACUUUCCACUGAAAAUAUAUUCCCCACUUCAUGAAAAAGAAACCAGCAUUUGAAAGUUUGAGGAGAAAGUGAUUGUAUUUCCACUUUCUAAAAAAGUUGAACAAUUAAGCCCAUCCUUAUUAUUAUUAUUAUUUUUUUUUAUGAAAAUGAAAUUCACAAAAAACCUAUUUGAUAUUCUAACUAAGAUUCUUCUCCGCUUUUUUAUCAUCUCAAAUCCUCGAUGGAUUAUUUUUCGUAUUUGAUAAAUUUUUACGAAUGUGAUCCUCUUUAUCUUUCUAAUAUAGGGUUACUAAUUGUGACUGUUUACUCUAAAUAUUCGAAUAUCGACUAAUCUAACAACAUUUCAUUUGGUUAUAUCUAACACGAAUCACAUCAAUUAGUUAUGAAAGCUUAUAGAUAACAUAUAGUUGGCACCUCCAAACUUCUCGAGACUUCAUUUUGCGCAUGCAAAUCGAAUAACGCUUGACAAAGAAAGCGAAAACCAAAGGAGAAGAGCCAAAAAGAAAUCCACCGUCCGUGUGCCAACAUCAAAUUGGAAUCAGAAACUUUGAUACUGAUAAAGUGAUAAGUGAUGAAAGAGGAAGUGGUGUGAAAGAAGUGAUCACAACACAUAAAAAGUCUCUUUCCACAUUUCCACCUCACAAGAAAACGACACCAAGUGAUUCAGACCCCUUUCUCUUCUUCUUUGCUUAUUUCAUGGACCAGGAAUUUCCUCACAAAUUUCCUCAUAUCUUCGAUGUCGUUUACUCACCACUGGUGUCGUAUUCGAGCCUGGACUUUUCAAUCUGAAAGGGGAAGGCCUGUGUUUCAACUUUGGGACUUUUUAUUUAGUCAAAUUUGGCUUUGGCAUUGGGACACAAUCUGAGCCGUUGGAGUGUCCACUCUGCCAUAGAGGGAAACUGGAGGACCGUCAGAUUAUCUUCUUUUUUGGAUUUUCUUUUUAAAGGAAUUGGAAUUUUUCUCUUUGCGAAGUAGCAUCCAGAAACUGGGUCUAUCCAAUUAUUCAUGAAUUGUGUUUAGUCCUAGACUCCUUGUCUUGGAGCUCAACUUCAUAUUCUUGCCUCUCUUCAAUGUAUGGUGAUAUUUAUAGUUUAUGUCCGUUUAUUUAACAACAUAUGACUCUUCAAUGAAAAUUGAGCCAUGUCUAUUUCUAGUUAUAUAAUUGCAUUAAGCAACUGUGAGAGCCUGUUAUGGUUAAACAGAGAUGACACAUGCACCAAGUAAAUCAGUGUGAAUCCAAACCUUCUACUCGAAUAUAAGUUUGAGAAUGAGAAGCUUGUUAAGAUAUCGGAAAGAGGUUUAGUUAUAUUAGCAAUGUUUACAUAUUCAUUAAUCGGAGAUAAUGAAUAUUGGAGAUAAAUUAAAAGAUACAUGUAGAGUAAAUUAUCACGAAGUCUAACAACUACAUGACAGACUCUUCUUUAAUAAAACUUGAUUUGGCAAGUGUAAAUUGACUCAUCAACUGAGGGUUAGAAUAGAACGCACCUCGUGCGUGACAAAAAAGAAAUAGAGCGUUGUUCUCUCCCGACCAAACACCGCCGGUACUCACGCCUCUGCGUUUCGGUCCGGGAGGGGAUGUUUGUCCAUGACAGUGGUGAGAUUACUGGGUAGAAACAAGGUCUGGGUUUCGUGAAGGGUUCUUGCGAUCGGGUUGGGUAGAUCAAUCUCGAUUUAUGCCUCUCAGAUCGUCGGCAAGCGCAGGUGAAGAGUUGCGGCCUGAGUUUGUUGCUUGAAGGAGGGAAUCAUGCAAAACUUGUACAUGUCUUUCUUAGAUUUGGGAUGUUGCUGCUUUGGAGAAGGAGACUGAAGGUCGGAGAGUAGGCUGGAUUCGGUGGUACGACGGGCUGGCUUGCCGAGGGGCUGGCGGUGCCGCGUUGUUCGAUAUUGAUAGGGUGAAGUAGGGUAUGACGACGGUGGUGAGAUCUGGGUGGUUUUGUAGCAGAUAUCUCUAACUGGGAGGGUGGUGUACAUCUAAUCUGUCAAGGCUCUAUGGGCCUGGGCCUUGGGAGCUGCUGGGUAUUGGGCUCCUGAUUACCCUGGGCUUUUGCCUUAUGAUCCAAGGUAUGUGCCUGUGCUUGGGCUAUAGCUUGGGUUUGGGGUUUCAACCAACGAGGUAUCUAUCUUAUAUUAUAUUGCUCAUUACUUUAUCAAGUUAUUUCAGGCUUUAGUUUUUCGGCCCAUGUCACCCAUGUGGUGCAUUUUUAUCCCUACGUGGAUUAUUCUGGUUUGGUCCAGCAUAGGAGGAAUCGGUUCUUCAUACUGGUGCCAAUCAGUCCCAAAUCUUUCCAAAUUAUUGGUCACCCAACACCAAAACAACCCAUCAACCACCAUUUUUAAACCGUCAUGAUUAUGGGUGCUCAUGCGUGAGUUUAUCACCCCUCAUCUUAGUUGGUAUCAGUUCUUGGGUACGUUUUUCGGUCCUCUCUCGGCAGCCUCAGCUUAAUCAUGGCUUUGGUUUAGUUGGUGGAUUGUAUGGUGUUGUUUUGAGAAAGUUUUUCCUCUUGGUUGUGGGUUUCCAUAUGAUUUGUGCGUUAAGAUUUGGUAGAUAUCAGGUAGUCGGGCAACAACGCUCCGAUUUAGCACUCCACACUUACUCACAACUGUUGGCGGCGAUGGUGAUGACGAUGACGAUGACGAUGACGAUGACAAUGUUAUCGUGCAUGGGUGGUGUGUGUGGUAGAUUUGUUAGUAUAGUUGUAUUUAUGCUUUCAGAUGUAGGGCGGCGAUGACAAUGCUAGCGUGCAUGAGUGGUGUGUGUGGUAGAUUUGUUAGUAUAGUUGUAUUUAUGUUUUCAGAUGUAGGGUUUUCGGUCCAUAGUUUAGUGAGUUGGUGGUUUCUUUUCACUCUUUCUAUUUUGAUCGAGUCGGAGACUCAUGUUCUUCAUUAUUAGUUUUUUCAGCCUUGCAAUUGCAGGUUUGUAAUUUGAGUUUGUCUCUUAAUUACUAAAAUAUUAAUUUCUCUCCAGAAAAAAAAAAAAAGACAUCAAGAAUCCUAAUGACAAUGUGAAUAGCUAGACUUUGAUGAGUUAGAUGAUCCAACACCACCCGAAACACUAGGAACAUUUAAUGCAUGAGACAUACCAAACAAACUAGUAUCAUUUUUUUUAUAGGAAUUGUAACCGUAAUUGUUAUGUUAAGUUUCCUCAUUUCAUCAUAUCUGCAUAUUGUACUAUGUACACGAAGGAACUUAAAUGACAAAAUUAAAUAAUAGUCUGUCAUUCAUAUUCAAACAUAACAUGUCAAAAAGUUGUAGUAACUAACAUCGAAAAUAUGACAGAGAUUAAUCUAAUAUUUUAUACCAUCAUAGAUUCAUCAACAAAUAAGAAGAAGAUAAAAAAGAGCAUAACGAAUAGAAACAGAAGCGAUUACAAAAGCUAAGAAUACGAUGUGAUCAUGUUUCCCAAGUUGACUACAGAAUACUACGAUUCUCUAACAUAAAUGUUGCAACCAUUAAUUUAAUUUAUGAAAAUGACUAGCGGAAAAUGUUGAAAAGAUGAAAAAUAUAAUUUUCCAGAAAAGAAUAAACCUAGGCGGCCCACGUUUUUGGACUUUUUGAUCAAUUACUCAAUUAAGCUUAUGUCAUGAAUAUAUAUCCUAUUUAUAAUAUUGCGCAGUUAAUCAGAAAAAAUAAGAAAUAAAAUUCCAUUUUGCAGGCGUAAAGGGUUGUUUCUAGAAAUCAUCGAAACCUGCCUUUCUCAUUCGUCCAUCAGUCGAUCCUAUCAAAGUGUCACUUGUGCAUCCACAUCCUUAACAUAAUCUAUUAAUAUCACACACACACACUUAGUAAUGAUAACAUUCGAUUUCAUAAUCGUUUAUUUUGAUUCUUAAUCCGUCGUGACUUACGAAAAACCGAAAACUCUAACUUUAUGUCUUUAUCGCUCAAUCAAUUAACAUAGAAUAAACAAUGUUAAAAAAACAAAAAAAAUAUUUUGUUCGAGUUAAAAGGCUCAUUCCUACGCUCAUAUUAUAAUUCAUUAAAGAAAAACACACAAAAAUAGAUGUAAUAUUCUUGAUGGUUUUUCAUUCGGCUCAAACUUUACAAGAUCAAUUUAUACCAAUGAGACAACAAGUUCAACUGUUGUAUCGUCCAAAAAUCCCCUUAGCUGAGUGAUUCACAAGAUGAACAGAUGAAAUUAAGAAUUUUCGGAAGAGAUCAUCGUGGAUGGAUGAGGCUAAACGAAGAUUGACCAAGAGUCUAACUCCCCACUUAUAUUCGCCUGUCAUGUCUACUGUUGUGACUGCCCGGUACACUUAUCAUGAUCAAGUGACCGACGGUAUUAAAUGCGUCCACGUCAUCCGCCAAUGACAAAACAACGCGUCAAAAAUCAGGUGUCAGAACCACCCAACUUUUCCUGAGGUCGGCUCCAGAGGAUCCUCUACACGUGGCAACCCCUCACUCGAAGGCGGUUUGAUAUUAUAAACCCCCUGGGACCCACCCCCGAGUUUUAGAAAGCUUUACCCUUUGCGAUUUGUCAGAAGGAAAAUUAUAAGAAAGAGAAAAGAAAUUUGGAGACGAAGUCGAAGAAGAAGAGGCAGAGGGGUAGGUGUUCAUACAGCCUCGUCUUUUUGACUCCAAAAACAAAUAAAUAAAUAAAAAGGAGAAGUCUUUGUCUUUGGUACAGUUCUGGCCGGCUAGUUAAACAAGGCUGUUUGGGUUCUUCUGAGCCCACUCUUGACUUGUGCUCCUCCUCCAUUUCUUGGUUUUAAGGUAUGCUCCCUGAAUGCUUCCACUUCUUUUUUGCUGGGUUUCAUUGAUUUGAGGUUGGAUUCUACUUGGGUUUUCUUUAAUCUUGUCAAAGUUUGUAGCUUUAUGAAUAAUUGAGUAGUUGGGGAGUUUAAAGUUUGGUUCUUUUGGAUUGUUUUGUUUUGAGUUGAGUUGAAUUUUGAUGUUCCCUGUUUUUUGGGUAGAGGGUGUGUUUGUUAUUUGGUUUUGGUGGUUGGGUUUGUAACAGAUUUUUGUGUUUGUUAUUUUUGUUUAUAGAAUUGAAUUGAAAAUUUGAAACGAUGUUUGUGAGGGUUGUGGAAUUGAUUGUGUGUUUUGAUUUUGUAGAAAGAGAGCUUUUUGAAGGCCGAUUUCCAUGUGCAGCGGUUCGAAGAGGAAGCCUUGUUCCACUGACUCGACCACCACUGACUCGACCAUGGAUCAUGAGAAACAGGAAGGGUUCAGGUAUAGCUUUUCGAUUUUGCUGGAGUUAGCGGCGGCUGAUGAUCUUGAUGGGUUCAGAAGUGCUGUGGAGGAAGAUGGUCAUGAUGUGGAUGAGGCGAGUUAUUGGUAUGGGAGGCGUGUUGGAUCGAAGAAGAUGGGGUUUGAGGAGAGAACACCGCUGAUGAUUGCUGCUAUGUUUGGCAGCAUGAAUGUGUUAAAUUAUAUCCUUCAGACGUGUCGAGUUGAUGUGAAUAGAGCGUGCGGUUCGGAUAGGGCCACUGCUCUUCAUUGUGCUGCUACUGGUGGCUCUGGUGCUUCGGCUGAGGUUGUCAAGGUCUUGCUUGCUGCUUCUGCGGAUGCCAGUUGUAUUGAUGUUAAUGGAAACCAAGCUGGGGACUUGAUUGCACCUGCUUAUAGUUCAUCCUUCAACUCAAGGAAGAAAGCUUUGGAAGUCAUGCUCAAGGGCGUAUCCGGUUUAGAUGAGGCUUUUGAUUAUUCUGAGCAGAUGGCUAGAGAAGCAGAAGGUGAAGAUCAGCAAGAGGUCACAACUCCUCGUGCCUCAAAGGAUGGGACGGAGAGGAAAGAAUAUCCUGUUGAUCUUUCUCUUCCAGACAUCAAGAACGGAAUUUACAGCACAGAUGAAUUUAGAAUGUAUACUUUCAAGGUCAAGCCUUGCUCUAGGGCUUACUCACAUGAUUGGACAGAGUGCCCAUUCGUUCACCCAGGAGAAAAUGCAAGGCGGCGUGAUCCAAGGAAAUAUCAUUAUAGCUGCGUUCCUUGCCCAGAGUUCAGAAAGGGGACUUGCAGGCAAGGGGAUGCUUGUGAAUAUGCACAUGGUAUUUUUGAAUGCUGGCUUCACCCUGCCCAGUACCGAACUCGUCUUUGCAAGGAUGAGACUGGAUGCACACGAAGGGUCUGUUUCUUUGCUCACAAAACAGAAGAGCUUCGUCCCUUGUAUGCUUCAACAGGUUCGGCUGUCCCUUCUCCCAGAUCAUUCUCUGCAGGUGCUUCUCUGGACAUGGGAUCAUUGAGUCCACUUUCGCUCAACUCGCCAUCUAUCCUGAUUCCUUCUGUUUCAACUCCACCUAUGACUCCAACCGGUGCUUCUUCCCCUAUAAAUGGAAACAUGUGGCAAAAUCAACCAAAUAUUGCACCCCCCACCUUGCAGCUCCCAGGUAGCAGGUUGAAGUCUACUCUAAGUGCUAGGGAUUUGGAUCUAGACAUGGAGUUCCUUAGCCUGGAAAAUCACCGUCGCAGGCAGCGCUUGAUAGAGGAGUUGUCCAGUCCCUCAUCCAACUGGAACAAUGGCUUAUCUAGUCCUUCAGCUUUCUCUGCCUCCGGGAAUCGAAUGGGGGAAUUGAAUAGGAUUGGUGGAGUGAGGCCUAGUAACCUGGAAGAUGCGUUUGGAUCAAUGGAUCCUACAAUGUUGCCUCAGUUGCAGGGGCUAUCACGGGAUACCACAGCAUCCCAGUUGCAAUCCCCAACUGGUAUCCAGAUGCGCCAAAACAUGAACAUGCAACUUCGGUCAAGCUACUCAGGCAGCCCCUCUUCAUCUCCUGUUAGGGGUUCUCCUUUGCAUGGGUUUGAUGCAUCUGGUGCAGCUGCAGUUUUGAGUUCCAGGUCAGCUGCAUUUGCAAAGCAGCGGAGCCAGAGCUUCAUUGAGCGCAGUGCUGCAAACCACAAUUUUGGGUUAUCCUCACCCGCCGAUUCUGGGUCUCCAAAACCUUCUAACCUCUCAAAUUGGGGCUCUCCUAAUGGAAAGCUGGACUGGGGUAUCCAGGGGGAAGAACUGAAUAAGUUGAGGAAAUCUGCUUCUUUUGGAUACCGAAACAAUGGAAAUAGCUUUCCAACUGUUGAUGAGCCUGAUGUAUCUUGGGUAAACACCCUUGUCAAGGAUGCACCACCACCUUCGAGACCUGGACCACUUGGUUUUGAAGAGCAGCAGCAGCAGCAGUGUCACCUGGAAAAUGGAGAUGCAGAGAUACUCUCUGCUUGGGUCGAGCAGUUGUACUUGGAGCAGGAGCAGAUGGUGGCUUAAUCUAAAUCCAAGUCCCACAGGAUUGCUCAUUGAUUAACGUUUAACUAUUAUUUUUUUUGUCAUUUGUUAAAUUUUUAUUCAUCAUAUCUAGGUCGAAGAAACUGGAGAAUGGGGGGGGGGGGGAGGGGCAAUAACCCAACGGAGAAAAAAGAUUAGUUGUGCUCUUACCAUUUCUUUUUAUUUUGUAAUCUUCAUUGAACUUUCUAUAUGAAUCUCAACCAGAAAGAUGCUUGAAUUAUGAUAGCAUUUCAUCAACGAGAAUCAUCAUUUUUAAAUUUUAUUUAGAUAAGGUUGGUCUGUUACACAGAUACUGAUGCAUUAAUCAUUGGUUAAUGAUGUUCAUAUCAAUUAGGCCGACUGUAUGUUCUCAUGUUGAUUCUAUUGUACACUUUCCUACUUAAUAAAGAUGUCUUUCUCAGAUAUUCAUGUCUUGAGGACUCCUGCUCAUUUCAAUAUUUCACCAUACUGGUUUGCCAUUUAGAUAGCUGUUGAACUUCGAAAUUCUUGCCAUUUUAAUUGCUCACUUCAAAGUUCUCAUCUGCAAUUUCUAUUUAGACCAAUCAGACAUAGAUUUUGAUACUUUUGCUUUUAUUUCUCUAUUGGCAUUAUAUAUCCCUGGAAGUGGUAACUAUCAUGGUGUUAAUUUGUUUGUUGAGGACAAACCUUGCUCUAAUUUCUUUCGUCUUAGUCUACUUUUGUGGUCGGGUGCAGUUGGGUCUUUGUCUUUCUUGGUAAUUAUUUGUUAGUGGUGUCAGACUAGAAAGAACGAGUAGUAUGGCUUUAGUACCACCAGCCACUCGGUCAGUGAUCCCUUGCUUCUAAUAAUUUUGAUACGCCUCAGUUGUGUUGUACCCACUCAAAAGACAUGUUUAGAGUAUUGUUAAUCGCUUUAUGUGCGCUCUCCUGUGUAUCUCAUGCGCUUCUGCAGGAGUAUAUGUUAUGAGAUUUUCUACAGUCCUACGAAUCAAACGAGUAGUCGAAAAAUAGUGCAUGCUCUAAAGGAAAAGGUUGUUAUGUUGAUCCAAAGGCUAAAAACAGGUGCGCGGGUAUGAUAGGUUUCCGGCUUUAUAACCUUUAUUAGUUGUCAAAUCAUCCUACUAUAGAGGUUAAGAACCUAAAUCUAUACAGGUGAUAUCGGUUUUGUAUGUAAAAGUAUGAAAUUUACAAUCAUAUUUACCUUAUAAAGAGGAGGAAAAAAAUGUUAGAACCGAAAGAGUGGGAGUUUUAUGACAGACCUACUAGUCUAAUACCAUGACUUUCAAUCAUGAACAUGGUUUGAUUAAGAUAUGCUAGCCAGAAAGGACCCCAUUGUUUUGAACUUCGAACUUUGAACAUGAAAUCCUUUUGAUGACAGAGUGCUAAAAGUCAUGUAACACAAGUUUGAAUUCGAAUCCUUUUUGAGUUAUGCUGCUUAUUGGUACAGUAAAAGAAGUGAUACAAUAGUAUGUUAGUUGCUUUAAUUUAUAGUAAUACCAAAUUUACAAUGGUGGUAAAUCUUACAGGUUUUGAAUUUCUAGUAGGAAAAUCCGCAAGUUGAUCUACAAGCUCCUCUAUCAGUUGGCCUAGAAUUUGCGACUCAAAAUCUGCAACUAUUCCUGCAAAACCUUCAUGAUUAUUCCAGAUGCCUUUGUGUACGCUCCAAUUUGAUCCAACCAAUUCAGCUUCAGUCAGACUACAAAUUUCAUCCAAAAUCGCAAAGUACUCUUCAGUACGAUACUCUUUCUUCAUUGUUGCAAGACCUUUCCCUUCAAUAUUCUUUGUUUUUCUUGCAUCACAAGUCAAACAGUCCUCUUUUCUUCUGGGAAAUGAACUGGCCAAGACUGCACCUUCUUCUGGUGUACAAAAUGUAAAGGUUAAUCACUUAAUCAGCAUCCUAUAAUUUAUAUUUAUAAUUGAAAUGAAAUAACUACCACAAGCUGAAUUGAGGGUACAAACCUGAUGUAGGAGCUUCAUUAUCAACAAGUAACUGACCAUAAUCAAGGACAGAAACCGGGCUUAAAUCUUCCGAGGUACAAUCAGAUUCUACAUUGUUAAGCACAUCACAGAUGGUCUCUUUCUUGGGUUUAUGAGAGGUUUUGCUUCUUUGCAUUUCCCUCCCAUUCAAAUCUUUCAAAACCCUUGUGCUCUUUUCUUCUUGAACUUGCUGCUUUUCCUUCUGAAGCCCUCUUUCUUUUCUAUUUUCCUUGUUUCUGCUCUUUCCUGCUUCCUUCUUCCUCAACUCUCCAUGGCCCGUUUCACAUUUCCUCCCUUUCGAUCUCCUUUCUUUUCUUUCACUCCCAUUCUCGAAGCUAAGAACAAGGAAUUCCUCACUUUCAAUAAAUGUUGGCAUCUCUCUUAACGACUUGACUCGUCGGCGCUCAUGUGCUUGAAUUGGAUCAUGGUCUCCCGAAAGCCGGUCCACAGAAUUCAGAGACCGGCUACGGGAUAUCGAAUUUGAAAUCGAGAGCAGGGUGGCAGCUGGAACUGACUCCAGCCCCAUUAGCCUUGCCACUAAGCUUGGUGUGGCAGAAGACUCUGUUUCCUCUGCUUUCUCUUUCGACUUGAAAUGCCGAUCAUGUCGAGAUUUAUCAACAGAAUUGGAUUCUUCUGGGAUAUGAUCAGAAGGGUAUGUAGGCAAGCUACCAUAGCAGAGAAUUCUGCGCAAAAUACCAGCAAUGCAUCCAUUAGUAGCACCUUUUGAAUUGGUUAGAUCAAAAGUGGUGGUGGUGGUGGUGAUGGUGGAUGAUGAACACGAAGAAAAAGAAGAAAAAGGAGAGGAUUCAGAAGAAGAUAGCAACUUCAUGUCGAAGGUGAACCGAUAACUAACAAAGGGUUUUGUUAUGUGGGAAGAUAGACAAUGAACAAUUUUGAGCUGUUGGGUUAGUGGAGGGUUGCUGCAACUUUGAAGCCGGAAAAAAGUGAAAAGAAAUAGUGGAAGGGACAAGAAAAAAGCAAUGGCAGAGAAGAAAAGAGAGAGAUUCAAAUUUGUUUUGUAGUAGCAAAGUGCAAAUUAGAGUGGGGAAGACAGAGUUGGAAGAAAAGUGGCGGGAUCUGGAUUUGAAAUGGGGGCAACAAAGUAGAUGAUGUUGGUUUGUUCAGCGAUAUGUUUCCACGCGCGUUGUAAAGUCAAUUUGUGGGAUUUGGGACUCGAAUUAUUGGAGGGUUGUUGGGUUGGACUACCACCUUAAUUCUUUUGUUUUUUACUAUGGCAAACUCCUAAUGUGCUUCACACUAGUGUUUGUGUUUCUAUUUUGGUGCUUCCCAAAACUUCUCUAUGCUCACUUGGAUCCAUAAUCUGGAAUCAGGUCGGCAGUCCCCGAGCACUAGUAAGUAGAAUUUGAGUUGUAAAAACGCAAGACGAGAUUCUGUAAAUCAAUGAGCGAGAAAUAUUAUCCAAAUAAUCUUAUUCUGUAAAUCAUUGGUUUUGAAAGACUUUAAUCUUCAUAACUUUUAACAUUUCGUCAUCCUAAUAUAUUUUUCAUUAAACAUGAGAAAUGAUUAUUCUUUCAUUCUCUAAUUAACUUCUAAUUUGCAAACCGAACAAUAUUAGAAGACUAGUUAGUAGCUAAUGAUUGGUCAAUACUGCAAGCUUGAAACACAUAUGAUGAUUUAGAUUCUAUUAUUUGUGGAAGACCUAAUGAACAAAUAACAAAUGAAUAGUGGAGUUGUGGUCCAAUUUACAAGUUAUCAAAACUCAGUAUUUGGGUUGGGAAAAUGAGGAUGAUGUGGGAUUGUGGGGUUUUGAGCAAGAAGCCUUGCUGAUGAAAUUAUUUUUGGGGAUUUGCAGCAGGAGAUGCUCAUAUCAUUUUUCUGUACGUGCUUGUUUUCAAACUCAAUCCCCGUCUCAGAGAAAACAUGUACAGCAAGCAGUGUUGGAUCGGACCGGAUGCUAUUUCAGUCCUCAACCGGACCGGGCAUUUGCUGUGAUGUCAACUUCUUCCAUCUUUUGUCCUAAUUCCAUCACAAUCACUCAGCAAAGCUUGGCAUCAUGUUGCUUGUAGCUAGCCAUUUCAAACUUGGGAUGGCCGAUGCUCAUUCUUUGUUUCUGGCUAUUUCUGCUUCCAUUGUGAUGUAAGACAUAUAGGGUUUGUUACAUUUUGCACAGUUUCAAAUAUUGCGGGAUCUAAUGGCAUUGAUGUAUUAUGUAUAGACCAUCUACACACCAAGGACAGUUUUUAAUAAGGAUGUAUAUAUGCAUGUAUAGACCAAAUAACCACGUUAUAAAUGUUAUCUUUAACACAAGCUAUACAUGAAACUUUUGAGCAGACGAGUUGUAAUGCCCUGCAUAUCAUCAACAUGAUCGUGAGUAAUGAAAGAACUAUGAUUUCAUCCAUUAAAAGGGAAGGGUCAGAAUGAAGUUCCAUUUUUAGUUAUCAAUGAAUUUAUGCACUUGGUUAGCAAAUGUCUCCAAUUUACAAUUAAAAAAGCAACUGUACUACUGUAGUAUGAGUGAAUGAGAUGUUGGUAGAAACUAAGAACAAACAACUAAAACAAGCAAUUCGAUGAACAAAGUUGCACAAAACAGUAUUUAUUAAUAACUGUAAAUAACUAAAAUAAAAUUAAAACCAAAUAAUGAUCAUUAAGUGAGAUAGAUAGAUAGAGAAAUUGAGUACUCACAGUAACAAGAGCAGAUGAACAAUUCAGGUCAAGCUAGAGUUCAGGUUUUAAGAAUAGAUGAGGGCUUAAUUAAUUUCCUUUCUGACAUGUAUAUAUUUAUAUACCACUUACAGUCUACAGUAUCCUACUACAACUCCACCUCAUAAGCCAUAACAAAUUAAAAAAUGGGGUUAAACAUAAGAUUAGCAUUGUAAGAGCAUCUCCACCUGAAAGGCCAAUUUUUGUUUACUAAAUUUAAAUUGACAAAAUCUUGUUUACUAAACGACUUAUCCUCAGGCAGUGUUAAAAUUAAAGGGUGCGGCUAUUUCCACCCCACUAAAUGCUCAGUUCACCCCACGUCUAAUUUUUUACCUUUAAAAUUCCAAUUCUGCCAUUAAAAUUUUGUGAAAAUCUAGUUUUUAUUUUCUUUCUUUUAACUUACAAUUACAAAAAUGAUAAUAUUUCAUCAAUAUAAUUGACGCAUACCUCCAUUCUUCUCAAACCACAUCCUAUAUUCUCCUCGAUCUCUUUCUUGAGUUUUUCUUUACGAUUAUGAAUAUUAUAUAUNNNNNNNNNNNNNNNNNNNNUCGUAAUAUGCAAUUGUUGUAGUUUACAUUUUCAACUAUUAUUACGUAGUUUCCACCAUAUUAACAUAUCCCUAAUUACUAGAUACAUAUCCGAUACUUAAUACACUACCUAUUAACCUUAUUGUUUUAACAUUGGGUGCGGCUAUUUCCACCCCACUAAAUGCUCAGUUUACCCCACGUCUAAUUUUUUAUCUUUAAAAUUCCAAUUCUGCCAUUAAAAUUUUGUGAAAAUCUAGUUUUUAUUUUCUUUCUUUUAACUUACAAUUACAAAAAUGAUAAUAUUUCAUCAAUAUAAUUGACGUAUACCUCCAUUCUUCUCAAACCACAUCCUAUAUUCUCCUCGAUCUCUUUCUUGAGUUUUUCUUUACGAUUAUGAAUAUUAUAUAUAUAUAUAUAUAUAUGAAAUACUACGUUUGAAACCAUAAAUAAAAUAAAAAUAAGAACUAACAAUCUCAUAUAUCACACUGUAUAACCACCAUGUUGAAGAUUGAAGUGAUUCUCAAAUCUGAUUUGAAAAAUGUAGAGAUUUGUUUUUGUUUUUUUUUUCCAAUGUAAAGAUGUAGAUAAUUGAUGUUGUUUGGAUUUUAUUUUAAUAUUAUAUUUUCACAAAAAUUCUUGAUUGUGGGGUUAGUAUUGGAAUAUUUAGUUUAAAAUUGAAAUAUGGGGUGAAGAAAGCAUUUGGUGGGGUGGCAAUAGCUGCACCCAAAUUAAAUUGAUAAAAUCUACUCCAAGCUAUACAUGAGACUUUUGAGGAGGAGAGUUGUAAUGGCCUACAUAUCAUCAACAUAAAAUGAUUGUGAGUAAUGAAAGAACUAUGCAUGAUUUCCUCUUUUAAAAGGCUAGAGUCAGAAUGAAGUGCUAUUGCCGUUAUUAACUUAUUAUUACUUAUGCGCUUGGUUAGCAAAUAUCUCUAUUACAACUAAAACAAUCUCUAGUAAGAGAUUAUCUAUUUUAUAAAGAAAAUAACAUAAAUAUAAAAUUAAAAUUAAAAUUAAACCAAACCAACCCAAGCCCAAAGACUAAUUUGGCCCAGCUGCCAGCUCCACAAGAAGACCCAUAUCCAAAAUGGGCCUUGACCCGGAUCCCAAAUCCGGAUCCUAACCCGACCCAGAUUCAGCCCAGACCCAGGCCAGGCCCAAUUUCCAGAUUUGAUCAGGGCACCCCAACCAAACCCCCUCCCGUCUGCCGCCAACGAUGUCCUCCAUCACGCCGCUGUUGCCAUGAAGACGCAAGCCGCCGUGAUUGGUAUAUGCCCAUCAAGUUCUUGAUUAAGGACGUUCAGAGAUUGUUGCAAGGUCUUGGUUGGAUAUUGGAAGCCAAUGGAGAUUAAAACCUCUCGGUCAGUGAGCAUAGAAAAUUCAAGUUAAACUACAAAAAAAUAGAGUAUGUACUAUGUACUUGGAAAAACAGUCUAAAAUCCUUAACUCCUCGAAGUCAUUUUCAAUAUCCUGAGGUUGAACCUAACUUAUGUUGCAAGAAAUUGGGAUUACAUGAUUAAUAGGUUUCGAAUUAUCUAAACCUAUGUUGCAAGAAAAUGGCAAUUAAAACAAAGGCAACCCCAAGACCCCAACUAAUGUAAAAUUUGUAGAAGUAUUCCAACAGUGACACAAUGUCAAAUGUAAGGGUGUAAAUUUGAACCACAAUAACACAAUGAUAUCAAACGGCUAAUACCAGAAAAGAAAAUCACAAUCAACUUUGAACGGAGAAUGAGUACAAUAGUAAGCUUUCCUCACAAAUAAAGGCCCUCGGGAACCCCUUCUUUCUUCUUGUACAUCACUUUCUCUUUUGCUUUCUUGAAGUCCCCAUGAGUGACCUUCAUGCGUCUCUCCCUCAGAGCCAGCAUCCCAGCUUCAGUGCAUAUGGCCUUUAUGUCCGCCCCGGAGUACUCAUCUUUGGUCAUCACCAGCUCCUCUAAAUUGACAUCGUCGGCCAAUGUCAUCUUCGACGUGUGAAUAUGAAAUAUCCGUCUUCUAGUUUGGAUAUCAGGAAGUGGAAACUCAAUCUUUCUGUCAAUCCUACCGGGUCGAAUCAAGGCCGGGUCAAGAUUCUCAAUCUUAUUAGUCGCGAGAAUCACUUUCACAUCUCCUCUGGAAUCAAAACCAUCCAACUGGUUAAGCAACUCCAGCAUGGUUCUCUGAAUCUCACGCUCCCCGCCGGAAUGCGCAUCGUACCUUUUUGUUCCAACUGCAUCAACUUCAUCGAUGAACACAAUCGAGGGUGAACACUCAUCAGCAACCCUAAAGAUCUCCCUCACUAGCUUCUGACCCUCUCCGGAAUACUUCUGAAUCAGCUCACUCCCAACAACCCUCAAGAAAGUCGCCGAUGUCGAAUUCGCCACCGCUUUCGCAAGCAAGGUCUUGCCUGUUCCGGGCUCACCGUAUAAUAUGACUCCCUUCGGAGGCUUGAUUCCGAUGUCUUCAUAGAGCUCUGGAUGUGUGAGAGGGAGCUCAACUGUUUCUUUGAUCUCCUGUAUUUGGCACUCCAACCCACCAAUGUCGGCGUACGACUCCACCGGAGCCUUUUCGACCUUCAUCACCGCCACCAAGGGAUCAACUUCAUCUUGAAGAAGCCCCACAACUGAAUGCUGCUUGUUGUGGAGCAAAACGUCGCAGCCUGGCUCCAGUUGGUCCUUGUCAACAAACGACAUGAUCCCGACGUAGUGCGUCCCCGACGAGGACGACACAAUUGCGUGAUUGUCGUCGAUGAGCUCUUGGAGAGUGCCAACGUCCAUAGGCGAGCCUCGGAGUUCUUCAACGACCUUAGACUUGUCUUCCUCUUCUGCAUUCUCUUUUGGUUUGCGUUGCUCUUGGUUUGAUACAAACUCUUCCUCCAUGAGGAGAUAGUCUUUGAUUCUUUCUAGCUUCAAUAGCCGGAGUUUGCAUUUGGUGAGCGGCCUCACCGAUGGAAGCCGAGUCGCAGCAUCGGGGCCCUUUUGCUUGAGCUGCUUUUUGCCUACUCGAGCCGGUGGAGCUGCCGGCUCGUAUUUCUUCUUCUCUUCCUUCUUGUCACCAUUAGGGUUUUGGUCACCCUGUUGAUUUGAACCACCCUGCGUUCCUAAUUGUUGACCCAUUGGUAAUAGAUAUAAGCUAUAGAUGUAUUAAGAGUUGGUAUAUAUAGAGACGUCGAUGCAACAUAUGAUCACAAGACAAAGAAGGAUUCCGAAACCUAGCAGGAAAAUUAAGUAGGUGCAUACUGGCCGACAAGGAUCGAGUACUCUAGAGAGAGUUGUGUUUUAUUUUUAUUUUUUUAUUGAAUCUAAUAAGACAGCCCUCGUACCAUUACUAUUAAUGAAACCACAGAAUAUAAGGGAGACAUAAAGCCUAAACCUCAUAAUGUAAGCCUAAAAACAAUAUAAGGAGACUUUACACAACUUAUGCAUUCAAGCAAUAACCAUUUAGUAAACAAAGAGUGCAUCAUUGACGACUCUAUUUGUUUUGCAUAAAACAUGACGACAUAAUAGAAAAUUAAAACUCAUAUGAAGCCAUAAAAGACUAUGUAUAUCCUCUUUUCCAUUAUGUGAAGAUUUCACUCUGCCGUAAAGAGGCUACAACUAUUUGACUAAGUAAGGAACUCGCUACCUGAGUAAACUAGUCAUAGCACGAUGUGUGCUUAUCAGGACAUAGCCCACGGGGCCCUAUAGUAGAUGAGCUUAUUGACGGCAUAAAGCCACAAAGAGUUAACCAACUACAAUUUAUUAUACUUAAAACACAACAAAAAAAUUAUAACAACAGUCCAGGCUGGGCCAUAAUAAGAGCCCAAGCUCAGACAACAAACCUAGGGGAAUAGGGAUCACGCACAACCAGCCGCCAUCGCAGCAAACCUAUAGUCACGUUAGAUGUUGUGUCACCACUGCCGCACCACUUUAGCUAGACCACUGCCCAACCAAGCCUACCGGCCACAUCGCUUCUCGAGAAGACCAUAACAUAAGCCAUACCAGUGUCCAGAUCGGAUGCAAAGUAAACAAGCCAAAUUAAGGUAAUCUUGUUCAAUCUACUCCAAGCCGACCUGAUUUCAUCCCCAUCAGCCGGCCUCCGAAUCUGCGGUCGCCUACCACGCCGCCACCCAACCCUGCAUAAAUGGAGCGAAACUCACCCAAUCAACGUAAUCCCCAUCUCCUUUACCUCACGCAAAGCCACUGCAGCCUCCCCAACCAUAUCUUGUAGGGAGCCCAACAUUCCAUCAACAGGCACAAGGCCAACGAGGGCUCGUCCGAUGACGACAGGGGACACGCCAUCAGACAGGAAAUUGAAUCUCUCUUCUAUCUGCCUCAGACGCAUGGUGCGACGAUAUUUGAGUAGUACUUGUAGAUAGUAGAAGUUUAGUUUUUGGAGAGCAAGAAGUACAAAAAUUUCUGACAUAUAUAUGUGACAGGAGUUAACCUUGUAUUAAAGAUUAAUUACAAAAGACCCUCGAACUAUAUGGUCAUUUUGAUACCUAACUAAUAAAUUUUAUCAUUUCAAUUAGGGCUGGGCACAAAUCCCGUAAAUCCCGGUCUCGUCCCGGUCCCAUCCCGAUCCUGGCGGGAUUUGAAACUAAAAACACCGGUCCCGUCCCGUCCCGUCCCAUUAGUGAAACAAUGGGACGGGACGCGGGAUUGAAAUUUUGAGUCCCGUCAGGCCCGUCCCGUCCCGUCUAACUUUUAAAAUUCAUAACUAAUUGUAGAAAAAUUAUUUUUGAGAGAUCCCAACUCUCAAAUGAUCUUUAAGAUGUCAUCUAUAACUUUCAUGAAGACACUAAACUCAUAUAACGAACCAAUUUGUACAGUUUUUGAAAAGAAGCCAACUGGUUCAAAUCUCAGAAUUUACUGAUAUAGACCCUAAAGUUUAAGAAACCAUAACUUAAUCUAGAAAAAUAGUUUUCACGUGAUUCAAAUUCUGGAAUGAACCUUAAGAUGUUUACUACAAAUCUUAUGAAGACACCAAGAUGAAAUUUCAAAUGCAACGGUAUGAUUUCCAGAAGAAACGAAACUGAUGCAGGAUGGCUGGGAUUGGGCUCGUCCCGUCUAACUAUCAAAAUUCAUAACUAAUUGUAGAAAACUUAUUUUUGAGAGAUUCCAACUCUCAAAUAAUCUUUAGGAUGUCUUCUGUAACUUUCAUGGGAACACUAAACUCACAUAACCAACCAAUUUGUACAGUUUUUGAAAAGAAGCCAACUGGUUCAGAAUCACAGAAUUGAUAUGCAGAAUUUAUAGAUGCAGACCCUAAACUUAAAAAAUCAUAACUUAAUCGAGAAAAUCAUUUUCAAGUGAUUCAAAUUCUGGAAUGGACAUUAAGAUGUCUACUACAAAUCUUAUGAAGACACCUAGAUGAAAUUUCAAAUGUAACUGUACGAUUUCUAGAAGAAAAGAAACUGAUACAGGAUGGCCGGGAUUGGGCCCGUCCCAUCCCGAUCUCGUCCCGUCCCAUACGGGAUUAGGCCCGGCGGGAUCGAGUCUGAAAAAUGUAAGGCCCGUCCCGAUCCCGUCCCAUGUGUAACAACCGGGACAGGACGUGGGAUGACCUCAAUCCCGUCCCAUCCCGUCCCAUGCCCACCCCUAAUUUCAAUACCUCAAGUGCUUUCGUUAGCAGCAAUUCAUAUGACAGGACCCACCCCGAAUUUCACCCUGAAACCCGAGGUAAUUCCUGCGGGGUUCACCUCCAAGGAAAAUUUACCGAAAAUUCGGCAUAAUCUACUUUGAAAAUGGACAACCUUUACCUGAAAAAUCAAACUUAACACUUCUAUAAACCAAUAUCCAUCCUCAACACCUGGAGCCUUUCUGCUCCUCAAGUUCAACACAUCUCCCAAUAUAACAAUUACUCAACUAAACUAAUCCCACAACCGACAAUAGCCAACAUUAAUUCAUUAACUGAUUAUCAGAGCAGAUCUAAAGUUAAAUGAAAAACAAUGACUCAAGAAUAAGCGGAAGCAACUUCUGACUAUGCCUCGACUCCAUGUACGCUCGACCUCAAAUAACUUAGCCUGCAAACUGGGCGUUUAAAACCAGAGGGUCCAGGUAAUUUAAAACGUUAGAGUGAGUGGACGAAAAGUAAUCAAGUAACUGAUCGCAACAUAACUAACCAAACUUAAUUACUUUCCCAUUUUCCAAUAAUCAAGAAAUCUGUUGCAUGCAAGUGUUGGUAAAACCUUCAUAAAGAAAAUCCCAAAGAAACGGACUAGCCCCGCUAGUCAAAAUACUGACAAAGAUAAAUACUAGCCUUCAUUGAAGAAAAUACUAAAACAAUGGACUAGCCCCGCUAGUCAAAACAACAAUAAAUAAUAAACCGAUUUAACCAUACAAGUGAGCCUCCCAGACUCGGUUGCCUCCCAGGCAAAGUACUCCUAUACUCCCUACACUUUCAUGUCAUGAUAACAGAGAAGGUGCAGGGCUUGCGUGAUGUCGUCGACUACAUCACAUCACCCGAAGGCGGAAAGGGCUUGAGUAACCCCACUUAAAACGUGGAAGCUACAUCGUCUCGAAAGGCGGAACAACAUACUAGCAUGAAUAAUAACAAUCCAACAAGUAUGGCAUAAAUAAAGAAACAUAAAUCCAUGUGAGUUUCCCCGAAACUCAUAACUUAAGCAUAAGUACGAUUCCCAACCGUACUCAAAGAAUUCAAAGAGUAAAGAAAAUAAUUAAAUUCGAUGACGUGUCCCACACGUUAAAAUGCUCAAUGAAAUAAUUAAUUUAAAUAAUUUUCACCUUUCGAAAACCCGGCAAUAUGCAAAUCUGGAUAUAAUCUCAAAUCCGGAAAUCAUAAAGAAAAUCCACACUCAAAUCUCAAAUUAUCAAUCCGAGCUCAAAUCCAUAAAUUAUGACCAACAUUUAAUCCAUGCAUCAAUCUCAAAUAAUUUCCAAGAUCAUUUCAUAUGCCGAAGUUAUAUUAUAUGCUCGGAAAAUAAAUUACUAAUUUAUAAAAUCUUGCAUGCAUAUUAUUUAAAAAGUAAAAUAUCCACUCACAGAUUUUGGCCUAAGCCUGUCGAAUUCUGAAUCACCACUCAAGCGUGGUCUCCUCGAAUCCUGGCACAACAACCAUGCUUAGGACCAAACUUCAAUUCCGGAAAAUAAUAACGUGAAUAAAAAUAUCUAACUUUCUUCCGUUUAACCCACUACUCUUAUUAGGGUUAAACUCACCGGAUUCACAUCAAACUCCACCACAACCUCAAAUCAUCAAUUCUAACAUUCCAGGCUAAAUACCAACGAAAUUCAACGGCCGGAUUUUCAUUCUAAUAACCGGCAAAAUCCUUAAUCUUUUUAAAAUCUCAAACCUUAUCAAAACUCCUCAAAAAAUUCCAAACUUUACUUCCUUAAACUUCUCUCAUUAAAACAAACCCAAAAUCAUGAAAAACUGCCCCUAAUGGCGGCGGCGCCGGCUGCUGGAUUCCGGCGAACUCCAAUGCUUCUCAAAUUUUAACAGAAUAAUCCUCUUAUCAUGCAUAACAACUUAUCAUGCAUAACUAGCACUUAGUCCAAUUCUAGGGUUAACUAGGGUAAUUGAACCAAAACUUCCAUAAAUCCCUAAAACUUCUAAUUAUACAUUUCACCUUAAUAAGAUUGAAUUAGACCAAUUCCUUUUGAGGGAUUACUUACCUUGAUGAGGGCUACAAGAUGAGCCAAAAAUUCCGACCUAUGACGGCCAGAUAAGAGAACUCCGGCGAAAAGCUUCCCGGCAUCUCCGACGGGUUUUCUCCUCUCCGGUGGGGCUACCGGCUCGGACACUAGGCCGGGGAGAGAGAGGAGGUGAUGAGGGUCUAAACUGGGGUGGAGUGGUGGCUGGUGGUUGGCCGGACGGUGGCAGCUGACUUCCGGCGGAGAGGGGCUCGGGGGAAACUCACGGGAAAAAGAGAGAGAAGGAAGAGGGAGAGAGAGGAAAUAAAGGGAGGGGUUUUGGGCUGCUCCACAGCCGGCCCAGCUAUAAAACCCAAUAAAAAAAUAAUAUCUAUUAUCAUUUACCCCCUUUUACCAUCUCAAAAAUUUACUCUCUUAAAUCAUAACUUUUUCAUGCUAACUCCGAUUUUAACACAUAGCAUGUCUACGAACUCGUAAUAACGUCCCCUACGACUUUCAUGAAAAAAGUUUCCCUAAAUUCCAAAUAAAAUAGAAAGUCAACUUUAAGGUCCUUAAGUAGUAAACGGCUACUCAACACGGGAAAAGACCAAAAUAAUACUAAAGUAAAUAACCGUAAAAUAACUUAAGAACCGGGGUGUGACAUCAUACCUCACAAAAAAUAGAGAUGUAAACCUACUGUUCUCUCGUUAGAGAGAGAAGCUCUGCCUUCUCUCUAAAAUUUCAAGCUCUCUCAUCUUCCGGCCUUCCUUUUGCUUAAAUCUCCUUCACCUAGGUGGUGAUUCCUCAUCUUUGUGGUGAUUCCUCACCCCUAGUGGUGAUUCAUCAUCCUAAGUGGUGAUUUUCUCUUCAUUUUCCUCACCCUAAGGGUGUUUUGGGCUGCUUUACUUUGUAGGCUUUUUAUUGUAGUUUAAUUUAUGUUUCUCUUGUCUUGAUUUCUUUAUAAAUACUAUGAGUGACUUGUUUAUGGGUCUGCCCAUGACUUUGUUUGGACCUCCUAUUUACCUUUGGGCCUCUUAUAAAUAUGUUUCACGACCAAAAAAAAAUAUUGUUAAAACUCUCUGUUAACUGCUCACGUGGCUGUAGAGUGCACACGCAGCAGGGGGGAAAUUUGUCAUUCGCAUGUUAUUUUACAAUAAAAUAAAUAAAUCUCAUUGUUUUGCAGUCGUAAAGUGUCAAAGCAACUUAGUUCACUUCAUCCACAUGGACAUCCACCCGAACAAUUACUUUCAUGAAUUGCAAACAUUUAUACUUCUAAAAAGACUCGCACUCUGAAGAACCAAGAUGAUUAAUUAGAUCGUCGUCAGGUUGAAGAAGUGAAUAGGUGCACCCAUCGUGAUCGCCAUCAUGACCCCCUCCUCACCUCACCUUCAUUCCCCCGACAGACGUUCGACACUCCGACUAGCCUCCCAGAGAUUAGCUCCAACAUCACCAACCCUUUAAACAUUGCAUUUAUGUGACUAUCCGGUGUAUCUGAAACUUCACCUCCAUGUAGCCUCUUGUUCCUUCCAGCUUCUUCGACGUCGCCCGGCUCUCUCCGUAAAGCUCCAUCGGGCCGAAUUGUCAAAUCUUGUUAUGGACCAUGCCGAAGCUAGGUCAGCGGCGAUCUGAAGGUGAGAAAUCCAGUGGAGAUGAACGAUGUAUCUCGGGUUGUUAGAGCGGUUGUCGGAGAGCGAGGCACCGAGGAGGGAGAUGAGGUUAUUGUGGUGGUUGCAGGAGAUCUGCUAGAGAUUCCAGAUGUUGAUUAGUAGGGAUGGCAAUGGGUAGGGUAGGGUCAGGGGAUCAAAAUACCAUACUUGUACCUUUUUUUAUUUCUCAUCCACGUACCCGCCUUAUUCCCAGUAAUUAGAUAAUGAGGAUUCCCCGUACCCGUCCCAUUUGGGGAUUACAUUCCCAUACCCGCCCUGAUCCCCGUUAACAAUUAUGUAAUAAUUGAUUUUUAAAAAAUAAUUACGAAAUAUAGAAAUAUGAAAAUAAAAUCAAAUACAUAUAUAAAUAAGUUUCUUGAUUCAAUCCAACAAAAACGAAUACAAGUCACGGUUAAAAAAGAAGUUUCUAUAAAUAUUCAUGGAUUAAUUUUAGUUUACCCCCCAUCAACUUUAGGUCGAUCAUCAUGUUAGUCCUUCUUCUUUCAAUUUCAUCAAAAACACCCUCAACUCCCAAUUUUCAUCAGCCGCGCAUGUCCAAACCUCUAAUCUCUAUCAAAUUCCUCUGUCAAGUGAUGACUUGAUAUCAAGAAGAAAGAAAAAAGAAAAAAUAGACAAAUUGCAUUCAAUCAUAUCAAAAUCAUUAAGGUUAGGGGGUUAUGAUGGGAACGAAGAUGUGUAUCGAUAUGGGGGAAAAAUGGUCCGAAAGGUAACUUUUAGAAUUUGACGUUCUUUUUGAUAUCAAGUCAUCACUUGACAGAGGAAUUAGAUGGAGAUUGAAGGUUUGGACAUGCGCAGCUGAUGAAAAUUGGGAGUUAAGGGGUACGUUUUUGAUGAAAUUGAAAGAAGAAGGACUCACAUGAUGAUCAACCUAAAGUUGAUGGAGGUAAACUGAAAUUAGUCCAAUAUUCAUUAAGAAAAUCAUAGUAAAAAAAUAUUACAAAAUAUUUUACAUAAAUAUCUAUUUAUAAAUAAUAUAUAUAUAUUAAAAAUAAUAUUUACAUCUUAAAUGGGUGGGGAUGUGGACGAAUAUCAAAAUACCAUACCCGCCCCGUACCCGAUUUAAAAAUCCGAAUACUGAAGAUCCCCAUACCCGUCACUUGUUUAUCCUCGUAUAUCUCUCUCGUUAGGGUCGAAUACCCAUGAGUACCCUACCCGCUAGGGAUUAUUGCCAUCCCUAUUUAUUAGGCAGAGGAGGAGCCAAACGACGACGACAACGACAUAGCAUGGGAGGGCGUAGAUGGUUGGCAUGGGGAGGGAAAAGAGGCUGCCAUAACAAGCUUGAAGGCGACAACCAUCUGUUAAAGGAAGUUGCGCGGCGUUGCAAGAAUUUGGUGUGGAAAUGGAGGUAAGGUGAAAGGCGUUUUUUGGUGUUGGAGAGUCUGAUGGUUUUGGUGGGUCUGUGGUAGAAGGUCUGGAGGUGGGCUUGGGGACUGUGUCACCUCAUUUAAAGGAGUCAUUGUCUCUCCCAAACACGAGACAAGUCCUAUUUUCUAGGAAGCGCAAUCCAAUCCCCCUAAUCCGAGGAAGUUUAACGUGCCUUUUGAGAGACUUGAUGGGUGGGAUAAGGAUCGGCGUACUUGACAUCAAUUUGAGCGAAAGUUCUUAUAUACACCAUGAUGUAAGUAAACCGAUUAUCAUAAUAAAAUCUCAGCCAUCCAUUCAAUCUUGCUCUCAACUUGCACUAAUAUUGAUGUUAACACUGUUAACUGAGUUAAAAUUAACCAAAAAAAUCAGUCAACAUGGUAAAACACGUAAACGUUAUAUUCACUAUAUCACAUUAACCCAGGCAUUGAAUCGAGGUCGAAUGACUUCAAUAAAAAGAGCCAAAGGUCGAAGAUCAGGGCUCUAGCCUCCUCGGAUUUCAUCAUGGUGAUGACAUUUUCGGGGAAGGCGAGAAAUCACUGCUGCAGAUGAGAUUACAGAUCUGAAAACGAUGGCCGAAUCUGAUAUGGGCAAGAUUCGCAGGAAAGGGAGACGAAGGCCAAAUCUGAUAUGGCUGUAAAGAAGAUUGGGAGAUUAGGACUGAAAAUGAAUCAAUGGGUUGGAAAGGAGAUGGGGACUGCAAAUGGUUGCAUGCAGAGGGAGAAUAUGUUGUGAGGAGAAGAAGAGAGAGUUCUGGAAAGAGGAAAGGAAUUGCACCGAAGAGUUAAGAGAGAGAGGAGAUUAAAAAAAAAAAAAUUGAAGCCCCAUAACUUUUGCUACCUCGUCAAAUUAUAUGGGGUUUGGUCAAAGUCGACCACUACAACUCAAUCUCCAAUAACACGAUAACACUCACAAGACCUAAUCUCUAAUAAGUUUUUAGAUGAUAAAUUAUGUAUAAUAUUAUUAUUAAACAUUUAAUCGACCAAAAAAUAAUAUGAAUCAUUUAAAGUGAUCUAUUAUGUAAAAGUUUUAGCAACCUUAGAAUAAGGUGAUAUUAUUUUGCUUUUAUAUAAUUAUAUAUAUUAUUGUAUUUUGAUGCAUUUAAAACGUACCCGUUCUAACAAAAUUUCAAAACAAAUGCUUCCACGUUUCUAAACAGGCUACGAUGCACCGUUUUCGCACCUGAUUCCAUACAACGUAGGUUUCAUGUCAUCAAGUCAGAGUAUAGUUCACCUACACCGUCCACACGGUAUGCUAGAUGGCGUCCCCAGAGGUACUUUGAACUUCCAGAAUAGUAAAGCGGUCGACGAUGAAAUUGGCUCAGAUCCAGGUGGAGUUGAGCCAAGAGUGCCUCCAUGCCUUGAAGCAUGUGAUGGCUUGGGAAAUCGAUCGCUCUCCAAGUCUCAAGAUUUGUAAGUGAAUAUAUGAUUUAGUGUUAUUUCAACGUUGACCAUAGUGGUCAACCCUAUAUAAUAUAUACAGCCUUUCUUGGCUGCGGAAGUCCGCAUCGAAGGUUUCGGUGCGGAUUUCCAUUUUUGCACCACUUUUCGAUCGAAUUUCCUCAUUUCCACCGUUUAGUAUCUAGAUAAUAUUAUGUAGAUCAUCUCUGCAAAAUUUCAGCCAAUUUGGUGAUCGUUAAGGCUCUCAAACUCGAGUUUUUCUGGUAUNNNNNNNNNNNNNNNNNNNNNNNNNNNNNNNNNNNNNNNNNNNNNNNNNNNNNNNNNNNNNNNNNNNNNNNNNNNNNNNNNNNNNNNNNNNNNNNNNNNNNNNNNNNNNNNNNNNNNNNNNNNNNNNNNNNNNNNNNNNNNNNNNNNNNNNNNNNNNNNNNNNNNNNNNNNNNNNNNNNNNNNNNNNNNNNNNNNNNNNNNNNNNNNNNNNNNNNNNNNNNNNNNNNNNNNNNNNNNNNNNNNNNNNNNNNNNNNNNNNNNNNNNNNNNNNNNNNNNNNNNNNNNNNNNNNNNNNNNNNNNNNNNNNNNNNNNNNNNNNNNNNNNNNNNNNNNNNNNNNNNNNNNNNNNNNNNNNNNNNNNNNNNNNNNNNNNNNNNNNNNNNNNNNNNNNNNNNNNNNNNNNNNNNNNNNNNNNNNNNNNNNNNNNNNNNNNNNNNNNNNNNNNNNNNNNNNNNNNNNNNNNNNNNNNNNNNNNNNNNNNNNNNNNNNNNNNNNNNNNNNNNNNNNNNNNNNNNNNNNNNNNNNNNNNNNNNNNNNNNNNNNNNNNNNNNNNNNNNNNNNNNNNNNNNNNNNNNNNNNNNNNNNNNNNNNNNNNNNNNNNNNNNNNNNNNNNNNNNNNNNNNNNNNNNNNNNNNNNNNNNNNNNNNNNNNNNNNNNNNNNNNAGAAUGGACUCGCCGGGGAGGGAAAGUAGUCGGGGACGUUGCUGGAGUGUUCUGGGGUGGAGGCGCACCAUCGCCGGUGUCGGAGGGUGGAGAACGGACGGACGUCCGCUUCGUAUCCUUCCUGUACAUACAUUUAUAUAGAAUUUUCUUAAGUAAGGAUGUCCUUAACUUAACUGUAGUGUAGAUUUGUUUAAUUAACUUUUCGAUCAUAUUUUCUCAUCUUAACCGUUCAGUAUCUAGUAUAUAUGAGUAGAUCAUCUCUGUAAAAUUUCAGCUCAUUUCGUGAUCGUUAAAACAUUCAAAACUGUGAUUUACAACUAAGAACAUGGACGGUUCAAGUUAAAUAGAUUCAGUUCAUUCAUUGAUUUUAUAUAUUUUCAAGACUUUAACGAUUAUCAAAUUAGCCGAAAUUUUGCAGAUGAUCUACUCAUACAUACCUAGAUACCAAACGGUUAAGAUGAGAAAUUAUGAUAAAAAAAUUAGUUAAGUUAAAAAGAUAUGCACCAUAGUUAAGUUAAGAAUAUCUUUUGUCACACCCCCAAACCGAGACCAUUAUUAUAUGAAAAUAUGGUGCCCGAAUUUGCGGCGUGAGUUAAAACAAAUAGAAUUUUCUCGAAUAAUUUAUUAGAAGAAGAAAUAUAUAUGUCUGAAUAAUACUUCUAUUAGAAAGCGAAAGCAUAAAUAUUUUACAAUACCAAAUAUUUUACGAUACGAGAGUUUUAGUAAAAGUAUAUAAGACAUUACAUUUAUUCUCAAAAUAGCAAUAGAAAACAUUCUUUUAUUUAGUAGGUUCAUCCCAUUCCCCAAGCAUCUAUUCAUUACCUGAAAACAAGAAUGUGUAGCAUCAUGAGUAACACAGACCCAAUAAGUACAACUUACAUUCUUAUAAUAAUGUGUCUUAUAAGAAACCAGAAAUAAACACAACUAAGUAAAAAUGUACCAAGAAUCAUUUUGAUUUGUUCAUAUUUAUUCUUAUUUAUGCGCACACAUAUAUACAAGCGUGAAUAAAUUUAUCCAUGUGAAUGUUUAGGAAACUGGUAAUAAAUCACAAAGAUCACAUGCUAGGUCCACUAUACUAAAGCACGGAUAAGCCGCAGCAUACCAAAGACAAUACCAGAGUAUGUAUACUCAAGGUUGACACUAUCUUCCUAUGAGUAUAAUAAUGCACUAUCUGUAGGGACUAGGGCCCUGGUUAACUUCACAAAUCACAAAUCACAAAACACUUUUACCAGUAAUUCCCUUAAGCAUGGGGUAGUACUAAUCACCCGGCUUCACAUUUCCAAAACUUAAUUACGUCAAAAGAGUGUAGCAAACUUUAAGUAAGAUAACUUCUUUAUUACCAACAAAGUAUAUAAGCUUAUAUCAAUAUACUUUAAAAAUUAUAAUAACUCAAUAUAUACACAAAAUAAGCAAUUUAAUAAACUUGAAAGUAAAAGUGCAAUAAAGUAAAUGUUCUUUAAAUAAACAGAAAUAUUAGUUAGUAGUCAAAGAAUUAGUAGUCAUAUUUCCCAUAGUGAGGGAAAUCCUUGUCCAAAGAACCGUCAACUUAUCAUUUUCAUAUCUCAUUCAAUUUAUGUCCAAAUUAGGCAAGUGAGGAGUCCAUGUCGAAGGAUUUUUCGUAAGGAAUUCAAUGAGAUAAGUCAUAUAAUCCAGUUCAAAGUCAUAGAGUCCAGAAAUGGUGAAAAACAGUAGCAGUGCAGAAAGCUGAUAUCCUUUAUAUUACCUUUGAUGUCUAAGUCUUUACGUGCUUUAUAGUUUAUCAUUGCUUCUGAAACUUUCCAGAUUUAAAGUAGAGAUCCUAAGCUUCAAUUUGAUAUAAAGUUUGUAGAAAAUGGUUAAGAAAUGAGUGAGAUAUGCAUUUUUGAAGUUGUGGUAGUUGUAAUGGCUUUUCAACGAGUUUAUUAGUUUGGAAGUUUGAUUAGACAUAACUUGUUCAUUUCCAAACCCCUUUUUAAAUGAUUCAAAAGCCUAAACUGAAGCAUAUUUCAUGAAGAAUCUAAUACUGUGACCAAAUUUACAAAGUGAUAUUUAAUUAUAUACGAAAAUAUAAGUUUCUAGAAAACAUAUUCUUUUCCAUUUUAUCCUUAGUUAUGCAUUUUGAUAAUCUUAAAGACAAAAGAGUAUAGGAAUGUAAUCAUGUACUUACUCUUGAAUUUUCAGGAGUGAAGUGAAGGUUUUGGUAUUGACUCAAGGUUGGACUUCUUUGACAAAGAGAGAACUUCUCAAGAGAAAAAGAGUGAAGGGGAUAGGAUUUUGGUGUGGGAGCUUUUCUAUUCAAUUAAGGGAGUUUGUGAUCAUCUUUACGUUUGAUCUUGGAGUGUGAAGAAAAGAUGUUGCAGCUCCCAAGUAUAAAUAGGCCAUGAAGCAUGCAUUGUAAAUUAAUUUCCAGCAAUUUUAUUUGACUUAAAAGGCCAAACAUUAAAUUUGAGUGAUAGUCUAGCUAGUUAGGUUGAUUGUUCACAAAGAAAACCAAAUAGUAAGAGGGGUAAAAGAAAAAUCAGCUAGUGCAUGAAUCUAUAUAUGAGGUAUACCUUAUAUAUGUAUUGACGUGAAUCUAUAGAUACACAAAUAUUUAUAUAUGUAUAUAUAGAUAUAUAUCUACUCAAGUUAAUAAGUAAAGGAAUAUGAUGUUUUCCUUUCUUAAGAUCUUGUAAAUGUGUUAGUAAUAUUUAAGAUUAGAAUAGUAUGCAUGAUAAAAGCAAUACUAACACGAAUCUUAAAUUCAAUCACGAGUAUCGAUUGUAUGUAAGAAAUACGGGUUAAGGUAUUUAAGUAGUUUACUUAAAUUCUAAUACUUAAUAAAAAUACCUAUCUUGUAAGUAUGAUACUUGGAGUCAUUGGCUUCUAAAAUGAAUAUUUUAGAAGAUAUUUGGAUUACUAUCUAAGGUUAAAGAGCCUUAGUGUGCUAUAUAAUUUGUGCUAAAUUUCGGGGUACUACAUCUUUAAUGAAGAAGGAUUGUGUGUGUGUGUAUUUUGAGUUUAAGACUAAACACGUAGAUGGAGGCUGCAAUGGAUCAUAGCCAUUUUUUAUUUUUAUAAGAUGAAAUAGGGUGACAAUAACUGUACCCAGAUAAUCUUAAAUCUGAUUGUCAUGAAGUUGCAAUUAUUUUUCUUUUUAUAUUUUUAUUAGUAAAAAAAUCCUCAUGAAGAAUAAAGUAAUACAAUUGUUUAAUUAUUAUUUUUUGUUUAGAAUACAANGGUUAAUUUUUUAUUGUCAUCUUGGUUUCAUUUACUUUUCUACUUUUAUUUAAACAUAAUAAAAAGUUUUCUUUUUCUAGGCUAAUGUAGUUUUUCGCUCAGGAAAAAAAUACAAGACUGCACAACAAAAUAAAAAAGAUAAAAAUGUAACCAAAAAUAAAAAAAAUAAAAAAGACAAAAAGCACAUCAACAAAACUAAAAUGACCACAUCAUCUCUAUGUCUCUCUCAUGAAACCUCAGCCACACCCACAGUCCCUCUCUCACUAAAAGACCACCCUCAGCCACCCACACAAUCACCCCAACAAUCAUGAACUCAAAUGAAUCGGAUCCAUCGAGCAAGUCGAUAGUUGAGAAGAUGAUUAGGGAGAUUCACACUCAGACGGAGGAUCAGAAUUGGAAAAUUGAUCCCUUAAGGUUUAGGGGCAAUAAUACCCAGAAGAUGAAUAAAAGUUGAGUUGAGUCGAUAGUUUCUGUAAUAUAUGAAAGUGGGUUGGUGAUGGUAAUGGCUAUUUGGUCUGGGUUUGAGCCGUCAGCCGUGGGUAGGAGAUGAGAGAGCCAUUGAUGGAAGAUUCAAUAACUGAGGUAAAAUUAAACUUUUACUACACCAGCAUUUUUUGUCUCGUUUUUCAUUUUCGUUGACCGAGCAAUGAUUCAUUUAACUUUCCGUCUGAAACAAACGGUGCACGUGCAAGCCACGUGAUCGGUUCAAGUCCACGUAGGUGCACUGCAUCCGCUCCGCAAUUUGAGUUGCUGCUGGGUUGGGCCUCACGGGUGAGGCUGGUGGUGGUGGUUGGACUGAGUCUAUAGACGGUCAACAUGUGUGGUUUAGGGUGGAAACACUGAGAAAUUCUGAUGGCGGUGGUCAACCUGAGUUGCAUGGAGCUACGGUUUCUAGUGGGCUAGGUUGCUGGAUUUGGGCCUCGAGUGGGCUCACUUGUUUUAAGCCUUCCCACUGCUGGGGGCUUGGCUAGAUUAGGUCUUUAUGAUGAGUAUUUUCUAAUUUGAAUCAAGGGAAGUCUUAAUUCAUUUUGGUUGUUACUCUUUAUUCCAGAUUCUAAGAGUUUCAAGUCUGCUGAAAUAAAAAUGUUAUAAGCGGUCUUAAGAAUGUGGAUGUACUUUUGAUUGUUAAGAUCUUAGUUGCAGCUAGGUAUUUUAGUAGUCAUUAGGGGGUAAUUGUUUUUGUCCCUUGUAUUUUAUGGCCAUGAGUAUUUUCUACUGUAUUUGAUGUUUGUUCCUUGUGCGGUUCGUUGAGCAAUAAAAUCGGUUGACUUCUUGAUUAACAAAAAUGAGAAAAACUAACAAGUAUAAAGAAAACUAAAAAAAUUAAACUCUUUAUACUUCAAUCUACCAGUCACCUUUCCUACAUCAGAACUUCUGAAUAAGCUUCCUCAAUCAGCCUACAUAGAGCUUGCCGCAGUGCAACACUCUUGUCCAUUUUCUGCCGAAGAUGAUUUGUUUCCCGCAUAAGAACUAUGAGUCUUCUUUGGUACCUCAAGUAAGCCAAAUACUCUAAACGAAAACUGAGGCUGCCGAAAGCAUGGCAAGUAAACAGCUUCGGACGAGGCACGUUCCAUUUGACAUAUUGUAUAUAGCAAAGAACUGAACGAUAACGUAUAUCGUCUUAAAUUUCAUUUGUAACCGACACGUUCCAUGUUAAUGCAACUCAACAUCUUUAAAUUUCAUUUGUAUACGUUCAAUUUCCCGAGGCUUGAAACUCUAAAAUUUAAAAUUUGAAAUGAACAGGGGAGGCAUGCAAAACAUAACUCUGUAGCUUUCUAAAAUAUCCAAAAAGAAGUCGAAGAAGUCCCCAAAACACUGUUUAUUUUGUAGAAACUAACAAAUGAUCAAAAUACAGCUUUCCUUCUCAAGGUUUUAAACAGCAGAUUAUGCGGUACAGAAAACAAUUCAUAUCUGCCGUUUCAAUUAAGCUAACAAGACACUCAGAUCAACUUAUUCUUGAGGCUUUUGUAAAGCUUGGGGUCAGUCUGGUAGUAUACUAUGUCACCGGUGUCACUGACAUAGUGGUCGUUGCUCAUGCUUGCCACAAGAUUGUUGAUCAAGUGAAAUGGAAAUGGUCCGGAUUUUUUUGGCUCCCGGUAAUACUUCCCCAGAACAUGUUUCGCUGACCUGGUCUGCAAUACAAGUAUGCCAAUGCCACCAUCAGAAUUACUCAAGUAAACUGAAAUCCUAAUAGAUUGCACAUGUAAAUAGUAAAUUGAGGUGAAGGAGAACAUACUGCUUCAACUAGAUGAUAGUGUGGAAUCUGAGGGAAGAGAUGAUGGAUGACAUGGGUGCCAAUGUCAUGGUGGAUGUUGUUAAUCAAUCCAUAGUCACGAUCAACGGUUGUGAGACCUCCUCUUAGAUAACUCCACUCCUGCAAAAUGAAACCACGAGGAAAAGAAGGCUUCUUAGUUAAGUUCCAACAAGAAUCCAGCUAUAGCCUUCAAGAUAGAGAAUCGAGCACAGAUAACGUUUCCCCUUAUGACAGAACGUUUCAUUGAGGUAUUAAAUUCUUCAGUUUCAGCAAAUAAGUUAUGUGACACCAAGUAACAAUAAUUAAUUCAUGUAUCAUCAAUACCUUGCCGCGGUACCAAGGAAGUUUGUGUUCAUCAUAACCAUGGUGGUGCAAAUAUGUUACCAUAUCCAACCACAUUACGAAAAUCUGCAAGUAAACAGCCAAGACAAAAUUAGGAAAUAAUCUGUUUGACGGUACUGUUAUUAUCACGAAUAAAAUUGAACUAACCCAGUAAGGGACACCAUAGAUCUUCAAGACUUGGACAGGUCCUACUAUAACGGACAAACAGACAAGGAAGGCAAGCAUCACAGUCCAACAAACAGUUGAUGUUAUGAUAUCAUUUCUUUCAUUUGGAGCAAACAAGUCACUGUAUGGGUUGAAAUGUGAACCUUGCUUUCCUGGACUUCUUGUCCACUGCAAAUCAAUCCAGUAGAGAAAACACAUCAGACUCUGUGAACAAUAAAACAUAAACAAUCUUGAACCAAAUAUACAUAAGCUUAAUGAAAGAUGGGUUUCCUCACCAGAUAGAAAGGAUAUGCAAAAAUGGGGUAAGGCACUCUGAAUCUAAACUUUCUUGUACUUUCAUCCAAACUUGUAUAGAUCUUCUCAGUCAGCUAACAAAGAUAGCAAAAGAGAGACAGGGUUAACAACAAAUUGAAGAUUAAACAACCAAAACCUCAGCAGUAACAAUAUGUUUAAGCUAGCAAGCGCUAGCAUUGUGUGUCAAAAGAAUAAGCACAUACAGGAACCCAGGACUCAUCAUUCUCAACAUGACCAUGGUUCUGAUGGUGAGUUCUAUGGCUGAUUCUCCUGCAAAGCCAAUCAAAUCAUAUGUAAAAAACCUCAAUCUUGAACCACACAUCAACAACAUUCUCAAACAACAAUGUAAAGAUGCAAUCUUUUCAGGUAGGAAGCAUGGAAGAGUGAAUAAAAACAGAGGAACCCACCAUCCAUUAUAAGGUACAAGAAUUGCAGAAUGCAGAAAAUGCCCCACAACGUUGUUGAGCAGGCGGCUGUCCGAAAAGCUUCCAUGGCCACUGUGUUCAAUCCAAAACCAAAUACAUCAGCCAAAAAGAUGCCAUUUUUUCAAGACUCAUUUCAAUUAAACAGUAAAAAGAUGCAAUCUUGAUUCAGAAAAUGCAGAACCAUGAGAAUGAAAAACGAGGAAUUACCAAUCAUGUCCGAGAACAAAGAGAGCCCAGAACAUGGUUCCCUGAGCAGCCCAGUAGAGUGGCCAGACAUACCAAUUGUUAAAGUAAAUGGCUGCAGCUGCCAUUGCAAAUAUGACAACCAAGUCCCUCAACACAUAGCUGAAGGACCUCCAUGGGUUCUUCACCCAACAGUGUUUGGGAAUGGCGGCUCGGAUCUCAGCUAUCUUGAAUGGAGGUGGAGCACUUGGGUCGAAAUCUGCAUCGUGGUCUUCUUUGUUGUUGGGGUCGUGGAUCCCAUUGACACCCUUCAUGGGUUUGGCUUCAACACCCUCCAUUGUAGCUAAAGCUGAUUCCUUUCUUGAAGGAGGUUAACCACUUGUUCUCAAAUCUCUUUGUAUCCACUGAGAGAGCGGACAAAGAGGGCUCUAGCUGCUGCAGGCACUGGGGUUAAGGGCCUUCCUUAAUAUUUAUAAGCCGAAGGCAGAGAGAGGCAAUGAGGGGUGCACCGAGCAACGGUACACUGUUGUAUCUACACGAAUACAAAUACUCGACAAAAUCUUUGUAUCUAUUCUACGUGCGCCUAGGGCAGUUCUCAGAUACCAACUUUUUUAUACGAAGCUUCCUCCUCUCACAUUAAUCUAUGUGUUUUUCUUUCAAGAGUGUUUGAGAGAGCUUAACCUUUGAUUCAACUUCUCGGAAGAGAACGUGAAACAAGGCUAAGGGGAUCGGAGGGUUUUAGUUUUAGUUUUUCUCGGUUUUGAGAUGCAUAUGGAAGAGAGAUUUAGAAUGAUUCAACUUCUCAGAAUAAGUUAUAAUAAAUCCCGAAACGAUCGACGAAUUAUGAUUAUAUUUUUUUAGUAACAUGUUUUUUUUUAUCGUAAUUACAAUAACUAAACAAGAAAAAUAGUUUUCUUUGCAAUGUAUGUACAAAACUUGGAGGAAUCUACGGAGGGAAUGAAGAUCCAUACAACAGUUUUUGAUUUUCUAGACAGCACCUAUUGAUCACCCUAGUGAAUGUGUGACACCAAAGAGAAGAGUAAGAAGAUGCAUACAACAUUUCAUGUUUUCCUAGGGCACCUAUUCGACACCCUAUUAAAUGUGUGACACCAAAAUGAAGACCAAGAACAUAUGAAUACAAGAUCUUUUGGGUUUUCUAGAGCACCUAUUGCUUAUCUAUUGAAUUUGUGACACCAAAAUAAGGACCAAGAAAAAUCAGCAAGUAAUUCUUGACCUUUUGCUAGAAGCGUAAGACUUGGCCAAAUGUGAGUCCAUAAAAGUGACAAAACACCAAACCAUGUGAAUUGAAGGCCAGCUGUGGAGGGGUGACCAUACAAGCCUUACUAAUUUGGUCCAGUAUUACCCAAAAACGAAUAUAUGUUGGAAAAAUAGAAGGAGCCUAGGAUCAAAAACAAAUUAAUUUGUCUUAUUGAUGUUUUCCUUUUAAACUAUUAGCUACUAUUGCCUGAAAGAGCUAUUUGUAUGUAAAUUAGAAAGUGGUACUGGGAAAAAGUAUGAAACGGAUGAAUGAAAAAUGGUGUGGCCUGGAAAUUUUCUAUUCAGUCGGACCACAUAUUUAUCAAAGAUAGACACAAUUUCAGGAAUUCUCAACAGUCAGUUAUGCCAAUUUUUAUGGAUUCUGUUAUUGCAGACCAAGUUUUUUCGGAAACUUGUUAAAUCUUGGUCUGUGGUACAAUGUACCCUUUCAUAAUGCUUUGAAAUGAGGAAACAUAAAUAGGAAAGUUUCCUAGACUGUGUUUAGAUUUGUUGUUCCAAAAAAUUUCUUUGUUGUAACGAAUAGGGAUGGCAAUGGGUAGGGAUGACAAUAAUCCCCAGCGGGUAGGGUACUAGAUGUGGCAAACGGGCCGGCCCAGCCCGCCUAAUUGGGUUUCGGGCCGUGUUUGGACUGGCCCACGACGGGCCACUUUUUAACGGGCUCGGGCUUGGGCCGACCCAUUUACUCAAAUGUAAAGCCCAGCCCGACCCACGGCCCAAGCCCAUAACAUGGUGGGCCGUGCUCGGGCAGGGCCGGCCCGGGCCCAUGAAUGGGCCGUGUCGGGCCCGUUUCGUGUCGAAAAUUGAAAAUGGUCGUGAUGAAUGUCCUAUACCACCGCUUCUACUCUUAUAAUCUCAACUUUUAAUUAUACAUGAUACGAUUACAAACCAAAAUUAAAUCACAUAAUCUAUCGAUCAUUUUUUUCUUUGUUAACAAACUAAAGAAAUAAAUGAUAAAUGCUUACAAUUAAUAAAUUUUUAGGCAAAAACUUCUUAUGAGUCUAAGGGAAUACAAAUUCAUACUCAAAUAAAUAAUUAUUAGUAUAUAAGUAUAUUGUUCACACUCAAAACUAAGUUUAUUAUUUAUAAAUAUGUUAUCUUCAUAUUUAUAAAAUUAUAUUUUAUAGCGGGUCGGGCCGUGGGUCUCAUAUUAUCGUGCUUGGGCCGGGUUGGGCCUAUAACGGGCUCAGGCAGGGCCGGGCCUAUGGGCUCAUUUAUCUAAGCCCAGCCCGACCCAUUAGAAUAACGGGCUUGGGCCGUGCCGGGCCGCUUUUAAACGUGCCGUGCUCGUGCCGUGCCCGUGCUUAACAGCCUGUUUGCCACCUCUAUAGGGUACCCACGGAUAUUCGACCCUAACGAGGAAAAUAUACGGGGAUAAACGGGUAACGGGGAUGAGGAUCUUCAGUAUUUGGAUUCUUAAAUCGGGUACGGGGCGGGUUUGAUAUUUUGAUAUUCGUCCCCAUCCCCACCCAUUAAGGAUGAAAAUAUUAUUAUAUAUAAUUAUAUAAUUUAUUAUAUAUAUAUUUAUAUAUAAUUUAUAAAUAGAUAUUUAUGUAAAAAAAUGUGAUUCUCUUAAUACUUUAAUGGAACUUCCUUUCUAUUAUAUUUUUUUAUUCUCUUAAUGAAAAUUUUACACCAAAAAGAUUGUUUAUUAAAGUAAUAUAUAGAAAACUCAAACUCAAAUCUCAUACGAUCGAGCAAAUCCUAUAGUUUAAAGCAAAAUUAUAUAAACAAGUUGUUAUGUUGCAUUAAGCAUGCAUGCAUUGUGGAUUUUUUUGUCGAAUGCAUUGACAUUCAAUUACCGGUAUUAUUCUUUUUAAGCGAGACUUGUAUUUAUUUUUAUUGGAUUGAAACAUGAAAUUUAUUUAUUUUGGUAUUUGAUUUUAAUUUCAUACUUCUAUAUUUCAUUUUUUUUAAAGAAAAAAAAGAAAGAAAAACUAAUUUAAUACAUAAUUGUUAAUGGGGAUCAGGGCGGGUAUGGAAACGUAAUCCCCAAAGAGUACAGGUACGGGGAAUCCCCAUUAUCUAAUUACGGGGAUGAGGACGGGUACGGGGAUGAGAAAUGUAAAAAGGUACGAGUGUGGUAUUUUGAUCUCUUGACUCUACCCUACCCAUUACCUUACCUUACCCAUUGUCAUCCCUAGCAAUGGGUAGGGUAGGGUCAAGAGAUCAAAAUACCACACUCGUACCCUUUUUCAUUCCUCAUCCCCGUAAUUAAAUAAUGAGGAUUCCCCGUACCCAUCAUCUUUAGGGAUUACGUUCCCAUACCCGCCCCAAUCCUCGUUAACAAUUAUGUAAUAAUUAAUUUUUUUAAAAAGAUUACGAAAUAUAGAAAUAUGAAAAUAAAAUCAAAUACAUAUAUAAAUAAGUUUUUUAAUUCAAUCCAACAAAAACGAAUACAAGUCUCAGUUAACAAUGAAGUUUCUAUAAAUAUUCAUUAAGAAAAUCAUAGUAAAAAAAUAUUUCAAAAGAUUUUACAUAAAUAUCUAUUUAUAAAUAAUAUAUAUAUAUAUUAAAAAAUAAUAUUUACAUCCUAAAUAGGUGGGGAUGGGGACGAAUAUCAAAAUACCAUACCCGCCCCGUACCCGAUUCAAAAAUCCCCAUACCUGUCACUCGUUUAUCCCCGUAUAUCUCCCUCGUUAGGGUCAAAUACCCAUGGGUACCCUACCCGCUGGGGAUUAUUGCCAUCCCUAGUAACAAAGUUUUAUAACUGGUAAAGAAGUAAUUAGAAGUCAUUUUCAAUAAAUUAAUGAGAGAUCGUGUAAAGAUGAGAUAAUCUCUAAAAUCAAGAGAAGAGCUAAACCGGAUAAUAAUCCCCUAAGGGAAAUCACAAGAAUAGAAAAAGCAACAAAAAAUAGAAGAAAAAAAAAAAAAAAAAACUCUUCAUGACUUAGAGGUAAAUUGUGUACUCUUACCAACUCGACCACACGUGGUGUUUGAGUUUCGCAAUUUAUAAUCGCAUGUGUUGUCAUUCAACAAUGUUGAUUGCAUACGAAAAAUGCACGAAAAGUUUCACACUUAAUUUCUUAUCAACUCAACCACACGUAGUGUUUGAAUUUCAUAAUUUAUAACCACUUGUGUUGUCAUUCCACAAUGUUGAACUACACUGGUUCUUCGAAAAGAAAAAUGUUGAAGUAAACUAGCAAUAUAUGUUAGAGGCAACAUCAUCAUUAGGGUCUGCGAUUACACUUUUCCACUCUGGUUAUUUCUAUUUCAAGUAUGAUAGAAAAAAUCGUACUACCGACUGGACCAAAAAAUCAGAAACUUAAAAAAUGGUUUGAAUGGUUCAAUAGUGCAUUUUUAGAGUACUGAAUGACCAAAAGGAGGCUUUUGAUGAAAUGAAGGAAUGAAAACUCUGGUCAUUAGAGCAAGCUGUGGCCAAUACCUGAGGACCAUGAUGGCUGCAACUUUCACGUUCUAAAAAGACAGAUAUUUAGUUAAAGAAUAAUAACUUUAAAGGCUGCCUCCAAAUAAGAGAACCUACCUAAAAGGAGAGGCAAAGGCAAAGACAUAGGAACUUGGGCAGUGGGUAUGCCUUGCUUCAAUUUCAAGUAUGGCAGCUUUGCUAUGCAGUUAUUACCAUUUGCUCAGACAUUUUUACAGAAUCCACUUGGAACAAAGUGUUGUGGAGGUUAAAUGGAAUAGGCUCUCUUCUCAAUAAUCGAUCUUUCCCUUCUCAAGUGCCAGAAGAAGAAAAUCAUCAGACAACAACAAGUGGGUAAUUGAGUGAUUAAAUUAGGUGCUAUUAUAUAGCUUUGUAUCCGUUAAAUCUGUAAGUUGGAGAUAAGCGGACUCAAACCGCUGACAUCCAUCACAGGGUAAAUUACCGUUUCACAGACCUUUGACUAAUUCUACCAUAGAUGCCAAUGAUAGACAAUAACCCCCCCUCUCGAACACAGCUUAUAACUUUCAUUAUAUUGUGCUCUCCUGUUAUUAGCAAUGGCGGACCCAUGAUUUUAUAACGAGGUGGGCCAGAAUUUUUUUCUUCUAAUGAGCGUGUAUAUUCACGUAAAAAAUGGAUUAAGAUAAAUAACAUAUGGAUAAAAUUUGAAAAUUUGAGGUGGGAUAGAAUUUUUUUUCUUAUGAACGUGUACUAAUUUACCUUAAAAAUUGACCAAGUUUAAUAACAUAUGGGCUAAAUUUGAAAAUUUGAGGUGCGCUGGUACUUAAAUUUUAGUUUUUUGAACUAAAAUUUAGCUAGAAAUUAUUGUUUUUUAAAAACUUGGGAUGCGCUGUAGCCCAUUGAAACCCGUGUGUCGGUACGUCUUUUAUUAUUAGAAAAUUUUCUUGUACAUAUACUUGAAAAUGGUAAGCUGAUUUAUACAUGUAUAUACAUAUCUCUAUACGGGAGCAACAAAUAGACGAAGAACUUUAUACACUGGUUCGUGCUAUUUGCGACAACUUGUACCAGUCCUCACGUUGGGAUUAAUUAUUUCCUGGUAAAUCUGAUUUGUAUGUUUUUGAUUUUUAUUUUGGCUACAUGAUUUGUAUGUUUUUGGUGUACAGAAUGGAAAGAAUGCAAAUCAAAUACGGAAGUGCAUUGUUUUAAAUAGUAAUUUCAUACCUGACGCACAAAUUCUUAGUUACAAAAAUGAUUCUUCACUGUUCUUCAUUAUCACGCUCAUUAUUUUAUUCAGUUUUAUUAAGAACGAUAAAACUUUAUAUUAUAACAAUUUACAAUAAAACCAACGAUACAAUCAAAAGAAAACUCUUAAACAAAUACAAAACAUCAUAUAAAAAGUAAUUAAAGAAAGAGAAGAACAAAGAACAACAACAAGGUGUCUCUAAUUCUCCACUCUCUCCCCUGACUCCCUUAUUCUCUUCACCUCUAUGAAGAGAAUGACUCUCCAUCUUUCAAACUUCUCAAGCUUGAUAGCUAAAGUCUCUAUCCAUAAAUGCUUCCAUACAUAGCUUUAUUCUCUCAUUUUUCAUGUGAAUGAAGAGAAGUUAUGUACACAAUCUUUAAACAAUUGAAGAUUUAGUUCCUAUAAUCAUGUUUGCUUGCUUAUUGCCUCCUUGUUUCAUGGUAUAUAUAUAUCCUUGGAAAUUCUUCAUACUCUCUUCCGUUUGUAUCAAUGCAUCUAUAUACCUAUGAAUCAAACAAGCAAAAGUGAAUUCAACAAUUGAGUCAUGAUAAUAUUUCCACACAUCAUACUUAAUGCAUUAGAAAAUAAUCCACAAAUUUAACAUAUGCAUAUAUGCAUACAUGCUACUAGAAUAAGAAAAACAUGUGUUGCAAUUAUUGAUCUAAUUAAAAAGGAAAAUACUCGUGUUAAAACAAAUACUAAAUUUACUAUAUGAAAAUAGAUAACUUGCUUUCACUUUUAUUUAUUUUAGACACACUUGUAAGAACACAAAAACUGACCAAAUAAUAAAAUUCAAUAAAAAAUUACUAACAAAUAUAAAUCAGGGAUAAUAAUAUGAUAUAAAAUGUGUUCAUCAGACUACAAGACAACCAAAACCAAAAAACAAAAACUAAAAAAACCAAGAGAAAAGAAAAUAAAAAUAUAAAACUGAAACUUAGACGCCCACCUAAAAAGGGCCCAGGCCCCAUCCAUCCUACUAGAUCUCAAAAAGGAGGUUACCAGAAGCCCAACCCAAAAAAGGCUGCUGCAAUCUAAAUGCAGAGACCACUACCACGCCACCGCCUUCGAUCGCCACCCAAAGGAGCACUAUUCGCGAACCACCAUGAAGAGGCAGCAUCACCCAUCCUUCAAGAUCGGUAUCAAAACGGGAAAUGACGACCAAAACCAAGAAUGACUGGGCUAGCCGUCACCGCCGCAGUUUCCCCAUCACCACAUUACCACUGCAUCUCGCCUUAACACAUACACAGCUAGGAUCGCCGCCCUUGAUUGACAACAAGACCUCCUCGUUGACGCAACACCGCUUUGCAUGACAGACCCAAUAAUUGAACUCAAUCCGCACCUAUGAAACUCCUCCUCCUAUCAAUCCGCCGCCACCAGUCGACAAGGCUAGGCCACCAACUGGCCGCCAUCAGCUCCCGUCCGACGACAACAUCAUCAUACGUGUCGUCAGACGGACGUAGAAGAAUUUUUCAAAAACCCUAAAAGCACCUGGUUUUACGGAGAGAAAGGAAUAUAUUCACUAUUUUAUUCAGUUGUAGAAGCAUAUUGAGGAGAAAUUUUUGAAUGCUACCGGAGGACCACCUGGCUGUCUGACGUGGUCCUCAUUCCCAAUCAAAUUUUGACACGUAAAUUUUUUACAACUAAAAUAAAUUAAGGUUUUCUAUUUUUUGUGAAAUGACAUUCAUCGGUCUUUGGUGAGUUUGGACUAUGGUCUAGGGUUUAAGAUUAGGGUUUAGAGUAUAGGGUAUAAGGUAAGGAUUUAGGAUUUUGAAAUGCAACAAGAAACCCAAAAUGGUUUUUGACAAAAUAGCUGAAAUAAUUUUUUGUUAAGAAAAUCUACAUGUCAAAAUUUGAUUGGAAGAAAGACCACAUCAGACUGUCACGUGGUCCUCCCGUAACACUGAAAAAUUUCUCGCAUAAGUUUAUAAUAUAUCUUUGAUUUUAAUUUGAUUCAGUAAAUUGCAAACUACUUGAAAACAACAUAAAUGGUUACCUAGUCAGUCGUUGACCAAACAAAUUAUGUUCAACCACCAUUGGAUGCAAAUUCAAUGGUGGAGAGAAUUACUACUUAAUUGAUUUGUUUUCUUAUGGAUUUUCAUCUAAUGAUGAUUGAACAUAAUUUCUUUGGUCAACAGCUGAACAUGGGAACACUAUUGAUGUGGACAAUGUGUCCUUUAUGGAGUAAUUUUUAGAAACUUCAGUAAUGUUCAAGCCUUCACGGUAGCAAUUGAUCAAAUUAAUUAUAGUCAGUCACAUUUAGAUUUACAUCUAAUAGUGGGGAAUUAAAAAACUAAACUUCAAAUAAUUCUCUCUACCCUUAGAUGUAAUACAAUGGUCAAUCUCAACCAUCCGGUGAAAAUCAGGUAUAUGGGGUUUUAAAUCAAAAGGUCUCAGUAUUAGUGUUACAAUGGUCAAUCUCAACCAUACGGUGAAAAUCAAGUAUAUGGGGUUUUAAAUCAAAAGGGUUUUAAAUCAAAAGGUCUCAGUAUUAGUGUUACAAUGGUCAAUCUCAACCAUCCGGUGAAAAUCAGGUAUAUGGGGUUUUAAAUCAAAAGGUCUCAGUAUUAGUGUGUCUCAGUAUUAGUGUGUGUGUGUGUGUUAUAUCAUUCCUUAUAAAUCAAGGAUGACUCUUCAUGUUUCUGAUGUGAGAUUCGAAAGGGCUCUAAUCUAUAUAUCUAUAUAUUUAAGCCAAACUUUUUUCAACAAUCUCCACCUUGGCGUGAUUCGAGCCAUCUCUAAAUGUCUCACGAUCCUAGUCUCAAUAGCUCAACCUUAAUCACAAGCAUAAAAUUCCAACUCAAUAACUCAACCUUGAAUCCUUAAUAACAAGCCUCAAAUUCCAAAUCUUGUGAUCCUAAUCCAAACAAGAGCUCCACCAAAUUGCAACUCGAUCGUACGAGACACUAAGUCCCAAGUGUAAGCUGGGCUCUGAUACCAUUUGUUAGGAGAAAGCAGUUGAAGGGUCCCACACACACUAGUCCAAUAAUGCCGAUACUCUUCCCAUUUUAGCCACCAAAUAGAGAUCGGCCAUGAGGCUUUAAUACAAAAAACAUCGGCAUUAGUGUGUAAUAUCAUUCCUUAUAACUCAAUGAUUGAGUUUUCAUAUUUUUGAUAUGCAAUUCAAAAAGGGGCUUUAAUCUAAGCCACAUUUUUUUUUCCAACAAUAGGCUCGCUUUAAAAUAACGCGAGCUAAGAUGUACUAAGUGACAUGUGUUAUACUUCAUUGAUCGUACUUCAUGAUCAUAUAUAUGGUAUAGAGACCUGUUAAUGGACCGGAUCACUUAUAGUCGUUUGAAUUAUAAUUUCGGACAAUAAUUGCUAUGUUAAUGCAUCGAAUAUGUUAAUGACCAUCCCAUGUCUAAUUGUAUAAUUACUUAAAUUUUAUUUUGUUUGUCAAUACAAUACUUUGGUUACCUUAUUUGAAACUCUAAUGCUAGCUCGAUCUAAAGUCGCCACGGGUUCUAGAGAUUCUAUCGCCAAUUCCCAAGUCCCAGUCAAGGUUCUAAAAAACGCUAGGCACUAGUCGGGCGGACAGCCAGCGCCUAGCGCCCAGAGAAUUAAUCGGGCGCCUAGGCGGUUUUUUAUUUUCUAUAACUUUUAUUUGUUUAAUUCAAAUAAUUAUAUAAAUAAAAUUUAUAAAAUCAUUAUUAUGUUCUAAAAUAGCAAAAUACUUCAAAAAUAGACAAAAUGUUCAACAACAAGGUUCUUAGAAAUUAUAAAAAAAACAAUUUGAAAGAAACAAAUUAGAUUCUUACUAGCCUAUGCCUCAAAUUCUUCUUCUCCAUAUCUCUCUUGCACUUCUUCUGUGUCGGUCUCAAACUCAAAGUCUAUUUCAUCUUCUUCCUCUUCAUCCGAUAGGUUAAAAAUAGGUAAAAAAAAAAAAAAACCCAUAAUAGGGGCCAGCAAAAACAAAGAAAAAAAAAAGCAUAAUUGGGCCGCCCAGCCCGCCCAGGCACCGCCCAGCUUGCCUAGGCGGCCGUUUUUUGAGCUGGCGCCCAGUUUCGACGAUUUGUGCAAAAUCGGAACGGUCCCCUGCCGCCCAACGCCUAGGCGGCCCUGGGCGGCGUUUUUUAGAACCAUGGUCCCAGUUAAUAAUAAAGAGAAUGGGAUUGACAUUUUCUGGGUAUCGGGAGUGGUUUCAAUCCUUAGCGUAUUGGAUAUAAAUGAAAAUAAAGAACACAACAAUUUGUUUACUCAGUAAAACCUCAAUUUGAGGAAAAACAUUGUUGGGGCUUUGAGUUCAAAGCCCUUAAUGAAAACAAAAAUUCACUAUAAAUGAAGAACGAGUCAAUUAUAAACUAUGUAGCACUGAACGCAGCUACUAUCUCUACAACCCUAGCAGAUAUGUUUGAAGCAUUUUUCUUCUUCAAUCUCCAAGGAACUAACCACAUCCUUGAUCCUUCAAUCACAUAAACAAAAAGUUCAACUUAACACAAAACAAUUGAACUUCUGACCUUACAAACUAUCUCUACAACCCUAGCAGAUAUGUUUGAAUCAUUUUUCUUCUUCAAUCUCCAAGGAACUAACCACAUCCUUGAUCCUUCAAUCACAUAAACAAAAAGUUCAACUUAACACAAAACAAUUGAACUUCUGACCUUACAAAGUUUUACAGCAUAAAUACUAUCUCUCAAACGAGAAAUUUUUCUGUCUUCCAGGAGAACCACGUGUCAUGUUGAUAUGGUCCUCCCUACCUAUAAAAAAACUGACAUGUGGAUUUUCUCAAUUGAAACAUAAAUUGUGCAAUUCUAUUAUUUUGUGAAAUUACGUUUAGAUCAACCUCUACUGCUGUGAGAGCAUCUCCAAUAGCUUCCCCAAAAUUUCUAUAAAAUGGGGAAGCAAGAGCUAAAAUCUCUAAAAAAAUUAUGAUCAAAAUCCAGCAGCUUCUCCAUUUUAGAGAUUUCAGCAUUUAACACAACAAUAAAAUAUAAUAUAUCAUCAUUAAUUAUAACAAAAAAUAUUAUAUAUUUCAUUGUAACAAUAAACUACCCAAUAAAAUAUUUUAUUGUUGUCUUAAAUUCGUUGGAGCACGUGAAUAAUUUAAUUUUGGGGAAGGAAGACUUUGCUGCAAAUUUGGGGAAUGAAGUCUUCUUUUUCUUCUUCAUCCCCAUUUUGGGGAAUGGGAUGGGGAAGCUGUUGGACUUAAAAAUAGCUCUAUAUUCCCCUAAAUUCUAUAUUCCCCAAAAUUAAGAAUUUCAAGAAAAUGGGGAAGCUGUUGGAGAUGCUCUAAAGAACUUGUAUAACUCAGAUCUCGAUCUACAUAUAUGAAUAAUGAAUCCUCUUGUUCUUAAGGUUAUGGACAAUAUGCAUGAACCAAAUUCCAUUUAGUUUUUUUGUACUGCUAUGUCUUUUGCUAUUUCUCCUUGCAAAUCCCCACAAAUUCAUUAAUGUAAGCUUUCGAAUUGAAAUCCGAAACACAAAACAUUGAAGAUUUGAACCUGCGAUCUGGCUUAUCAUUUUAGUACAUGUCGAUCUCAUAAUUGCACAAGGACGACAAGGUGAUUGCACAAGGUGAUGCAUUUUUCACUAGGAGAUAAUAGAUGUUAAAUUGUUAAUUAACCAUAUAUUUGCAAAACCUCAUAUGAUUGCAUAAUCUGGGCUUUCCUUUCGUCUGAGUUUUAUUCUUAUGGAGAGCAACAUCUCAAUUAACAAGAUCAAUAAAUCUCAUAAUUGCACAAUGAUGAGGAAAUUUUUAUUUGAUAUCUCUUAAUCUGAAAUUAGUUGAAUUCUUUUUCAUAGUGGGUUUAUAACUAAAGAUUUUACAGAUAAGCAAAUUAUUGUUCAUAUGAGAGAGAAUUAGGAAAAGAGAAAGAAGAGAUAACAUCGGGAGAUGGAAUGAAGAAGAAGAUCCUAAAUGUUAUUUCACAAAAUAAUAGAAUUGCCUAAUAUAUGUUUUAAUUGAUAAAAUCUCCGUGUCAGUUUUUUUAUUAGUAAGGAGGACAAUAUUAGCAUGCCACGUGGUCCACCCGAAGGACAGAAAAAUUUCUCCUCUCAAACGCAAUGCGUGCAAAGGUAGUACUCUGAUUAAUCAAUAAACAAUCACAAAAUUUUACAAAGUUUUGCAUGUAGUCUGUGCGUCUUUUAUAUAUCUUCAAUAUCCUUGUGCGACUCUAACCUAAUUAGAAAGAUUAAUCAAUAACAAUCACAUUAAUCAAAUAUAAUAAAAUCUUCCUAAUGUAAUCUGAUUAAUGAAUGAAAACCUAAUGCCCUAAGUAUCUAGUCUCACGCAAAACAGAAUGUUAGGAGUUUGAUUACCAUAUUAAUACCAGCCAACUCAAAGAGAUCCUAAUCAUAUAGGACUUCAACUAGCACGUCCAAUAUAGCGGGUCAAAUCCAAUAAUAAUUAUCAAACAAAUCAAAUCAUAUAUAUAAUUAAAGGGUGCGGCUAUUUCCACCCCACUAAAUGCUCAGUUCACCCCACGUCUUAUAUUUUAUCUUUAACGUUCCAAUUUUGUCCUUAAAUUUUGUGGUUUUUAUUUUUUUCUUUUAUUUUCCUGAAUCUGAUAAAAUCUAAAAAUAUUUACAAAUAUAUCAUCANNNNNNNNNNNNNNNNNNNNCUAUAUUUGAAGCCAUAAAUGAAAUAAAAAUAAGAACGACCAAUCACACCACACAGUAUAACCACCCUGUUGAAGAUUGAAGAGAUUUUCAAAUCUGAUUUGAAAGAUGUAGAGAAUUUGUUUUUUUUUUUUUUUUUUCCGAUGUAAAUAUGUAGAGAAUUGUUGUUGUUUAAAUUUUAUAGAUUUUAGUUUAAUAUUAUAUUUUCACAAAAAUUCUUGAUUAUGGGGUUAGUAUUAGAAUAUUUAGUUUAAAAUUGAAAUGUGGGGUGAACAAAAUAUUUGGUGGGGUGGCAAUCGCCGCACCCAUAAUUGAAUCAAUACUCAACAAUCAAAUAUGGGUCUGGUUCCUGGGACAUUAUAUUUGACACUAAUUUUGAUAUCGUUUCCUGUCCAUUAGAUUUUAAAAAAAAUCGAUGGACUAGAUCAAUUGUAGAUAUGAUGUCAACUUAUAAAAACUGACGUGGCAAUUGACGUGGCAUUACUUAUUUUAUAACAAAUCAAAUCAAAUUAAAAAAACAAAAUCAAAACCUAAAAUCUGAAAAUCAAAUUUGAUCGCGAUAAAAAGAAGAAGAAAAAAAAAAAAAAAAAAAGAACGACAGCAGAAGACCAGAAGAAUACAGAUCAAGAGAAAGAAGAGAGCAGACGAGCAAAGAACCAAGACACUCAAAGCAUCUUCUCCGGUCUCACAUCUUUAUACUUUCGACAAAAUUAGGGUUUACUAUAAUUGGUUUUAUUGUUUACGGAAACGAAACCAAAUUGCCAUUGAUCUUUCGACCAAAAAGAAAAAUUGCUAUGGAGAGCUGUAUGAUUUGGUCCAUGGAAUGAUACGGUAUGAAUUAUAUUGUAUAAUUUGUUUCCGUAGUCAUUGGUCUAUGAAGGUUUUAUAUAUUACAGCUGCAACUUUAUGAUUUGAAUAGAGUACAAAAACUAAGCAAGUGGAGAUAAAUUUUAAAGAAGGAUAUGCAGAAAGAGCAGUAAGCCUUGAUGUCUCAAAUCAUAAACCAGUAGCUAUUCCUUUAAUAUAUAUAUAUGAUUCUGGCAAUCAUUAUAACUAAAUUUGCAUACAACUUGAUCAAAGCGUCUGAUAUCUCCAACGUUUUUCUUUAAAUGUGUUGUUAUCCAAUUUGUUUAAUGGAUAUCUAUGAUCAUGUAGUGUUGUUCAGGUUGGAAUCAAUGGACUUGACGAUAGAAGAUGACAAUCUUGAAUUCUCGUUGAACCAAGCAUCCAUUGAUAAAGCAAGUGAUCACAAUUCUCAAGAGAAAGAAGUCCGAAAACUAAAAUCCCCUUAUGUUGGAAUGAUUUUUGAAACAUUAAAUGAGGCCGGACAAUAUUAUGAAGCUUAUGGUCGACAAGAAGGUUUCUGGACUCGUAUCCGAAGUUCAUCAAAGUAUAGAUCACAGUCAAACGAAGUGACAUGUAGAUUAUUUGUCUGUGCACAUGAAGGUAAACAUGUCAUGCAAACUCAAAAAGAAGAUGAUCUGACAGAGAAAGACGAGAUAUCUGAGAAUGAUGAGGCAGAAACAUGUGAUAUACAGAUUGAAAAGAAGAGGCGUAGAAGUUGUUCAACUGUUAAAUGUGGGUGUGAGGCUAAUAUGCGAGUUCUUCAUGACAAAUGGACUAACAGAUGGAAAGUUUCAGUUUUCAGUGACAUCCACAACCAUAAAAUAGUGUCACCAGCUCGAAGAAUGAUGAUGAAGUCGAAUAGACAUAUGCCUGAUGCAGCAAAAGAUUUAACAGAAGCUUUUCAGAGAGAAAACUUACGAAUUAGUAAAGUUCCUUCAAUGUUUGGUGGUGCUCCUAAUAUUGGUUUUGACAAUAGGGACUGUUAUAAUCAUUUAAGGAAUGUGAGACACAAAGAGUUGGAAUCUGGAGAUGCACAAUCAGUCCUCAAUUACUUUAGAAAAAAGCAAGCAGAAAGUCCACAAUUCUUUUAUGCUAUCCAGUGUGAUGAAGAUGGUAAAGCAACUAACUUUUUCUGGGUGGAUUCUAGAUCAAGGACGGCGUAUCAGUAUUUUGGGGAUGUAGUAACAUUUGAUACAACAUAUCGGACAAACAAGUAUGACAUGCCUUUUGCGCCUUUUAUGGGAGUUAACCAUCACUUCCAAUCUAUACAAUUUGGAUGUGCUCUUUUACAAGAUGAGACCGAGUUGACAUUUUUAUGGUUAUUUGAGACGUGGCUUGAAGCUAUGGGAGGUCGAUAUCCGUCAUCUAUUAUCACUGACCAAGAUUUGGCAAUGAAAGGAGCAAUUGCAAAGAUUUUUCCUACUACUCGUCACCGUCUUUGCAUUUGGCAUAUAAAGAAGAAGUUUGGUGAAAAGUUGUCACAUGUAUAUUAUCAAAAGUUCAACUUCAAGACUGGCAUGAAAAAGUGUAUACGGGCAACAUACAAAGCAACCGAUUUUGAAGAGCAAUGGAAAAAGUUGAUUGAGGAGCAUGAUUUGGGACAGAAUGAAUGGCUACAACAAUUCUAUGAAAUCCGUGAAUCUUGGGUUCCAAUAUAUAAUCGCAGUAUAUUUUUUGCUGGAAUGAAUACAACAGGGCGUAGUGAAGACACUAAUGCAUUUUUUGAUGACUUUGUUACUUCAACGACAAAUCUAAGAGAAUUUGUUGUCAAGUAUGAACAAGCCUUACAGAAGAUUGUUACAAGGGAAAGCAGCGAAGAUUUUAUAUCAGAGCAUAAAUAUCGUAUUGUAGAUGAUGAUGACUUCCUUUUGAAACAUGCAGCACAAGUGUAUACCAGAAAUAUAUUUGAAAAAUUCAAGAGCGAAUGGACUAGAGUCAAACGGCUUAAAGUUGAAGAAAGGGGUUCUGACAGUCAGUUUCAUAGAUACUCAGUGAUGAGGAAAAUUGAUAACUCGUAAGAGUUUUUGGUGGAGUUGAAUUUACAAACGCAUGCGGGUAAAUGUGAAUGCCAAAAUUUUGAAUAAUUUGCUGGCAUAUUAUGAAAGUAUUUGUUCGUCAAGACAUUGAUACAAUACCGUCCCACUUUAUUCUUUCAAGAUGGAAACAAGGAGCAAAUAAGUUUAGAGUUACGGAUUCUGAAGCCUUGGUACAGAAUGAUGGUAAAGAACAAUCAGAAGCAUUGAGAUUUAGUCACAUGUGUCGGAGAGCCACUCAACUAGCUUGUUAUGCUGCACCCUCUGAUGAGGCAUACACAAUUUUCUUGGAUGGUUUAGAUGAAUUGUCAAAAAAAAUUUCAGAGAUAAAUAAGGUGUCACAAGAAGAUGAUAUGGAGUAUCAAGAUAAUGUUGUCCAAGGUGAAGCAGCAAAUAAAUGUACCAGUAAGUCCUCUGGGCCAUUGCUUUUGGAUCCAAAUAUCUCAAAGACUAAGGGUAGAAAGAAGGAUGAGAACAACAGAAGAAUAAUAAAAAGUUCUAAGAGGAUAAAAGGGGGUAUGGAGUUGGCUCAAAGUAAGCAGAGAAAGUGUACAAUAUGCCAACAGUCAGGACAAAACACUAGUAGAAAAAAAGGCUUAAGCGACGGGUACUUUCAUAUUUUGUCGCUUAAGCAAUUCCUAAGCGACGAAAACGGAUAUCAUCGCUAAAGAUACUUUUUUCGUCGCUACAAUUUUCUGGGGCGACGAAAUAUUUUUGUCGCUUAAGAUUUGUCGCCACAGGUCCUAAUAAGGCGACAACAAGGAUUUUAUCGCAAAAAAUUUAUGUAGCGACAAAAAUUUAACGCUUAAGCGACAAAUUAGUUUGUCGCACGAUAUCAUUACCCUAACUGACAAAUUCAUAUUUCGUCGCUUUAAUGUUAGACUAAAGCGACAGAAAUUUUGAAUCUUGAGCGACGAAAUUUUUUGUCGCAUUAUAGCCUUCACCUACCCGACAAAUUUAAUUUUCGUCGUCAGAGGUUAAAACUAAAGCGACGGAAUAUUUGGCUCUUGAGCGACGAAAUUGUUCCUCGCAUUAUAUCCUUCACCUAACCGACGAAUUUAGUUUCGUCGUGUUAGUUUAAGAUUAAAGCGACGGAACUUGAGUUUAAAGCGACGAAAGUGUUUGUCCCAUUAUCCUAAGCGACAAAACUUUUUGACUUAAGCGACGAAAUAUUCCGUCGCUUAAGUGAAAUCUUCUUUGCUUCACUUCCAGAUCGAAAAACUGCAGGAAAACAGAUCGAGCUACAGUGAAAAAAAAUCUGCACAAAUCAAUCUCGCAAAUCUCUGGCUUAUUUGAUGCAUGAUCAUCAUCCGUGUUCUUCUAAUGCAUUGUUCAUCUUCAUCCACUAGUUUGUAGUUUGGUAAAUGCUCUUUCUCCCUCUUUUCUACCAUUUUUUCCUGAUGAGUUUUCCGGUGAAAUAUUCCGGUCAAUUAUUGUUACUAAUAUUUUUAGAUGUGUGUUGGUUUUAUGAUGAAUUUUGGUUACCUAGCUAUUGGUUUUCUUGUUUAUAUAUAUAUAUAUAUAUAUAUAUAUUAUUCAUAUUGCUAAAUGUUAAAUUUUAGUAAUAUAUAUAUUUAUGAGAAUAUAUUUAGGUUGACUGUACACUUUGUGAGAAUAUUGGCAUGCAUGGUAAUAUAUAUGAGAAUUUUGAGAAUAUUUGGUAAUAUAUAUAUAUGAGAAUAUUUAGGUUUAUGUUGAAUAUUUAUGAGAAUAUUUGGUAUUAUAUAUUUAUGAGAAUAUUUUGGUAAUAUAUUUUUUCAUAUAUAUUUCAUUUUUCUGUAUGCAAAUGAUUAUGUGUGUUUAUUUGCGUGAUGAAUGUAAGAAUGAUAAUAUUCUUGCAUUCUAGCUACUUACAUGUUUAGCCUUAGAAAUCCCGUUCAAGAAUUAUUUUGUUACAACUUUGUUUGACAAAAUGAUUCUUGAAUUGUCCCAUUUUUAGACAGUUUGGAAGAACAUGACUUUAAUUCGCACUGAUUUAUGAUGUGGUGGUUCAGUUUUCGAUAGUGGGUAAUUUCGACAUGGUCUCCCGCUAUUGUUCCUCGAGUGCACAUUAGGUAUAGAAAUUGAUGCACUUGGGGAACUGUAGGGAGAUGUUGCCGAAAUUUUCCCACGUCGGAUUCGAAACCACUAUAACAUAAAUCAGUGCGAAACAAAGUCAUGUUCUCCCAAAUCGGAUUAGGACCCUAACCGGAGGCAUAAGGUGAUGAAGAAGAAGAAUUGAAUGGAUAUAUGUGCUUAUUUGUUGCUAACAAUGUGCAUUUUUUUUUCUAUUAUGAUAGGCAUGCGGAAAAAAUGGACAAGAGCUGGAUGCAGUACAAUAGGGGACACCCUUUAUAUAUACAGGGGAUCGUAGAUUUUCUGCAAUUUGUACAACAAUACGGUGGUGGAAAGGAAUGGCACAAGUGUCCAUGUAAAAGAUGUUGUUGCGGUAGUUGGGAGACAAUUCAGGGUAUAGAAAAGCAUUUGUCACAUUACGGCAUGGAUCCGUAUUAUACUACAUGGACUAAACACGGUGAAGUGCUAGUUAAUGAUCCUAUAAUGCCUUAUUUCCAACCAAAUAACUUGCAUGAGGCUGGCUCAUCUAGUGCUUCCGUCAGCCCUUAUAUGGAUCCCACGUUGAACAUGCUACAUGAUGCUUUUCCAUAUGCUUCAAGAUAUCAUCAGGAAGAGAAUUUUGAUGCACCCCAGGAAACAUAUUCUACUUUCUCGAACCCAAACACUGGUGAUUACGAUAAGUACAACAGGAUGCUCGAAGAAGCGCAGACCCCAGUGUACGAGGGACGUUCAGAAACUGUUUUGAGUUCUCUCAUGGAACAUAUGAGUCUGAAAAAGAAGCACAGGACCUCGAACGAACAUUUUGAUGACGUAUCAUCAUUUAUCAGACGUUUGCUUCCUCCUGCAAACAAACUACCAUCGAGUCAUUACAAUGCAAAAAAGAUCCUGAACGACCUCGGUCUUGAUUAUGUGAAAAUUGAAGCUUGUAAGAAUAAUUGUGUUCUGUUUUACAGAGAUUACAAAGACGCAUUUAGAUGUCGUAAGUGUAAUGCGUCGAGGUGGGAAGAUACUCUUUCCCCUAAAGGGAAAAUGAUUCCUAUGAAGGUGCUUCGUUAUUUCCCGUUGACUCCUAGGCUGCGGCGCCUCUACAUGUGUGAAAAAACUGCUGAGGAUAUGAGAUGGCACGGUAUUCCGAGGGAAGAUGACGAUGCGCUGAUACACCCCGCAGAUGGGGAAGCAUGGAAAUCAUUUGACUUAUCAUUUCCUGAUUUCGCUGCAGACGUUCGAAACGUAAGGCUCGGACUCUCAACAGACGGGUUUAAUCCCUAUGGAAACAUGAACUUGUCUUACAGUAUCUGGCCUGUUAUUGUUGUUUGUUACAACCUGCCUCCCUGGAUGUUAAUGAAGAAGGAAUAUAACAUGUUGGCUCUGUUAAUUCCAGGACCAAAGUCUCUAGGUAAGUGUCUCGAUGUGUAUUUGAGACCACUGAUUGAUGAGUUGAAUGGGUUAUGGGAAAAUGGAGCAUUGACUUUUGACAAGCUUACCGGUACUUCAUUCAUGAUGAGAGCAUCACUGAUGUGGACUAUUAGCGAUUUUCCUGGUUCGGGAUGUUGUCCUCUCAUACCACUAAAGGGUACAAAGCUUGUCCACUCUGCUUAACCGACAUCAAUUCUAGUUGGCACGCUGAUAGGGUGUGUUAUAUGGGAGCUCGUAGAUGGCUUCCAGAUGAUCAUGAAUGGAGACUUGAUGCAGUAACUUCGAUGGGAAACAAGAGUUUGGUCUGAAACCCCGAGAAUGGAGUGGCGAUGAAAUUUUAGAUUUGUUGAACUCCUUUGACUUCGGAACUCUGAGCAGUGAUCGUGAAGUAUUGGCUCGGAAUCCUAAACGUCCUUCGUAUCUUGCAAAUUGGACACACAAGAGUAUAUUCUUUGAGCUGCCUUACUGGUCAAAGUUAAGAAUAAGGCACAACCUAGAUGUCAUGCAUAUAGAGAAGAAUGUUUGUGACAACAUUGUUGGAACAAUUCUGGAUAUAAAAGAAAAGACUAAGGACACUAUCAAAGCGCGGUGCGAUUUGCAAAAUAUGGGUUUACGCCCACACUUGUGGGUAAAACGGACCGGCUCUAAAGUUGUUAUGCCUGUUGCACCCUACUAGGUGAAGCCGACUUUGAGGCCUAAAGUUUUCAGCUGGAUUCAAGAUGUUAAGUAUCCUCAAGGGUAUGCAGCAAAUAUAUCUCGAUGUGUUAAAGUGGGAGAAGAGAAGAUAAUUGGAAUGAAGACGCAUGACUGUCACGUUUUGCUGCAGCGGCUACUUCCAGUCGUAAUUAGACUAGUGUUGCAUUGUGAUGUUGUGGAGCCAUUAGUAGCGCGCCUUGUUCCGGUUCUGGCAGAAGUUAUGUGCUCGGGAGUUGAAGAAGUCAGAUGUUCUUACAUUAAAAGAAGACAUCGUCUACAUCCUUGCAAACUGGAGAGGAUUGCCCCCCCCCCCACUUUUUUUUCUAUUAUGGUUCACCUCAUGAUCCACCUGCCUGAACAAGUGUUGCUUACCGGUCCAGUACACAACACCUGGAUGUUUCUCAUGGAAGGUAAAAAUUUACUAUUUCCUAGCACGUACUUUAUAUCUUUGAUUUAUUAUAUUAUUGGCGAGCUCAAUAAACUAACUCCGACGUUUUUUUUUUUCAGACAACUCGGCGGAUAUAAGGGGUACGUUAAAAAUAAAUAUCGUUCGAAGGGGUCAAUAGCAGAGGCAUACAAGGCACAUGAGUGUGUAACCUCUAAUGAAAAUUAUCUCCAUCAAGAAACAGAGCAUGUUAGCAGUGAGAAUACACCUAGGUUCAACAUUUAAGUUGUUUCUGAUGAUAUCCGUUUGUUUGGGAAAUUACCAAUUUCUGAAAGAUUAACCGAUGAUGAGAUUGUUGAGGCUCAUUGGUGGGUACUGCGACACUGUGACCAAAUCGACAUGUUUAGACAUCCACAUGAACAACUUUGCAAAUUAAAUAUGGUGACAGAUGGGGAAGAGAUGCAAAAGAAGACAUUUCCAAAUACUUCAUAAAAAUGGGUGCGUUUGAGUUUCAUGUUUUUACACGUAGAAUUUCAUGUGUUUGUGAUUCCAAAAUUAACAUGUUUUGAUGUUUUUUCAGGUUGCAAAGUUGCAAGAAGAAAAUAGUGUACACUACAAACCCGAGUUGUCGUAUUUGGCUGGUAAGCCGCAACAUGUGAAUAUAUAUGCUGCUUGUGUAAUCAACGGCAUUAAGUUUUUGACAUUGCAUCGAGAUUAUGGUCGAAAGACACAAAANNNNNNNNNNNNNNNNNNNNGAAAGAUUAACCGAUGAUGAGAUUGUUGAGGCUCAUUGGUGGGUACUGCGACACUGUGACCAAAUCGACAUGUUUAGACAUCCACAUGAACAACUUUGCAAAUUAAUAUGGUGACAGAUAGGGAAGAGAUGACAAAAGAAGACAUUUCCUAAAUACUUCAUAAAAUGGGUGCGUUUGAGUUUCAUGUUUUUACACGAGAAUUUCAUGUGUUUGUGAUUUCCAAAAAUUAACAUGUUUUGAUGUUUUUUCAGGUUGCAAAGUUGCAAGAAGAAAAUAGUGUACACUACAAACCCGAGUUGUCGUAUUUGGCUGGUAAGCCGCAACAUGUGAAUAUAUAUGCUGCUUGUGUAAUCAACGGCAUUAAGUUUUUGACAUUGCAUCGAGAUUAUGGUCGAAAGACACAAAACAGUGGCGUGAUGUGUGUGGGUACAGAAGACGGAGCUGAAUAUUACGGGGUCGUUAUAUCUGUUGUCGAACUAAUCUACGCAAUUGGUAUGCCAGUUGUGUUAUUGAAGUGUAGAUGGUUUAAUGACCCAAAUAUACCAAGGAGUACCAAGAUGGAUUAUGGUUUGUUAUCAGUGAAUACAUGCACAAGCUGGUAUGAGAAUCAACCGUUUAUUGUUGCCACAAUGGCAAGACAAGUUUUUUAUCUUGAUGAUCCAAAGGAGGGUGGGGGUUGGAAAAUUGUUAACGUGAUGUCACAUAGAGGUAUUUACACUGCAACUACACUUGAGAUGGGUAUUGCGAAUAGAGAUAUUGAGAAUGUGACUCUUGAACCAUAUCAAGAAGCCUCAACGUCUAAUAUCCCCGACACGGAGACUAUUCGCAUCAACAACGACAUCCACUUCCAACCCCGCGAGUACGCUCCCAUUUCUAAUUUAGAGUUUGACUUCGGUUCACUUCCAUUCAUCCCACCAACUGAGGACUUCAUUGACGACGACGAGGAAGACUCAGACGAUCAUUUAUAUGAAGUGAGUGAGGAUGAUUUAGAAGACAGAGACUACGUUGAUAGCGAUUGAAAACUCAUUAUGUGUUCGGAGGGGUCAAAUUUUCGAUUUAUUAUGUCAUGAAUUUAUUAUAUAUGUAAUGUAAUUUAUUCUAUUAGUUGUGAUAUGUAUUAAUUUCUGAUUGAUUUAGUUUUAUACUUUACUAACAUUUUCGAUGUAGCAGAAAUAUAAACGUUAGAAUCCACCAACGGCAACUUGAAUCCACUAGUCAAGGUUUUUUAUUAAUAUGAAACUAUCGAGAGGAGUUCUGGGAUCCACUAGAGAAUUAAGAUAAACUCAAGGUUUUUUAUUAAUAUGAAAGCUGACAACUAGAACUGAUAAAUGCUCCUUAUAUAAGAGCAAAUAAACCUUAGGACAACUAACAUCAAAGCCUAAAAGCCCAUGGAUUAAAAAGAAAACCAAAUUCAAAACAAACUAUUAAAAUAAAUGUCUGAAAAUAAGUAAAUAUGCAUUUUGAAGGCCUAAAUGGACUCGGAUGGCCUAAAAAGCCCAUAUGUCGUGGUAAAACCACGAGUUUUGUUCGUUGGGCCGUUCUGCUUCCAAAAAGGUAUCAUAAUAGUCAAUUGGACACCGAACGCCAAAUUUGAAGCAAACCGGGUAUAGACUUAUUUCGAUUGUUCUCACUAUCUAUUAUAUAUCAAAUUUUAUGAGUAUUAAUUAGCAGAAAAUGAAAUAAGUGAAAUAUAAAUGAUUUUCCAACUUAAGCGACGAAUUUUGUUAUUUUCGUCGCUUUAAAAUGUAUAUUAUUUGGCGGAAAGUCAAAAAUUUAAGUCACUUAAGCGACGAAAAAUAAAUACAUCGUCGCUUAAGUCCCAAAAUAUUUGGCGGGCUGCAUUCCAGGACCAAAUUUUGGCCCAAAUUUAAACAAACUUAAGCGACAGAAGUUUUAAAUGUUGCCGUCGCUUAAGCCUCACUAUGUAUAUUGUUUCAGCGCGCACUUCCUGAUCUCAAUCCCUAACACAUUGAAAAAAACCCUCAAAUCCCUUCACUCCCAGCCCUCCCUUCACUCCCGGCCCUCUUCCUCCUUACUUACCGCCCUCCUUACCCCUCUUCCUCCUUACCGGCCCUCUUCCUCUUUACUGGUCCCCAAAUCCCUUCACUCAUCUUCCUCCUGGUUUCACUCCCGGUCCUCUUUCUCCUCUCACUACCUAGAUGCCGCCGGCGCUCAGGAAAAGGAAAGCUAGGGAGGAGGCGGAGGAGCGUCUGCGACUGGAGUGUGCGCAACAAUACGGCUCCUCUUCUGCCGGGUCCAACACAGCCACUCCGACGACGACGGCGCCUGCAGGAUCUCUUGCUUCAUCGGCUCCCCCUCUAACCGACGACGAAGACGAGUCAACGACCCAAGUAGCAGAAACACCAGCUGAGGGUGCACCCAGGGUUUUCAGCGCUCGCCGGAAACCGAAGAAAACCGGAGGACCUCCCCAGAAAGGCAACCGGGGUGUGGUGAACAACGCAAAGGUGGCUGAUAUUGUGAAAAGCACGGGGAAGAAGAUCGACUUGGACUUUGAUUGGGAAGUGAUUGAUGGACCCCGUAAUUCGGAUGUAUGCAGCCUCUUUGUCAAUAGUCUUGGAAGCAUCAUACGAAAAAGAGUGGCAAUGAAGAAGGGAUCGUGGUAUGAUUUAGACAAGGAGGAGAGGAAGAAGCUUUUUGACGGUUUCACUGUAAGUUAAGAUAACUUUCAGUUAAUUUUUUUGGUAUUUUGAUUCCCUGCAUCUUGGUAUUUUGAUUCCCUUUCAAGUGCUAAAAGCCUAAAAUGCUUUGUUCUGAUAAUAUGUUUGGUUGGAGUAGAAACAGAAUUAGGAAUUUGGCUUAAUUUCAAGUGCUUGUACAUCUAGAUUGUGAUUGUAUCUGAUUGCUUGUACAUAAAGUUUAUCAGCAAGAGAAAAGUUAUCAAAUGACAAAAGAGAUCGAUGAGAUUAGUUACUGUAUUUAAUCAAAUGAAGUAGUGUCUGGGAAAUAAUCAAACUGAUCUCUUUGGAUUUUAUAUAUAGUGUGUGUCUGUUGUUUUUCAUGCAUAGGAAUGAUAGGAUAUAGAUGUGUCAAAUCAGUAUGAGUGCUAAGUAGCAUGAACUUUGCAUGUCUCAGGUUUUUCACAACUUGAUUAUGAGUGUUUGGAUUUGAAUGCAAUAUUUGACUCAUGUUUCAUACCAAUUGUGGGGUUUAUGAUUCCCCUAUCUCAAUCCACGUACUGCUACAUACGUUGAUCAGUUGAUCAAUGAUCUAUUUGAGUUUUUUUCUUCUUCUCCUCACUUGUUUUUUUUUUAUUGAGGACUUAGAAGUAAAGAAUUUGGCUUAAUUGAAUAAACCCUAAGGGAUUACAAAGAAAGAGAACGACUUAGUUAUUCAAAAUACAGAUAAAUCAUGAGAUGGAUCACAUAUGUUUUGUCUUUGGUACUUAUAGUGUUUGUGUACGUUUUGUGUCACUUUCUCAUAGUGUUUCUUGUUCCAAUCAUGGAUGAUGCUCUUAUAUAGUUGCAAGUAGAUAUGCUUAAAGAACUUGAUUGGGACUUUGAUCGACUUGGUUUUUAUGAUUAUUUCUCUCAUAAAGUUCCAUCAUAUCAUCCAAUCAUGAGUCUUGUUAAUUGGUAGGAACUGUGCAUCUAUUCAUAAGUGCAAAGUGGAACUUUCCCUGUCUAGUGCUGCAAGCAGCUAAUACUUUAGAUCAUAAGGUUCAGUUCCGUUAUUUGAAAGUGUUAUCUGUGAAUUCCUAGGCAAGGUGGAAAUCCCAAUUUGUGGAUAAGCAUUUGGGAUUUUCUUCUAAAGAUUGGUUUGUUCCUUUCUCUAGUCUUCUCUGUUGAUAGAACGAAACAUAAUCUCUGUUCUCUGAUAUGGUUCUAAUUUUUUGUAUUGGUAUAUCUCUCAAUUUCCAUGCAUCAUGGUAUUAAUUUUUUUGGUAUUUUGAUUCCCUGCAUCAUUGCAACUUAAUGGUUUCAUGUUUUCUAUGUCUUGCAGUGUUUUUUUAUCAUUGAUUUUAAUGAUGUAAAAGCCAUUAAAUGGAUAAAUAAAAGGGUGGCAAGUGUAUUCCGUGAAUGGAAGCAUGACUUGUCCGAGAUUCACAAGCUCGGGGGGAGAGACAUGAUUCCAGAAGAGCUUUUGCACAGGCGGGAUGAGUGGGAGUGGCUUUGCAUGCAUUUUGAAUCGGACAAGUACAAGGUAUAAAUUAAGUUUUGGUUAUGAGAGUUUGGUGUUAUUUGAUAGGGUAGGUGAUUUGUGGUGAUUUUCCCUGGUAGGGAAGUUAACUACCACUCAUUGUUAUAUCAUGAUAGCACAACAGUGAUCAAUAUCAUUCUAGGAAAAUCUCAAUAUGUGUUUUUAGAAACAAUAAAUUGGCAUGGAUAUUUAUAUUGGUAGUAUCUUACCUGAUGAUGGAUUCUUUUGUUGGAUGUUAUGAUGGAUUCAUUUGUUAGAUGUUAUGCUGCCAUUUAGCUCAUGUAUGACACCAAAAGAAUGAAUAUUCACAUGAGUUUAUGUAUAUAAUAUAUAUAUAUAUAUUUUUUUUUUUGGAGAAGAACGAAAAAGAUGAGUUUAUGUAUAUUGUUUCCAGAAUACAAUCUGCACAGCUAUGGUGCUCAAUAUAGUGUAUGCAAACUGGGAGUACAACUUUCGUUUUGCAUUUCUCAUUUUCUCCCUCUGCAGGUACUUGACUGACGAGGCUACUGCACUUUUGCUUUACUCUUUAUUGCAAGGAAAUGAUGGUUUUGCUGUUGUUUACUUCUUUUUUUCCUUGUAUAUAGCAGUAUUAGUUAAACUCAUAUCUGCAUUUCCUCCAUACAUGCAUAGUCUUAAAAUUGUACUAUACCAUGUCAAACUCAGUACCUCCCAGUAAGUAAUCUAGACUACCUGCAUACAUGUCAUUGCUUUGCUUUCUGUUUACUUGUUUCAUUUGCUGUGUAGUUUUGCUACUGUGUACUUGUGAUUUGAGUGGGAUUUAGGACUCUUAAUGACUUGAAAAUUUGUGCAGAGACGAUCGGUUGCCAACUCCAGCAACCGUGGUAAGAAGGAGUUAGAGCACCACUCAGGGAGGAAACCUAUCAUUUACUAGGUGGCCGAGCUAAGGGAUAAGGGUGCUUCAUUACCGGUGGUUGACGUGUACCCGACGACAUACGACAUCAACAAGCCUAAAGCUGUUGAGCAUUAUGUAAGUAUCAAUACCUACUGCCUUAACAAAGUUUCUAUGCCACUUUGCCUGUUGUAUAUUUCAUGUGAUGUUCAUUUGGUAAUAAGUGUAGUUAAAUUAUAAUGAAUUGCUGAUAACUGUUUUGUGCCGAAACUUUUGGUGUUAUGUGGUGUAGCUGUCUUGAGUUCGAAUUUCAUUAGGAUUGAGGACUCCGUUUGGCUUGAAACUUUGUACCCUUGUCCUUCCAUGUGAUUACCCUUGAUCUGGAAAGUUUGGUGUUGUUUGAUAAGGUAGAUGAUUCAUGGUGAAUUUUUGAAUUUGGGUACACUGCACUGGAAAUUGUGUUUGUGUUCAGCAGUUCAGUUGCUUCGUAUUUGAUUGGGUUUUGGGUCUUUUUUUGGCUUGAAAUUUUGUGCUCUUGUUCUUCCUUAUGUUUACUCUUGGUCUGCAAAUUUUGGUGUUAUUUGAUAAGAUAGAUGAAUUAUGGUGAUUUUCUAAAAUUAAGUGCUUUGUGCUGAAAUUGUAUUCGAGUUAUGCUGCGGAGUUGUGUUAAGUCUGAAUUUGAUCAGGAUUUAAGACUCAUUUUGGUUUGAAACUUUGUACUCUUGUUCUUCUAUAUGAGAACUAUUGAUCUGGAAAGUUUCAGCUUAUUCCAAUGUAAAUUAACAAGUAGGUGAUUUUUCAAAGUUUACCUUGCAGUUGGUAAAGUCCCAAAAUUUUAAGUAUGCUUCCUUGUUUUCUGUUGAGCUAAGUGUGUGUGUGUAUAAGCAUGUUGCUAGUGUAUAGAGAACCGUGCUACAUUCCAGAAUUACAAGGAUCAUUAGAAGCUUUCGUGGUGUGUGAUGAUACUAUGGGUGUCCAUAGUAGUUUGGUGUUUGAUUGUUAUAUUGUAAAGCUGAUGCCUGUUGCAUAUUUCAUGUGAUGUGUAUUUGGUAAAGCUGAUUACUGCUUCAGUUAUCAUGUUUUGAUGAUGUUAUAAUAGUUGCAUAUAUGACUUGUACAUAUUAUUCUUGAAUUGUAGGAAAAGUUGAAGGAACAAGGUGCUAUUGCCAAGACUUUGCAGAGCACUCAACAUCCGGACAUCCCACCGGAUCAGCUACCUCCUUUGGACUGGCCAACUCAACUAAGUGUUGUGCAAAACGCUAUGAGAGAAACAAAAGGGUCUUACUUUCGUGGUAUUGGACGAGCAGGCGUCCUAGAGAAGAGCAGAAGGUCAACAUCUUCCUCUUCAUGCUCUCGACCGAAUAAUGAGGCGAUGACAGAGAUAGUGGCUGCUAGAAAGGAGGCGGCUGAGGCACAAGAGAGGGCUGACAAAGCACAAGAGAAGGCUGAAAAAGCCCAGAAGAUCGCUAAGCAGUCUGUUGCAGAUUAUCAAGUGUUGAAGUUGCAAAUGGAUCAAAUCAUGGCUCGAAUAGGGCUACAGCCUAUGUGUUCACCCUCGGUCCCAAGCCAACAACCUCGAGACGACGAUGAUGAUAGGGGCCUUGACACUUCUCAGAUUAGUUUAGGAAAUCAGUAGACUUUUUUAGUUUAAAUAAUUGUACAAACAAUAUUAGCUAGUAUUUAUUUGGUUGGUACGAUAACUUUAUUAUUAUUAUUAGUAAUAUAAAUAUUUCGGUUAAUUUAUUUUGGUUUUACAGGAAUUAUUUAUAACUUACAUGAAUAUAUUUUUGAGUUAUUAUAAUAUCUCUCUCAGUAAUAAUAAAAACAUUUUUUUUUUUCAAAAAAACUAAAACCUAAGCGACGAAACUUUUUGUCUCUUAAGAUGCUUAUUUUGUCGCUUAAGAGUAAAAAUUAGGCGCCAAAAGUUGACAGGCCAAAAAAGUCUUUUGUCGCAUAAGGCUAUAGCGACGGAACCGUUCGUUGCUAAACCAAACAGGUUCGUCGCUUAACCGUAAAACGACAAGACAACAUACGUCGCUGAACAACUUAAGCGACAAAAUUUUUUGUCGCCUAAGUUAAUUAUUCGUCGCAUUAGAGGUAGCGACAAAAAAGGAUAGUCGCUAAACUAAUAAUUUUCGUCCCUUAACUGUAAAACGACAAAAAAAAUACGUCGCUGGAAAACUUAAGCGACGAAUAUAAUUCGUCGCUUAAGUUAAUUAUUCGUCGCCUGCAGGUCUGUGGCGACAUAAACAAACCCCGUCGCUUUGUUCGUUUUCUUAAGCGACGGAUUAUAUGUUUUUGUCGCUUAAGUACCUAUGAGACGCGUCAUAUGCGACGAAUCUUAAACGACGCCGGUUUCGUCGCUUAAGCUAUAAAGCGACAAAAAUGAGAACUUAGGCGACGAUUUUUUCCCGUCGCUUAAGUCUUUAUUUCUACUAGUGAGAUUAUGUAUGGAAGUACUCAAAUCAUUUUGUGAUAUGAACAACAAGAAGCUUUUGAUAAAAAAAUUAAAAAAAACAACAACAACAAGAAGUUGAAAUAAGUAUAUAUGUCUAAGUUGAAAUAGAGAGUACCAUCAUCAUCUACCUCUUCUUCUUCAAAGAAAAAAAAUUAUCAUACGAUGUAUGUCAUAACAUGUUGGAAAACUUAUGAUCAGAUUAUGUAUGGAAGUACUCAGAUCNNNNNNNNNNNNNNNNNNNNUCACAAGCUUGGGGGGAGAGACGUGAUUCCAGAAGAGCUUUUGCACAGGCGGGAUGAGUGGGAGUGGCUUUGCACGCAUUUUGAAUCGGACAAGUACAAGGUAUAAAUUAAGUUUUGGUUAUGAGAGUUUGGUGUUAUUUGAUAGGGUAGGUGAUUUGUGGUGAUUUUCCCUGGUAGGGAAGUUAGCUACCACUCAUUGUUAUAUCAAGAUAGCACAAUAGUGAUCAAUAUCAUUCUAGGAAAAUCUCAAUAUGUGUUUUUAGAAACAAUAAAUUGGCAUGGAUAUUUAUAUUAGUAGUAUCUUACCUGAUGAUGGAUUCUUUUGUUGGAUGUUAUGAUGGAUUCAUUUGUUGGAUGUUAUGCUGCCAUUUAGCUCAUGUACGACACCAAAAGAAUGAAUAUUCACAUGAGUUUAUGUAUAUAAUAUAUAUAUAUAUUUUUUUUGAGAAGAAACGAAAAAGAUGAGUUUAUGUAUAUUGUUUCCAGAAUACAAUCUGCACAGCUAUGGUGCUCAAUAUAGUGUAUGCAAACUGGGAGUACAACUUUCGUUUUGCAUUUCUCAUUUUCUCCCUCUGCAGGUACUUGACUGAUGAGGCUGCUGCACUUUUGCUUUACUCUUUAUUGCAAGGAAAUGAUGGUUUUGCUGUUGUUUACUUCUUCUUUUUUUCCUUGUAUAUAGCAGUAUUAGUUAAACUCAUAUCUGCAUUUCCUCCAUACAUGCAUAGUCUUAUAAUUGUACUCUACCAUGUCAAACUCAGUACCUCCCAGUAAGUAAUCUAGACUACCUGCAUACAUGUCAUUGCUUUGCUUUCUGUUUACUUGUUUCAUUUGCUGUGUAGUUUUGCUACUGUGUACUUGUGAUUUGAGUGGGAUUUAGGACUCUUAAUGACUUGAAAAUUUGUGCAGAGACGAUCGGUUGCGAACUCCAGCAACCGUGGUAAGAAAGAGUUAGAGCACCACUCAGGGAGGAAACCUAUCAUUUACCGGGUGGCCGAGCUAAGGGAUAAGGGUGCUUCAUUACCGGUGGUUGACGUGUACCCGGUGACAUACGACAUCAACAAGCCUAAAGCUGUUGAGCAUUAUGUAAGUAUCAAUACCUACUGCCUUAACAAAGUUUCUAUGCCACUUUGCCUGUUGUAUAUUUCAUGUGAUGUUCAUUUGGUAAUAAGUGUAGUUAAAUUAUAGUGAAUUGCUGAUAAGUGUUUUGUGCCGAAACUUUUGGUGUUAUGUGGUGUAGCUGUCUUGAGUUCGAAUUUCAUUAGGAUUGAGGACUCCGUUUGGCUUGAAACUUUGUACCCUUGUCCUUCCAUGUGAUUACCCUUGAUCUGGAAAGUUUGGUGUUGUUUGAUAAGGUAGAUGAUUCAUGGUGAAUUUUUGAAUUUGGGUACACUGCACUGGAAAUUGUGUUUGUGUUCAGCAGUUCAGUUGCUUCGUAUUUGAUUGGGUUUUGGGUCUUCGUUUGGCUUGAAAUUUUGUGCUCUUGUUCUUCCUUAUGUUUACUCUUGGUCUACAAAGUUUGGUGUUAUUUGAUAAGAUAGAUGAAUUAUGGUGAUUUUCUAAAAUUAAGUGCUUUGUGCUGAAAUUGUAUUCGAGUUAUGCUGCGGAGUUGUGUUAAGUCUGAAUUUGAUCAGGAUUUAAGACUCAUUUUGGUUUGAAACUUUGUACUCUUGUUCUUCUAUAUGAGAACUAUUGAUCUGGAAAGUUUCAGCUUAUUCCAAUGUAAAUUGACAAGUCGGUGAUUUUUCAAAGUUUCGUCGCUUAGGUUUUAGGAACUAUUAUUCUUGAAUUGUAGGAAAAGUUGAAGGAACAAGGUGCUAUUGCCAAGACUUUGCAGAGCACUCAACACCCGGACAUCCCACCGGAUCAGCUACCUCCUUUGGACUGGCCAACUCAACUAAGUGUUGUGCAAAACGCUAUGGGAGAAACAAAAGGGUCUUACCUUCGUGGUAUUGGACGAGCAGGCGUCCUAGAGAAGAGUAGAAGGUCAACAUCUUCCUCUUCAUGCUCUCGACCGAAUAAUGAGGCGAUGACAAAGAUAGUGGCUGCUAGAAAGGAGGCGGCUGAGGCACAAGAGAGGGCUGACAAAGCACAAGAGAAGGCUGAAAAAGCCCAGAAGAUCGCUGAGCAGUUUGUUGCAGAUUAUCAAGUGUUGAAGUUGCAAAUGGAUCAAAUCAUGGCUCGAAUAGGGCUACAGCCUAUGUGUUCACCCUCGGUCCCAAGCCAACAACCUCGAGACGACGAUGAUGAUAGGGGCCUUGACACUUCUCAGAUUAGUUUAGGAAAUCAGUAGACUUUUUUAGUUUAAAUAAUUGUACAAACAAUAUUAGCUAGUAUUUAUUUGGUUGGUACGAUAACUUUAUUAUUAUUAUUAUUAGUAAUAUAAAUAUUUCGGUUAAUUUAUUUUGGUUUUACAGGAAUUAUUUAUAACUUACAUGAAUAUAUUUUUGAGUUAUUAUAAUAUCUCUCUCAAUAAUAAUAAAAACUAUUUUUUUUUUCAAAAAAACUAAAACCUAAGCGACGAAACUUUUUGUCUCUUAAGAUGCUUAUUUUGUCGCUUAAGAGUAAAAAUUAGGCGCCAAAAGUUGACAGGCUAAAAAAGUCUUUUGUCGCAUAAGGCUAUAGCGACGGAACCGUUCAUCGCUAAACCAAACAGGUUCAUCGCUUAACCGUAAAACGACAACACAACAUACGUCGCUGAACAACUUAAGCGACAAAAAUUUUUGUCGCCUAAGUUAAUUCUUCGUCGCAUUAGAGGUAGCGACAAAAAAGGAUCGUCGCUAAACUAAUAAUUUUCGUCCCUUAACUGUAAAACGACAAAAAAAAUACGUCGUUGGAAAACUUAAGCGACGAAUAUAAUUCGUCGCUUAAGUUAAUUAUUCGUCGCCAGGUCUGUGGCGACAUAAACAAACCCCGUCGCUUUGUUCAUUUUCUUAAGCGACGGAUUAUAUGUUUUUGUCGCUUAAGUACCUAUGAGACGCGUCAUAUGCGAUGAAUCUUAAGCGACACCGGUUUCGUCGCUUAAGCUAUAAAGCGACAAAAAUGAGAACUUAGGCGACGAUUUUUUCCCGUCGCUUAAGUCUUUCUUUCUACUAGUGUAAUAGGCUUACUUGUCCUUUAAAUCCUGAUGCAAAAAGAAAAACUAUUGUUUCUACUAAUCAAAGUAAGUUAACUUUUCUCUUCUUUUUAUUUAUCAGAUCAUAUAGUGUUAUGAUAAUUACUAACACACACUUUUGUCUUUUGUAUUUGUAGAGAGUAAAAAUAUGCAAGAGACGCUCACAGUUUCGGACAAGGAAGAUUCAGACAAGGAGGAUUCAGACGAGGAGGAUUCAGACAACAACUAUGAAGAAUAAAUUUACCUCCCUAUUGAUUUUUUUUCCUUCCUUUUCGUGGCUACAAUUUCUUUUAGGGAGUUUUGGUUAGUUUUGUUAUUGUACAAGAGGAUGUUAUUUUUGUUUUUAUAAGAAGAUGAUGUACUCCUAUAUAUUGAUUUCGUAUUAAAUGCAUUGAGAGGAUGAUAUGUACGAUUUAUCAUACAAACAUGGGAUCUACAGACAUGAUACUCUUGCAUCCAAAUUUGAUGAUGUAAAAUGUGCAAAUAUCUUGUGUGAAUGUAGGGAGAGAUUGAUGAAAUCUAGGCAUCAAAACUGAUGACUUCAGACGUUGCUUUGCUUCUGUAGUGAACGAAUUUUCAGGCAAAAACUGAAACCAUUGCAACAAGGUACAAUAAUAAAAUUCAACUUGCUGCCAGUACGUUGUCUUUGUAAAUAUCCUUUUGUAAAAGUAGUGCUUCAAUUGUCAUCGCUGAUUAAAGGUAAUUAAGUGAACCAUGAGAGGCAACAAUUGCAUCAUUCACAUGAUUCAUCAACUCAAUACUAUUGGAACAUGAGAAGCUAGCAAACAAACUAUGUCAACCAUGGCUUGGAUUAACGUGCGUAUGUGGUCUGGGUGUUAUUCUACAAAUUGGUUCUUUUUGUUUUUAGCACAACAUAGAACCUAGAUCGAGGUUCUUAAUUAUAGCCUCACAUUAGGGAAAGAAAAUAUACUAAAUUGGUUCUUUGCUCGUCUGUUCUCUUCUCUCUCUUGAUCUGUGAUCUUCUGGUCUUCUGCUGUCGUUCUCUUUUUUUUUUUUUUUUUCUUCUUCUCUUUUAUCGCGAUCAAACUUGAUUUUCAGAUUUUAGGUUUUGAUUUUGUUUUUUUAAUUUGAUUUGAUUUGUUAUAAAAUAAGUAAUGCCACGUCAAUUGCCACGUUAGUUUUUAUAAGUUGACAUCAUAUCUACAAUUGAUCUAGUCUAUCGAUUUUUUUAAAAUCUAAUGGACAGGAAACGGUGUCAAAAUUAGUGUCAAAUGUAAUGUCCCAGGAACCGGACCCAUCAAAUAUAUAACAAUAUAAGUUCUAAUUAAAUUAGAACUUCGUUGCUCACCUUUUUUUGAUUUUGUGUAGAGAUGCCAACUACUAAUCAUAUACCAAUAAAUAAUCAGAUCAGAAAAAUGAAAAGUUAUGAAAUAUUGUCUGAGCCAUAACUAUGCAAAUCCAGAUUUCUCAGCCACCUUUUUAACUUUCUUACCAAACUUGAGUAUUCAAUCAAUUAUGAUUCCAAUUCUCCAUGUUAUUUCUUCUCAAUAAAAAAAUCUUCAUGUUUUCAUUGAGAGAUGAUUUACUCGAAUUUGUAUUUAUUUCGAAAUUCUUCUCUCUUUGUCUUAAAGUUGAAGGAUUUGGCUUGAGAAAUUGCAAUUAAUCGUGUCUUCUUUGUUCAACAGCCCUCAGAUUUAUUCUCUGCGAGAUCAGAACUUUAGAAAACAAGCGUUGUCUGAACUCAACGACUCCAAUUCAGCCUGAAUUCAAUUCGUUUGAAAUAUGAACUGAUUGGUUUAGUAUAGUUAACAAAGUUAGGAAUUAGAAGUCAAAAAAUUUGUGCGCCCUCUGUUGAUUAGCCUAAAUCAUUACACGAUCCUGCAUCCGUCACUCACUGGUUGAAUAUGGUGUGGUCGCUCAGGCAAUAUUUCCCGACUACAAUCCUUGCAUGCAAUCACUGUUUAGUGUUCAAGAGAGCAAGUUGACAUAUCGAUCAGAGUUGCAGAGGUAGUAGUCGUGCAUGGGGCCAUUUCUCGUACUCACCUAUCCCUUUCUGUGUAAGUUAACUUUUUGUGUCCAUGCAUAUUAUUAUUGGCCGGGACCUCUACUCUUCCUUCUUCAUCAGUCUUUAUCAUUUUCCCAGUUUCUCUGCAUGUACAGGUUUGCCUUUCUUUCAUUUUCAUUCAUUCAAUUCACAUAUCCAUCUCUCAAUCUAUCCGUCGUUCCCUAUCUUCAAUCUUUGGCCAUGAGAGACUUCAUGUACGGAUCAUCAAUCAUCUUCGUUUAUAUAUCUAACUAACCCCAGUUGUAGAAUCUGAAAUGAAAUGUCGUGUCGUGGGGGCCGGGGUUUUCAGAGAGAUUGAUUCCAGUUCACCAAACAGAGAUAACAACUUAAACCUUAACUAAACACACAGUUAGAUCGAGCUAACUUGUUUAUCUUGUGACUCUUGUCCACAAACAAGCUAGUUAACUUUUCCUAUUACGAUGAGACUGAUCUUUUAGAUCUUCCAGAGUUUGGAUUUCUUUAACUUAAGUUUAGAAAAAAAAAAAAAAAAAUUGCUAUAAUAUAUGGAGAACUAAUAUGAAAAAUCUGAAAAAUGAAAAAUCUCAUAUACAUGAAUCUUUCUUGCUCCAUGUCAAAUUGGUCGAGACGCGUUUUGUGUUAGAAAAAAGGAUGGAAAAUUGUAAAGCAGAUAGUAAAGUUGUCUGAUAAGUCUUAAUCCUCAAUUCGUUUAUCGAAUUAGCUAGCUAGGGAUGUCCCAAAUAUGUCGUCAACCUCCCCAUCAUAAUCAAUCACCGACCAACAUCAUUAAACCUUAAUCGUCUUCCAAGUUCCAACAUCAUCAUUUCAUCACUAUCAAACCUUUUUUAUUCACGCAUUAAUUUUAGGGUUCGAACUCCAUGCAAGCCAAUAACUAGACAUCAUGUUCCUUUGUAACAGUUGUACUUGCUACAUAUUUUUUGAUCACAUAUUACAACUUCGUGAGUUAAAUUCACAAUCUCUUACUUUUUAAGGAGAAAUUAUGCCGUUAGACCACUUACUAAGUUGUGCUACAUAUUUGUAUUAAAAAAUUGAGUAAGAGCUUUUUUAUUCUUUAUUUUAUUUUUUACAAUUUAGAAAUUAUAUAUUUUUUUCUGUCAUAUGUAGUCCUUCAAAUAUGUUUGCAUUUCUUAAGUUUGGAAAAAUUGCUUAAAAUUCUAUUCCAUUGUGUACAAACUCUUAAACUUCUUUUUCAUACACGGAACGAAAACUAUUAUAAAUCUAUUUUAAAAGAAAGAAAAGAGAAAUGAAUUUAAAUACUAUGCAUCAUAAUUUGCCGGGUUCUUUGGUAUGCCUUUUUGUUUGAUGGAAGGUUUCAAGUCGAUCAAUUGCAGUUGAGUCUGAUGCUUUGAAUGUUAUCAAAGCUAUCAAACAAUCUGGGCAUGAUCUCAGCCAAAUUGGAGCAGUUACACAUGAAAUAAAAGAGCUCAAAUCAGCUUUUGAUGUUAUUCACUAAAUGGAGAUUUCUCGAAGUUGUAACAGUGGCACACAGCCUAGCUAAGAAGGCUACCAAAGUUGAUCGAUGACAUGUUUGCAUGAUGUAGUGUUUGAUGACAUGUCUAUGUGACUUUAGGGGUGUGAUACUUUUUUCAUGAUGCCAGGUUAAGCUACGUAAUAUCCCCUUGUUUCAAUCAAAUUUCUUUUGAUAAAAAAAAAAUACAUGCAACAUAUUGUAUAAUAUUCUCGUAUAAUACAUGUUUCGUACUCUAGUCUGUUAUAGUUUGAAGCAGGAUGAAAGUUUGAUGAAGUUGGGGGUCAAUCAAUCACUAACUUAUAACUUAUUAUAGAACCAGGUAAACCAAAAAGAAUAGAGAUGGCAUCUAUUGUUUUAUACCCACACACCAGGAAUGCAGGAGAGCACCGGAAGUCCAGAAUCAGACUUUAUAUAAUGGAAAUAAGUUGGGAUUACUUUUCUGGUCAUGUAGUUAGGUUGUGAUCAACUUGACAAUGAUGCAUGCUUAGGGUCGUUUAUGUAAAAAUCUUCUUUUAUGGAGUUUUCAUCAUCUCUCGCGCCUAAAUGUUUGGACUUUUCAACAGACCCAGUUUAGCCUUUAGUCUUUUCCUUUUUGGGGUGACUACUGACUAGCCCAGUUGCUAAAGUUCUAUAAAUGUUUCACUUUACUUUUCAAUUUGUAUUCUAAUUUAAUCAGGGGAGCUGCACUUACAUGACAAUUUGGCAUAACGAAGAAGACAAUUAUGAACAAUGUGAUGGAGUAUAGCCCUUUUUGAUUUCUUACAGUUCACUGUACAAAUUGAGAGUGAGAAUAGCACAUCUAUACAGUUUGAAUGUGACUCCAGAAAUGACUAUAGAGAUCUUCGAUUUCCGCUAACCCCGGAUAACUGCUUCAGACUAGUAAGAGCAUCUUGCGCAUUUCGCUUUGUGUUGGCAUCGCCAUGCUUGAAGGCUUCCACCAAUGCCCACACCAGAGCCUGGUUGAGGGAAUGUCUAUGGUUUUCGACUCUCAGUAUCCUCUCAAUGAUCCAAACCGUUUUCUCUUGCAGCUCCCCAGGUCGAACUUCUGUGAAUAGAGUAAUCACGGCUUCAAUGACACCCAAUUGCUCAAGUUCGUCGACUGCUCUUUUGAAGUUGCUUGAACUGAAAGUGUCUAUUACUAGAGUUGAUAGUGCCUCCACUGCAGCAAUCUGAACACUAGUGUCGUUGUCGUUGAGUAGAUCAACAAGGGGCUUGAUGCAGUUGUUCUUUAGCAAACACAAUUGACUAUCUUCUUCGCAUGGAAUGUUGUGUAUCGGACACUUGGAAGUUUGUAUAGAAGACCUCCCGCACAUGAACGUCAAAUGAGAACAUAAUCCAUGGUGAGGUUGUGGUUCUGACUCCAUAGCAGCUACUGAUCUUGCAUAUCCAGACAAGUUUUUCAAGCCAAGGGUGGCUAGUUGUUUUACUCUUGGGUUUGAAGGAUAAUUAAGGUGACGAUGGAAAAUAGUAAUAAGGCUGUGCUCCUUUAGUGUACUUAGAGUUUGAGGAUUCAGGUUCUUUGUAAUCUCAAGUAAAAGGCCCAGAAGACCUUCCAACAUGCUUGAUGCAGGUCGAGAAAUCCUCCCAUUCGAAGUUUGGCACUGGUUGAUGAGAGUAGAAGCUAUCCAUCUAACAAAAUUAACUUCUAGGAGUGUCUUCACUUCAUCUUCUGAGAGGGAAAGGUUUGCAAGUAUGCAUGCAGCAUCAGCUCUCUCACUAUCUGCCGAUUGUUCGUCUAAUAGUUUGUCUUUGAACAAGGAAAGCUUGUGACAAGGCCUUAGCUCAUCAGCAAUAUCCUGACCAUACCUCUCUGAGAGUAAUCUUGUAAGCCUAAAAGCUUGAAUUCUGUUUUCCACUUCAGGGUGCUCAAGAAAUGGUAAAAUGAUUUUAAUCCCUUCCCCAGAUUUUAUAUGACAAGCGACCGAAUCUGUAAUUAGAAACAACAAAGCAUAGGUACCAUGUCAGAAAAUGGAUAUGAGAACUGCUUAGCACACAAAAAAAGAGAGCUAAAUUUCACGACCAUAAAAUGUAGCUAGAAAAACAAAAUCCCCUUCUCUGCAGCUAACUUUAGGUACAAUGGUAUUUUUCUUUAAUCUCCUAGCUAGGCAACUUAAUAUAUACAAUUAUAUAUACCAGCAGCAUAUUAUUUCAAGAUUUUCAGAGCAAGAGCAUCUAUAACAAAUUUAAAUAUAAUGAUUUCAGAAUAGCAUUUAAAAUCUUGAGGCUACAAUGUAGAUGAGAAGAGAAACACAGGUAACUACUGUCAUGAUGGUGUUAGAAAUUAGAUUCUUCACAUUAGCCAUUGCCCUGCUACUGUUGGAGCAUAAACAUAUAGGUAGCUUUUGAAAGUAUUCUCAAACAAACUCGAGUAUUCUGGUCUCCUAUGUGGGGACUGGGGAGAUAAUCUCCAGACACUUCUCCACAAAGAUGCUAAGCACAAAAGACUCUUCAGGAACAAGAUACAACCCUAAUCACAACAAUACGAUUCCAUUUGAAUGAUAGCAACUAUCUUUUGUUGGUUUUCAGAACAAACAAACCAAGGAACUAAAAUGCGCCAACUUACUAAUCGGUGAAUACAAAAUAAAUGCAGCCAAGUUUUAGGUAUAUGUGGUACUAAUCAUAAAUUCACACAUUAAGUUAUACAUAGAGAACAAACCCAUAGUUGAUAGUUCCAUGAAUAAUAAACGAAUAUCAGAUGGAGCCUGUGUGAAAACUAAAGGAAGAAUUACCUGAUGCCUGUGGAGACGAGGCAAUUCCAUAUAGGAUCUGGAGAAUGGAUAUCUGACAGGGAAGGGAUGCAAGAGAUAAAACCCCCAAUAGAUUAUAUAUAAAUGAUUCUGACUGCAUAGAGUUCCCUUCUUUGUCAGCUGAAGCCAAUUCCCAGUGUCCUGGAUUUGAUACUAUAUUUGCCAUGGUUGAUGCAGCCAACUCUUUCAGUUCCGACGAAGUAUCCUGGUUGAUGAAAAGGAUACCUGUCAAAGCAGGAAGUACAGCAGAAUCAACAAGGAUGGUUGCAUUGUCAUCUAGACUUGACAAGUUAUACAAGGCUUUCAAGCUCGCUGCCCUUCCUUCUGGAUUAGAAAGCAUCUCGACUAGUAUUUUAGCACUUUGCCUAGCUAUUUGUUCCUUGCUGCUAUUUGUCAACGUCAGAGUUCCCACCAUAGAUGCCAUCUCAAUUUUGACAUUUUCAGAACCUGCUUCCAGAAAUACACAUUCCAAUACAACAGGUGAAUACUAAAUACCACAAUGCUAUGAGCUACCUAAUGAGAAAGAAAAACAAGAAACAAAAACAGCGAAUCUCCCCAAGUCUACUGUUUUCCGAUCGUUGCAUUACUUUGUCCAAGAAGAUUGCAAAAUUGAUCUUUCUUAUACAAUCAAUUAUGAUUAACAAUUUUCAGCUGGUGCAAAAAUUAAUAGAAGGCAUACCUUCACAAAGUCGAGUAAGCAAGGGAUUGAAUCUCCCUGCUGCGGCCAAAUGCUGUACAUUACCCUCCACCUUCUCCAUCUGCUUUAAUACCUCCUCAGCUAGAUUGGAUAAACCAGGAUGCUCCAGGUUCCCUGCCAUGCUUGAGAGAAGAACCAAAGCUCCUUUCUCUGCUGCAAUUUUAAUGCAACAAGCUUCAUCACUCGAGAACUCAAGUAAUAAUUUCACAGCACACUCUCUCUCCUUCUCUGAGCUCCCGAUAAGACUAUGUAUGGCCAAUCUAGUGAUACCUUCUUGAAGCAUGAUCUCCUAGAAAUGUUCAAAAAGGUUCAAUCACAAACUUGUAACAAUAGCAGAACUCACCAAUACAUUAAAUAGACAAAGCUAUAGUUCACAAGAGAAGCAACCAAAGCAAACCUUGCUUUCUUCAUCUUUGGCCAUGCUAACCAAAGCCAUAAGAGCUUUGCUUCUCAAAUGAGUCCCAAUACUCUUCGCACUAUUCCUCAGCAAUUUAACAAUAAGCACAACAAUGCCGGCAUUCCUAACUCUAAAUCUACAACUGGGAUACUCUUCUGAGAUGUUAUAAACAUUGUCCAACACUACCUCUAUACCAUCCACCAAGGGAGGCUCUUCACUCAGCUUUUGAGCCCCAAUUUUGACCAGAAUAUCCACAUUCCUAUUCACCCACUCCUCAAUAGCUCCGGCUAGUCCAAUGUUCGGUUUCAUCUCCAGUGACUGGAGCACCUGACCGGUGACCGGACAAGUCGGUUCCCUGCCGUCGUCCAAACACCGCUCAAACCAGUACUUCACGGCGGACCGUUCGUACGUCUGCGACGACUGGAGCACCACCGGGUCUCUCAUCACCUCUUUAGUCAACGGACAGAGAAAAUUCUUGAACGGAGAGAUUUGCGCGUCGUCUUCGAACUCCAGGCCCGUGGUGAGAUUGGGCUGCGCGGCCCAAUUCUCCACAAUCCUCUCCAACGACACCAAAAUCCGGCGCUCCGACGCCGUAUUCGUUCCGGCGAUGUCGUUUCUGAGCUGCUUGAUUUGCUUGGAAAGCUCGGCGUGAUUCUCCGGUUCGAUUCCGAGAGCUCGGGAUAAAUCCAUGAUGAUCGCGCUCUCGACGGCUUUGCUGGUCUUCGUCCGCGUCGUUUCUCCUUCUCUCCGGAGCGUGUGGUGCACUCUCUCUUCGUUCGCUGUGACCUAAAAUUUCAAAAAAUUGAGUUCCAUUUUCAAAGAAGAUUGAGAGAAUAAAUUAUAUUACUUGUCUUACUUCAAAUUGAACUUGCUUCAUGUCUCUAGAAAGAUCGGCGAUUUUCUUGCGGAGAUCGGGGAGGUCAUCGACGGCGGAGUCGAGGAGGGCGAGCCAGCCGGAGACGGCCGCGGUUGUUUCGUUGAGGGAUUUACAGAGGGAGAGGCAGUGGAUGAGGACGAAGAUUUUGCCUUUAGAGUAAAACGACAUCGUUUUGAGGGCGGCUGGGAGCUCGGCGGCGAUUCCUUUGAGGGCGGUGAGGACGGAAGGCGGGAAGGAGUCGAGGGAUGAGGUGGAGCGGGCGAGGUGGGUGAGGGCGAGAUGGAGGCGGUGGGCGAAGGCGGAGAAGCGGCGGGGGAGGUCGAAGGGGGAGUUAGUGUAGUGAGGGGUGGAGAGGUCGGCGAGGGAGGUGUGGAUGGAGUCCAGCAGCAGCGCCGCCGAGGAGGAGGAUGAUGACGUCAUUCCGGUGAGUGUUCGGGCAUAUGGGGGUUUUGCCGUUUGGUUUUUUGCCGCGUUUUUCCAAUACUCUGGUUUUGUAGAAACUGGGAAAAUGGAGCGAAAGGUCAAAUCAUCGAGUGUUGACUUUUGAGCACAGUUUCAAGCGACGGCUUUAUGUGCAACGGUUUUUGACAUGUGUAAAUUUCGUUUCGGUCCGUGGUAUAUUGCUAACAAGGUGAAUAAGUAAUCAAAAGUGUUAUUAUUUUUUUUAAAUUUCACAUAAUAAAAUUAUUAUGAAAUAGAACGACAAGAGUUCAAACCUCAUUAUCAUAUAUAAAGUAUGCGUGUUAUUUAAUAAUUUUUUCCUAAAGAAAAGUAAGGAAUUUUUUUAUUAUCAAUGUGCUAUUGCAUAAGCCAAAUGCUAGCCGGUUUAAAACCUAUCUUUUGUCCUUCAAAUCUUACUAGAAAUUACUUCUGUGUUUUCAAUUAUUUGAGACAUGUAAGUUGUUACCCAUUUUUCAAAACUUGAAGAUAAAUGCCUUUUGCUUUGUAAUCUCUUGAACACUUAGGCAUUGAGCAAAGCAAUUUGAUGGGAAGUCUCGAGAAACACGAGUUUUUCUAAGUUCUGGAUCAAGCUUUGAGGACCGAGAGAUUAAACGAAGAAUAUUUCCUAUCUACUUUGGGCCAGAAACAAAAAUACAAAAAGAUUAGGUUAAGGCCCAUGGAAAGAACCCAAAUGGUUUUGAGGUCCAAACAAUUUCACCUCAUUAGUCAAGAAGAGACACUACAUCGUCUUCAACUACCUCUUUCUCUCACUCUUUCUCUCUGAAGCCAAAGCCAUGGAUCGCGCCCAGAUCAUUCUGCUAGGGUUACCACUCUUCCUCUUCUGCUUCGAUAUCCUUAACCUCUUCACUCUCCGACCACCACCGCCUCCGCCGCACAAGGCUCCCCAUCACCUCCAAAACAAACCUCCACCGUUGCCCAAAGACUCCCUAGCCUUCCCCUCACAGGUACUUCAAGCUCUUCCGCUUUUCUCGCCUUCAUAUGCUAAUUUGCGUCGUCUUUCUUUGACUUUGUUGACCAAUUUCAGAAACCAAGGGAUGGAGCAAUCGGCGUCGGCAACACAGUCAAGAUUAGCUUCUGCACCUCUUGCUCUUACAAGUAAUAAUAAUUCUCUACUUUCUUCUCCUUUUGGUCUUCAAUUUUCAGCUGCUCUGAAAAAUCUGUUUCCUUUGCUUAUUGCUGAUGUAUGUUUACAGUGCUAGAUGUGAUCAAAUUGAAAUCUUUGCUCUUUUCAGUUGAUUCGGCGGUUCGUAUUGUUCUUUUCCUGUAAUGGGUUUUUGAUUUUGUAUCGAAUCGUAUGUUUCUGUUAUUUUUGAAUUUUGUCCACUCAACUAUGCAUAGGGUCUCAAUUUUAUAUCAAAUCAUAUUUACCUUCUUGUAGAAAUUGGUAAGUUCAUAUCGGUAGCGUGUAGACGGUAGGUUUCGGUAGAACUGGAGAAGAUAGAUGACCAAAGUUCACUGUAUCUCUUAGAAGUUUUUUUAUUUUUAAAUUUAUCGAAUUUUUGUUUCUCCUGUACUGUUUUUUUGAUGUUAUAUUGAACUGAACAGCUAGGAACUUACUUGAAGUCUUGAAUGUGUUUCUAGACCAAGGUUUAUCUUUCUACCUAAAAUGGUCUUUACUCUAUCUAUAUAAGGGAUUUGGAAGAGAUAUGAGAUCUACGUGUUAGAUAGUUGUGGAAUUGAGCCUUCUUUACUAACAUAAAGAUAUGCUUCUGGUAGGGGGACUGCAGUAACAAUGACCAAGAUGAUAGAGUCUGCUUUUCCUGGGAUUGACAUUGUUCUUUCAAACUAUCCCCCAGCUUUACCAAAGCGUGUGCUUAGCAAACUAGUUCCUGUUGUUCAAUUUGGAAUGUUUGGGCUUGUCAUGGGGGGUGAGCAACUUUUCCCUAUGGUGGGGAUGGCACCUCCUCCUUGGCUUUAUUCUUUGCGUGCGAAUAGGUUUGGAACCAUGGCGUCGACUUGGCUUCUUGGUAAUGCGCUCCAGUCCUUCCUUCAAGGCACUGGCGCUUUUGAAGUCUCUCUCAACGAUGAAUUGGUGGGUGAACCUUCUUUCUACAUUUAGUCAUAUUGAUUUGAGCUAGAAUGUUGUUGCUAGUUGUUCCUUUUUAUUUAGGUUCUGUGUUCUUAUUGCAGAUUUUCUCCAAGCUCGAGGAAGGAAGAUUUCCAGGAGAGAUUGAACUAAGAGAUGCAAUUGGCAGGAAGUUGGUCAAUUCAGGAAUCACAGGUGAUGGGGCAUUAUGGACCUAGUCUGCUUAUAAAGUUCUGAUUGUACACCACUUUUAUAGUUGGUUCGUGUUGGGAGUGAACUAGUUAAUCAUCAAUAUUGUUUGAAGAAGUAGUAUCAGUAAAUGUUUUGCAGAUAGGUUGGACCUUUUGUGUACAAUAUCUGAUUCUCCAUUUCUGUGAGACAGGUCUUGGAUGUUGUUAGUAUACAUUAACAUCCCUCUAUAUAAUACCUGUUCUAAUCUAAAUUUGAACACAGUUGGCGUCGAGAGAAAUAUUUGAACACAGUUUUUUUAUGUCAAUAUAACACUGCAUUUCGGCCUUCGAUCCCUCUACUGGGAGGACCGGUUUAGGAGGUAUUUUCCGUGAUCAUAAUGGAUGUUGUCUUGGUGUUUUUACCAAAUUCAUUAUUGCUGCUAGUUCUCCUCAGCAUGGUGAAAUUCUUGCUUUACUUGAGGGUGUAGGCUGGGCAUGUGUGCACCAUUUUGUUCCCUUAAUUGUGGAAACGGACCGUCGGUUGCUAGUUGAGGUUCAAUGGAAAAUUCAGGUCUUGGUUUCCUUCUAUCUGACUUGAAAGAAAGCCUUAGUUUGGCUUCUAAUGCUAGAGUGAUUUUUACCAAGAGAGAAGCUGAUUGUGUUGCUCAUUCUCUAGCUCAAUUAGUUUUGUUUUCUUGUAUGAGCACAUGUUUCACCAUUGUUAUUCUUUCGCAUGUGGAGGACAUUAUAUCUUUUGAUCGUAAUGAACCUUGAUCCAUUCCCCUCAAAAAGAUAAAAUAUAACACUGCAUUUAUGCAGUGUGGUUCCUCAAAGUAGGCAAAACUUCCGCAGGAAAGGGAAAAUCGUCAAACCGUGCCUGAACGUUUUAUGUUUACCCGUUAAACUUGUCAAUGGUGUGUUCGUCCUUUCAGGAUCCAGCUCCUACGAAAUUCUCUGGCAACUUCGCUCUUUGUUGUCUCUUUUGGUUUCAUUCAGCCUCCCCAUUGAUAACUGUUGCUCUAGAUUAUUGGUGCAUUUGUUUCUUGAGUGUGACUAUUGGGAUUUCUAAAUUUGCUCAAUUAACCUCACUCUAUUAUGAAUUAUUAAAUGACAUAUUUAUCUUCUUACAUAAUGACUAUUAAGGACGUCAAUUAAACAACAAAUAAUAUUACAUUUAUUCUCUCUAAACUUUCUAAUUCAAUAAUAAUGGAUUGCAUUUUAUUAUUUUACUUAUUGAUAUUUUAUUUUCUAGUUUUACCACAUACUUAUUAAAGCAUUUAUAUAUUUAUACUAUCAUACAUGUCACAUGCAUAUACAAAGUGAAAAAAAUAUUUUUACAAAAAUUAUGAUAUAUAAAUUAUUAAAAAAUAAAUAAAUAAGUAUCAUAAUAUUUUUACAAAAAUUAUGAUCUAUCAAUUAUUAAAAUAAGUUAUCAUCAUGAGGUAUAAAAACAAAAAACUUACAAAAAACACAUAGAAUAUGUAAAAUAGAAAUACAAAAGUAAUAAAAAUAUAUAAUAGUUCAUGUAAGAACAUUCUUUUGAUGAUCUAUAAAUAAAAUUUGAGACAUAAUCCUUGUUUUAUUUUUAUUUUUAAGAGAAUAGUAUUUUUCAUGAUUCGAAUUAACUUUUCUCGAAAAUUGAUGUCAUUAAAAAUGAUUUCUUACAAUUUGAUCAAAAAAUGAAUGUCUAGCGAGUGAGAUUUUAUGCAAAAAAAAAAUACAUAAAAUAAAGAAAUCAAGGUCGAGAAUGGAGGUUUGCGUUAAAAAGAAAACAUAAAAAAUUAACGAAUGGAAGUCGGAAUGGAUGAGUGAAUAAGAGGUGUAAUGAGUAAUAUAUUAAUAUAUAUGUGAAUUACAUAAACAAGGUUAUUUUAGGAAUUUGAAAAGGAGGUCUAAUGAGCAAAUGCUUGUAUUUAAAAGUAAAAUAGAGGUGUAAAGAGAUUAAGAGUAUACUGAGUAAAUUUGGAGGUCCCAAUACCCGCACUCUUGUUUCUUCGGAUAAUCGGGUUAAUUUAUAAUAGAAUCUAUAAAGGAAAUAAUUAACAGUUACCAUUUACAAUAUAUAUAUAUAUAUAUAUAUAUAUAUAUAUAUAUACUACUUANNNNNNNNNNNNNNNNNNNNUAGCCCUAUUUGUAGUGUUUAAUUCAUAUAGGGGGUAGUGGACACAUAUUUAUACACCCGUCUGUACCACCUUGAUGGCGUAGUGUAGCACCGCAUUAAGGCGUGAUGUGAGCGUUGGACGCGAGCGUAGUAGCCUUAUAUAGACCCAUGAAUUUAUAUAGGGAGUAUAGACGAGUGUAAAUACAUACAUAUAUUAUAGAGUCUGAGAGGCUCGAUAUUUUAUGGGAUAAAGGUUUUAUCGCUUGCGGCAUGCUAUUCGAUUUUUCCUUAGAAAUUAAUUUGGGGAAACAUAAAUAUUUUUAUUUAUUAUUUUAUUUUUGUCCACUCACUCUAACGUUAUUAAAUGUUUUCCCCUGGGCCCUUCGUUUUAAAUUGCCCAGUCUGCAGAGUUCGGGUUGGAUCUAGUAGGAGACGAGGCAUAGUCACCCGCUUUUCGGCCAGUUUUCAUCAGUAGGUUACCUGUUCAACCUACUCGUGUUUUCUUGCUUCCGCUUGUGUUUAGUAGCUCUGAAUACUUUAGAAUUUUUGUAUAUUAUGUGAUGUUCAGAAGUGUAAUAUGAAAUUUUCGAGUUAGGGUUGUCCAUCUGCAAGGGAGAUUUUCUUAAUCUUUUCAGUAAAUUUUCCUUGGAGGUGGUCCCCGCACGACUUACUCUGGGUUUCAGGGUGAAAUUCGGGGUGGGUCGUGUCAAAAUAUGUUAACAGAAACAACGUACACUUGGUCAUGCAGUGGAUACGAAACCUAAUCGUAUACUAGGUAGUCGACUUCAUGAAUUGAUGCAUGGAUACACCAGCUGGGGCACUAAACUCAUUUUGAUAUAAUGACUUCUGUUAAUGUGACUUUGCAAGUAUGGUUUUGGCAAGGAAGUAUUUCCGUGCGCAUCUUGAUACGAAUUACCCAUGUGAUACUAUUAAUAGCGGAAUUAUUAAUAGCACUAAAACAUACAGGUAAUGUAGUUCGAAGAAAAUGUAUUCCUCUCUUAUUAUUGUGCAAAAGGGUACAAUGUUUAUUGUCUAAUGCCUUCUCUCACAAUUAGGGCUGCCACUCAGUCGGUUCGAAUCGGUAAUGGGCGUUACCAACUUCAAAACCAAACCUUUCGGUAAUGAAAUAUGACUUUCAAUUACCAAACCAAAAACUUCGGUAUGAGAUAAAUCUUACCAACUUCGGAUGUCGGUUUUUCGGUAUUACCAAACUUCACAACAAAUAUAUUUUCAAAAUAUAACAAAACAAUACAAAACUAUAAAAUUUAAAUAUCACUUGAGUUUCUAGAGUCUGAUAAUACAUAUACAAAAGAUAGUCAUUUCAGUACACAUUAUCGAGUAUGAUUUAAUUUUCUACCGAAAUAGUCAGGAUGUAAAUGUUUCCAAAUUUUUAUAUGAACAAGUUAUGUGUCAUCUAUGUGAAAGUAUGUGUGUGGAAGAGUCGACCAAAAUAAGUCACAUAAGGGCAGUAAAACUUUUCGUGUAAUAAGUGACGUUAAUUAUGGUUGACCGUUUUGAUCAAGACCCGAGCAUUAUUGAGUACAAUUGAAUUUUCUAUCAUAAUUGUAUUAUACUAUAAUGAUCACAUCAGACGGUCGAAUUUUAAUUUUGUGAAUUGUAAUAAUUGGAACCACAACAUGCCUGGUAAUGUGGUAUAACUUAUUUAGUAAGUUAUAUGCAUAUGUACAUCUUUGUGAACCAACUACAAAGAGGAAGCAAAAUUUUCAAAAAGCUUGUGAACUAUGAUGUGAUCAAUAUAGUGAAAUACGACUAUGGUAGAAAAAUUAGGUAUUUUUGAUAAUGUUUUGGCCUUGAUCAAGGCGGCUAACCCUAUUUACGUUUGUACUUCCUAUGGGGAGCUCUAUCAUCAAGAGAGGUAAAAACAUUCCUAAAUUUUUACAUGGGCGGUUACAUGUCAUCUAAGUGGGUUUGUCUAUGUGUGUGUGUGAUGAAUCGACUAAGACGGGUAGGUAAGAGCGUUUUUAUAUAACAAGUAACAUUGAAUUAAAGUUGAUCGCUUUAAUUGAGACCCGAACGGUACCAAGUAUAGUUGAAUUUUUCUAUUCAUUGUCUUUUUUUUUACUAAAUGGUAUAUACAAUUGAAAACGUGAGAUAAGAUUAUUAGUCUGUGUGUUUUUAGAAAUAUAAGUCUUUAAAUAAUUAGAAUUUCGGUAAAUUCAGUAUUUACCAAAAACCAAACCAACUUUUUCGGUACUUCUCGGUUUCGGUUUUUUUGAUUUCGAUUACCAAAAUUCGGUUUACUAAAUCAUAAAUUUUCGGUCGGUUUUCGAUCGGUUUGGUAUUUACCAAACCAAGUGGCAGCCCUACUCACAAUAACACUCUAGCUCUCUAAUUCGCUCCGCUCUCUAGCACUAAGCUAGACACCUCUAUUUAUAGAGUCUAAAUCUCUAUAAAUCCUUAUCUAACUUGGAGAAUACUCCCUAACUAAGUUAGACAACUAAUCCCAAACUAAGUUGGAAAACUAUUCUCCUAACAAGCUAGAAAAGCUAUAUCCUUAACUAACUUGGAGAAGGAAUCGACUAAUCCCUAAAAGGCUAGGAUACACCCGUAUCAUGGCUCCCCCUUUUAGGAACUUAAAACUCCCGUUUAAGUUAAAACUGGAGAUUAGGAAACUCAAGAGUUCCCUUCUCUUUGCUGAACCAUUUAGCUUUACUUGGAACCUGACCUGCACGCCCAAUGCGGAACAUUGUACGCUCCCCUCGACGUGUCGUAGCCACUUGCUGCUCUAAAAUGCAAUCUUCUAGCAACGGAUCCUCUUUAAGGCGCUCUUUACUCCGCCUUAACCAUAAUAAGUCAUUAAUACCAAAGUUACAAGGUAAGGUCUGGUCUUGUACUUUGCUUGUGACUUAUUCAAUUUUGUCUUCUCAACAUCUUGACUUGAUUGCCCUUCAUGUGGACGUGCCAACAAGACAAAUUUCCUAUAAGCACUUACUAAUCUUUUAGCCUGAGUUGCUGCUACCAAGCUUGCCUCUGGUGGGAGUGACGCCGCCCGAAUAACGAAUCGUUGUCCGUCUUUCGUAAAUGUGUACUUCUGAGCCUUCCUUUCGUAGAUAGCAUCUCUAUCCCAUAAGUAAGGAUUUCCCAGAAUCACCUGACAAACAUCCAAUGGCACCACAUCGCAUGUCACUUCGUCGAUGUAAGAUUCAUGAAGAGCAAACUUGAAUGUGCAUUGACUGGUAAUACUUAGUCAUGUGUCCUUCUGAAUCCAUCCUAAUGGAUAUGGCUUCGGAUGUUUGACCGUUUGAAGACCUAACUUUUGAACCAAAGCUUCCGAGAUAAGGUUCUUCUGACUUCCCGGAUCCACAAUGGCAUCAACUAAACUGGUCUUCACCUGCAGCUUNNNNNNNNNNNNNNNNNNNNUGUUUUAACGGCAAAUGCGUCUGCCUCUAGUUCUAGAUUCAACUCAAUAUGUACCGAGUCUGAUACGCUGCACUACAGAUAAAGGACUGAUAAAACCAAUCCAGAUUCAACUAAAUAAGUAUGAACCUGAAAUACUUGUUUACUAAUAAAUCAAUGCUGAAAUCAAUUAUGAGUUUUUUUCUUCUUUAUUUAUGCAUGUUCUACUAUGGAAGAUCAUAUGUCUGAAAAAAAUUAUAUUAUUGUGUUCGAUCAAAAUGUAAAAUAAAGAUGAAGAAAAGAGAGGAAAUAUGUCACAUCCCGACCCUUAUAUUUUUACCUUAUUUACUAGCGUGAUUAUAAUAAGAAUUUUACCGUCUCGAUCAUUGAGUAAAUAGUUUAAUUGGUCCCUAGAGGGGUUUCGGGGACGAUUAUGUGCGGAGGAUUAUUCGUAUGAGGAAAAUACGACGACGGUAAAAAUGGUAAAUUUUAGCUAGUAAAAGGUAAUUUUUAUUCGGGUAUUAUUUUUCGGGGUGUUUUUAUUUUGGAAAGUUUGGGUUAAAAGGGAGUGUUGGGUCGGCUGGGCCGAGCCCAACCCAUUUCUUCUUCUUUUCUUUCUCUCUCCCUCCCGAUUUCCUCUCCGCACCCGAGCCUCCCGCUGCCCGGUUUUCCGGCUGCCCUCCCGCCGCCGUCCGACCUCCGUUCGCCGCCGGACCGGUCACGUUCGGUCGGUCUCCCUCCCAGCAACAUUUCUAGACCGGUGAGAGGAGCCCUAGCGCCGCCGUGAGAGAGCGGUGCCGCCCGAAAGCAAGGGCUGCCCCGAGCUUCCCUUCGCCGGAACUUCCUCCUCCGGCCACCAAUCCGGGCAAGCUUAGUAUGGUUUUUGUAGCCCUCCAACCCAGCAACCUUGCCCUAAAGGACUCACUCCCUCUUGAGCUAGGUAAGGAGAAAUUUGAG